rnacentral:lncRNA from 1 species
UCGAGACGGCUAAUGAAGAUUCCAACGAACCCGAUGUACCGGAUCCAAACGAUGCGGUUUAUGCUAAUGUCCCUGACGAGACGCACAUGCUCAAGCUAGAGGAUAACUGCAAGCACUGCAAUGCAAAGAAGUUUGAGUCCGAGCCACCUGAAUUCUGUUGUCAUAGACACCACCGGAACUCGUGAGACUGUGGUUGAGCUCGGACGCUGAUGCUAGGCAUUUCCGUGCAAACAUCAGAUAUUUCAAUGAACACUUCUCUUUCACUUCUCUAUACUGUAAACUUGAUCGUGUGACCACCGACAUGACAAACUGUGGAAUUUACACAUUUCAUGCCCAUGACCAAAUCUACCAUAACAUAUGAUCAUUUGGUAAAGAGGAUGGUCACGAACCUGGACACCUCGAGCUUUAUUUUUACGACGACGAUCUGUCUCUUCAGCAUAGGCUCCGCAAGUGCCGUGAGAAGUCUGCCCAAGAAGAUAGGAGGUCAUCUAGAGGCUAAAGGACAUCUUACAUGGCAUUAAUCCCUGCUUAGAGAAUCUUAGGAGUAUAGGCCAGGUUGACAACCUUGAGGAUUACUAUGUCGAGUUGAACCUUGACCAACGGCUAGACCAGAGAACAUAUAAUGUGCCAUUAACGUCGUUGCUGCCGUUUGGAUUGAGGGGAGCGAGCCUCGGGGCCAGUUCGAUAAUAGUGUUGUCCUCCAAGGGAAGGAUAGGUCGAUCCAUGGUAUUCGGCCCUAUCGUGUGUGCUACGAUGCUCUCUCAUACCCGCUAUUCUUUCCAAGAGGUGAGCUCGGGUGGCACAAUUGCAUUCCAAAAGUUGGUGUGACUGAGGUUGAAGUAAAUAAAGCUCGAGCGAUCCGCAAGGCGCGUGCUGAUGGUGGUGGCGACAAUGAUGCUGGUAAAUUCAUAUGUCUUUAUAGUGUCUUACAAACAUUAGACAAAUUUUCCGCAUGUCGUCAAUCACGGCCGCCUUUUUUUGGUUCGUCGUUUGGCUUCGUUUGUCUGCCUCGCCGCUCAGUUUUUCUCAAGAACAGUCCGUCUCCCCGCCCACGUUCGCCGACAGACGCACCUCACCUCCUCCGUGCUGCACCCGGCCGCACCUCCUCCAUCCGCCCUCCGCCACUUAGCCAAGCCGUGCCUCACCUCCUCUGUCCUCCGAGCGCGGAACCACGCCCGCGCUUUCCCCGCCCGGCCGCACCUCCUACCUGCUACGCUCGGCCGCAGCUCCUCUGUCCGCCGCCAAGACGGGCCACCUCCGUCCGCUGGGCGUCCAACACCGGCGCGCCACUGCCCAGCUGCCCCUCCACACCCCUCCACACCGGCGCCAUCCCCGGCUGCUCCUCCAUGAAGGGAUCUCCAAAUUAGUCCCAUAUGCAGCGGAGGUGAGAAGAUGGAGGCACGAGAGGUGGGGCCUAUCUCGAGCCCGGUGUCAUCUGCCUUCAUGAAGGGAUCUCCAGGUUAGUCCCUUAUGCAUGCAAACAAAUCUAAUCAGCAGCCUCUCCUUUGCACCAACGAACAGAUCCAAUUGUUCUUGAAAAUCAGGUCCAAGUUCACAUCUCUUUUGCCCUCCCACUCAAAGCACAAUCAGCCAGCGCGACAGGGAUGGCGACACAGACACCGACGGCUGGAGCUCCCUCAAUGCUGCCAGGUAAUUGACUAGCCAAUUACUAUUUGGAUGUGAUGCACAUUGGUCACGGAUUUGUAAAUCUAUCAGUUCCUGCUUCCUGCAUCCAUUUGUGCAGUUCUUGUGGUGGAUGCAGUGCACUGAGUAUAGAAAUUAUUUUUGAUUACUUCUGUGAAACGUUUUGGCCUUGGCAAGUAUGUACAGAUUUAGUUGUUGUUUUUUCAGUCAGAGGUGAGCUACGUGUAUGGGAAAGAAAAACUUGAUUGCUUGUUCUAGAUCUUGCCUUCAUAUAAACUGUGAUGCUAUCAACAUGGAGAUUUGAUGCAUUCUACUCUCUCUCUAUUUAACAUGGAAAAGAACUCGUGUUUACUCAAUAAUGCUUAUGAAUUUUCCUUAGAGUUGCAUUUAUUCAUCAUUCUAAAGUAUUCCGUGUCAAGUAAACUCAUACUUCUAAUUUUUCAAAAAAAAAAUCUGAAAUCAAUGAACCCCUCCUUCCUUGUGAAAUUGUUGUACCUUUUUUCUUAUGACAUCUUAUCUACUUCCACUUUCCUGGUGCAGAAUUUUUGAAAGUAGGAAACGUAAGCAAUGACAGUGACAGUCGCAGCAAUACUGAGCUCAAUAGGUGAACUAGACAAACCAUUCUGCUGUAGUUCAUUUUAUCACUGCAGUCAUCGUCAGACAAUGAGGUCAGAACCAGCAGGUUCGCAGAGUGACUUGUGACUUGUGGAUAAUCCUGCAGAUUCAACAAUGGUAAAGUAACGAAUGGUUAAGGUAUAAGUAGAUUUACUCAAUUAUACUCCAAUAGCUAAUGCAUUGCAUAUAUUGCUUGGCCGUGUAUAUAAAUAUUACAUCACUGUUCAACAUAAGUAAAUAGCUUAGUCCUUCUUAAGUCCAUUUUGGUAAAAGCUAUAGUUCAAUUAGUUUUCUUGAUUUUCUUAAAAUUUUACUCAAAGUUUGUGCCUUAUGUUGUACAUUUGCCUCACGGGCUGGCUAACUGACCUACAUGAGGCUGGCCAACUGAUCUGGAGGUUCACUAUCUAUGUUCUUUCAUUUCAUUGUCAAACAUAGAUAUUCUAAAUCUGAAAGUCUGUCGAAAUUUCCUAUGGAGUCUUGUGGUACCUUUAGUGUUUCUUAUCAUGUCCAGUAGAAGGUCUUGGAAAACAUAUUUGCAAUACAUGAUAUUUUUUAAAUCAAAAGUAGUAAUAUGCUGUGUAAUUGCCUUCUUGCCUCCUGACAUGUGGCAAAUUCAUUGAGCGUUUUCACUUACAUCGCUGGCAUAUUCAGUGAACAACGCAAAGAUGAUGGUUUUGAGUGAGAGGUCCUUUGGUCAAGGUAAUUUCAGAGCAUUGAUUUUCAAUGUACUUGUAAACCCAAGAGAAAGUUGAGCAGGCCACAUUCAGUUGUUAACUGGACUGUUGGCUUGCUGCUAUGGCAACAUGUUUUCAGCCUUAUUAUUACUUGCCGAGUUUACAUUGGGAUCUGAAAACUGGACUGUGUGCCAUUAGUUUUGUCUGUCUCCAGGACAUUGCCCAUGCACAUGAACUGACUGAUUACCAUGAAAAUUCACCUGUUUCAGUUCCAAACUAAUUAUUGCUUCAAGGUCACAAAGCUAUAUGAAAAUCUGUAUCCAAUUGAAUGCCGGAACUCUCUAGGAUGAUGUCAGGCAUUCCCAUUUAUAGGUUAACCUGAAGUGAUUCUUGAAGAUUAGUUUCUGCGUGGUUGAUUUGAAUUGUUUGUAAUAUUGUAUGCUUCAUCUUGAUUACUAUCAAUUUCACAGGUCAUGUUCAUUGUGAGGAAUGGAGCGCAAUAAUGCUUUGUGGUAACUCUGGGCAGACGAAAAUAGGCCACCUCUACCAUUUUCUUGAUAUUUAUUUUCUGAUAUCUGACUAUUGUAUUUGUCGUGAAAUUUAAAUUGUAGACGCUAUCAGAUCAUGUGUCACUUCAUGCUUUGAUCAUGUGAAAAAAUUCAGUGUAUUUACCCAUGAUCGGUGCCUUGCCCCGAGGGGUCUUUAAUUCCUGGAGGGGUCUUUAAUUCCUGAAUUAGGCAACGGUGAAUUUUCUUCUUAAUAUAUAGAUGCGCAGCUCUCCCGCAUGUUCGAGAAAAAUGAGGCAACAGUGACACAGCGCUGGUAGAAAGUAGAAAGUGAAGAAGCGGUUUGAGCAUAUUGCUACUGACAGCUACCUCCGCAAGAUUUGGCCGGUACUGCAAGCUCUGAGUUUCACAACUCUGAACCACUUGGUAAAAAACAGUCUGAAUUUUGUGUUGUGAUUAACUGACUAGACAUCCGAAUAAAUUAAUGUACUGAUAUUCUGAAAUUUGUUUUAGCACUGGGACUCUCUGGACUAUCCGGUGGAAUCAGGCCUUGGCAGGACUGAGGCAGAUGUGGGGGGUGACACCGUGCAGGUGAGGUGGUGGUGGUAUCUGGCUCUGGCAUCUCCCUUUAUCCGCUUGAUGGAAUGGCAGCAUGGGUAUGGAGACACCUUCAGCAUCUAAACAAAGCCCAAAAGGUACAAAGAUACUAUUUAAUCACUUUUGAUUUGUUAAUUUGCUAUCAUAUAAAUUGCAGUAACAGGUCUUGAGUAAUAUGUCAAUGCUAUAAUUUUGCUUGCUUGUUGUGUGUCCUCUCUAAAAUCUUUUCUUUACCAUAUAUAUCCAUAUGCACAAGAUAUUUGCAGUUACAAGUAUAAUCCUCAAGGAGUGAAAAGCUUGUGAUUCUGUCCGUGCAGGCAACAGGCAUUGAUCGCUAAUCAGCAUGGCCUCCACAAGUACCCAUCAUGGGAAGUGCAGCAACCAGUAUUGUGUUCAAACCUGAAGAAAAUAUAUGGGGAUGGCUGGGUGGCUGCACAGCUCAUGGCAGGGACCAAUUUGGAGUCUGCAUCUUCUUUCCCAUAUAUAUAUGAUAUUUCCAUAUACUGUCAGGAUGCUAUUAAACUGCCUUCACCAGAUUACAAUAAACUGUGAACUUCAGAACUUUAAUUUUCGAUAAGUUGGAGUCGACGCUUAAAACUUCAGAGCUUUAUUUACUCCUAUGUACCAACAGCUCUAAAUUUUUGUGCACUGCACCCUUAGUUUUUUAGUGAACAAUACUGAUUGCUGAGGUUAUAAUGCAUCUUUCUAUGUGGGACUAUAGUUUUGUCAAGUAAGGCUAUGUACACAUUGAUAAAUCUGCUUCAGAAUAAUAUUGCUAAUAUCUCACUAUCUGAAGAAAGUCAGGUUUAUCAGUUAUUUAUAGAAGACUUGCUUGUUAGAAAGGACCUAAAUAGGUUUUCUUUGUCUAUGUGAAUUUUCGGGGAAUUCUGCUUAUCUUCCACGGAUAGAUGCUACUUCUCCUGUAAUAUUGAAUUGGGUCAUGUGUGUGUCAGCUCUUUGCUUGCCAAAGGAGCUUGUGACUUGCAACUACUACUACUUAUUCAAUGAUCUCUAAUAAUUGAAUCAUUUUGUUCAGAUUCUAAUUAUCAGGUCUUUUCCUCAUCUCUUUAUGUUUUGAGGUGUUGGAUGAGAAAGGGUUAAUGGUGGUUGCUACCAUUCUACAAGAAAUUAGAGAUUGUCAUUAUGAGUGCUGUAGUUGAAGUGGGGUUAAUGUUAAACCAUGAUGGUACCAAGGAGACUUCAUCCAUUUGAAUAUUCUACACUCAAGAAACAGAAAGGUGACAGUUGUCAAAUACAUAUUAUGAACUAGCUGAAAUUAAAAUAUUCUUGUAUUCCUUAGAUUAUUUGUGUCAUGCAAACUCCACUUUAGAAAAUUCCAUUCUAAAUUGCUGUGUGAGAUUAUGUACCAUUCUAAUAUGAUCUCAUGGGGGAAUUAUUUAGCCCAUAGCAACGCACGGGCACGAUCCUAGUGGAAUUGAAAAGAAUAGAGAUCGCGUAUGACAAGAGUACUCUAGGUAAUAUUUCUUCAAAUACCGAUUCAGCUCCCUCAUUUUCACUUCAAUAUUUUCACCAAUGGUAUAGAAAUAGAACUUGAUGAAUUCCACGUCUCAUCGAGCAAAACAUCUCGAAUUGCUAGCAACAUCUUCAAGAAAAGGUGGGCUGUAGGAUGCCUGUUUGCGGAGAAUGCUUUGGUUGCCUCACUUAAAGCAUCACGAAUGUCCUUUACUGCUUUGUUAUUCACACUAGCAUUGUCUAAUGUCAAGGUAAACAGCUGUUCAAUCAACUCCCACUUCAUCAACCACAACUUCUUGUCCUAGAUCCAUAUCACCUAGAUGACACAACUUCUUAGCCUUCGGCCUAGUAUCUUCCAAGUGAACAAAAGAGCCUGGAAUGUGAAUAAGAUCAACAAAUUUGAAUAAAAUACCAACUUGUUUUGGUUUUACUGACUGCUUGUAUUUUUAGUACUACAAUGAGUAGGUUUGAAGAAAAUAUGAUUCUGUAUAUGAUGCAGUUGUUUUGGCUCACAGCUAACUGUAUUUUGUUCCCAUGAUAAAAAAAUUCUGAUCAGAAAUCUUGUUUUUUCACUUCAGAUUAGAAGUAAUGUAAGAUGUCAGAUUAAUGGACGAUGAGGAGCAUAAGUUUUAGGCUUCGAGGACACAGUGCCCCUCCAAUUGCAUACUGAUACUGCUAAAACGAAAGGGGACUGAGGUGACUGGGAUAUCAUCAGUAUCAGAUAUACUAGCAGCUAUGUUCAUGAGCUUCUAUGUGGUGAAACAAGCUGGAGAUGACUAAGGUAUAGGAGCUUUUUUUCACAGAACAGUAGGACCAUUUUCACGAGAUUCAACUGCCUGAUCUUAACUGAAUGGUAAACAUAAGCAAUACCAGUAUGCAACCAACAAAAGAUCUUGCACUCCCAUCUUACAUUCUCUAAAACAGUAACAAUUCUAAGUUCACAGAUCUAGUGGUACUAAAAAGCUCAAUGAACGAAUUUAAUUUGCCAAUGCCAUCCUCCUGCUCUACAAAACCCAAAAACUCAAGCAGAUUGAAGCUGCAAAGGAGAGUUUAAAAAUAGCCAACACUAGCAGAAUACUGCACGAACUAGGCACAGCGCAGUAUAAACAAAAAGACAAAUAGGAAAGGCAAACACAUCAGAUGAAAAUCACCUGCACGCCGACGCCACCUGCGUCCGCUGCUGAGGCCGCCUGCUCUUGCUGGCCGCCGCGCGUCGGCCUAGCCGCACGCCCUGCCGGAGCCCGCCGGGGGCCGGCCCCACGGGAGCGCCUCGCACCCCCGCACCGCCCGGAUCUUGAGUUCUUGCGCCGCCGCCGCCGCCGCACGAGCCUGGAGAGGCCGCGAAAAAGAGGAGAGCCCCUUUCCUGCGAUCCACGGGCUCAGCCCUUCCAAUUGACUCAAGGAUCGAUUAUGGGCCACGUUCACAGGUCAGCCCUUUUAUGGAGAUGGCCCGAUCUGAUCCUGCCCAUUCUUCGGGAAGGCCUUUUAAGGCUCGGCCUAUAUGAGCUUGUAAGGCCCGAUCGGUUUGGCCCUUGGAUUUUCCAGGCUUAAGUAUAGGUAUAAGGUUUUCUACGUAUCUAAAAUAUUUUCCACUAGAAAAGGUUUUCUACGUAUGUAAAAUAUUUCCACUUGACUACCCGAUAAGGCAAUCAUUCGUGUGGCACAUGCCCGGGGCCUACUCGGAAAGUGAGUGCGCAUCCUCUCACAUGAUUGGACACAUCCACUUGACUCCUCAAAGGUCGUCAAUGCUUGCAGCUUGCAUUUUCCACAGAAGCAGCAGCUCUUGAACCCACUGUCCAGCAUCUCCCUCUCCACCCACCAACACUGUGUUUCCCUGUCUACUGCGCGUGUGUUUUGGAGCUCCCGGCGUAGCCAUGGCUGAGGUACUGGCCACCAUGGUGGUCGGGCCACUGGUGUCCAUGGUGAAGGAGAAGGCCUCCAGCUACCUCCUGGACCAGUACCAGGUGAUGGAGGGCAUGGAGGAGCAGCACAAGCUCCUGAAGCGCAAGCUGCCGGCCAUCCUCGAUGUCAUCGCCGAUGCCGAGCAGCAGGCGGCGAAACACAGAGAAGGGGCCAAAGCUUGGCUGGAGGAGGUCCGGACGGUGGCCUACAAGGCGAAUGAUGUCCUCGACGAGUUCAAGUACGAGGCGCUUCGCCGCAAAGCCAAGGUGGAGGGCCACUACAAGGCGCUCGGCAUGGAUGUAAUAAAGCUCUUCCCUUCUCACAACCGUGUUGUGUUCCGUUAUAAGAUGGCAAAAAGGCUCUGCAUGAUCUUGCAAGAAAUUGAUGUCCUCAUCGCAGAGAUGAAUGCGUUCAGGUUCAAAUUCAAACCGCAGCCGCAAAUGCCCAUGCAAUGGAGGCAGACGGAUGCUUGCAUCCCCACUGAGUCUGUGGAGAUUGCCAGCAAAUCAAGAGCUCAAGAGACGAAGGUUCUUGUUGAUCGAUUGCUUGCUGGAGCCAGCAGUAAGGAUCUCAUGGUCCUUCCGAUAGUCGGAAUGGGGGGGUUGGGCAAGACCACCUUAGCACAGCUCGUUUACAAUGACCCUGAAAUUCAGAAGCAUUUCGAGUUGCGGCUCUGGGUGUGUGUCUCUGAGGAUUUUGAUGUGGAUUCCCUGGCUAACAGAAUAGUGAAAGAGAAUGGUUGUAAAGCAAGUGAAAGUUCAUCAGCACUGGACAAUCUUCAAAAGGCAGUGAGUGGGAAGAGGUACCUCCUCGUAUUGGAUGAUGUGUGGAACCGUGAUGAGCCCAGCAAGUGGGAAAGGCUCAAGUCCUACCUUCAGCAUGGUGGCAGCGGUAGCUCAGUGCUGACAACAACUCGCGAUGAAGCUGUUGCUAAACUAAUGAUGGGUACAACUGAAAGAGCCUAUAAACUUGGAAGCUUGGAUGAAGAGUCCAUAGGGAAAAUUAUCAAGGCAAGAGCAUUCGGUUCAAAACAAGAAAAGGAAUGGCCUGGUGAGCUAGUUCACAUGGUUGGUGAAGUUGCCAAGAGAUGUGCUGGUUCUCCUUUAGCUGCUACAGCAUUGGGCUCUUUACUGAGUACCAAGACCAGCAAGCAAGAAUGGAAGGAUGUACUAAAUGGAAGCACGAUUUGUGAUGAGGAAAAUGGGAUUUUACCAGUACUUAAACUAAGUUACAAUUGCUUGCCAUCAUACAUGCGGCAAUGCUUUGCUUUCUGUGCUAUGUUUCCCAAGGAUUAUGAGAUUGACGUGCAAAUGCUAAUCCACUUGUGGAUGACCAAUGGUUUUAUCCCAGAGCAAUCAAAAGUGUGUCCUGAAACUUUUGGAAAAGGAAUUUUCAUUGAGCUGAAGUCAAGGUCAUUUUUUCAGGAUUUGAAGAAUGUCCCAUUUUACGAAAAUGGAUAUUCUAUUCAUGGAGAGGGUGAUGAGCACAGGUAUUGUUCUAGAAUUACUUGUAAGAUCCAUGACCUUAUGCAUGAUGUUGCACAGUCUGCUAUGGGAGAAGAAUGUGCUGCAAUAGCUACACACCCAAGUGAAAGAGAGGAUGUUCUUCGUUCAGCUCGUCACUUGUAUUUGUCAAUCCGUCGAUCAGAAACUCUUCUGAGUGCUUCCCAAGAGAAAGGAUCUCCAGCUUUCCAAACACUGAUUUGUGACGGAUAUGUAGGAGAUUUGAAGAUUUUAUCAAAAUACAAUUCUAUAAGAGCUUUAAAGAUCCGUUGUGGUUCAAUCCUAAGGCCGAAAUAUCUUCAUCACCUGAGGUAUCUUGAUCUCUCGAGAAGUGAUAUUGAAGCACUUCCUGAAGACAUUAGCAUCCUAUAUCAUCUGCAAACACUGAACCUUUCUUACUGUGACUGGCUUGAACGGCUUCCAAAGCAACUGAAGUAUUUGACUGGCCUCCGUCACCUCUACACUCACGGAUGUGAAAAGUUGAAAAGCAUGCCUGCAGAGCUCGGACGCCUGACUUCCCUACAGGCGCUUACAUACUUUGUAGCAGGUACCGAUGACUCCGGUUGCAGUAAUUUGGGAGAGCUGCAGAAUUUGGACCUUGGUGGUACACUGGAGCUAGGAAAUCUAAAAAAUGUGACAGGAGCAGAUGCACAAGCAGCAGGUCUUGGAAACAAGAAAAAACUGACCCAACUGGAGUUAUGUUGGACUGAUAGUGACCAGGAAGCACAGAAUAAUAAUCAUAAAGAGGUGGUGGAAGGUCUCAAACCUCAUGAUGGGUUAAAGGCUCUGAGGAUAAAUCACUACGGGAGCACAACUUUUCCAACGUGGAUGAAUACUUUGAAAGGCAUGGUGGAGCUCACAUUAUUCCGUUGCAAAAAGCUCGAAGAGCUUCCUGCACUCUGGGAGCUAUCAGCUCUGCAAAUUCUUCACCUGAAGGGUUUGGAGAGUUUACAUUGUUUGUGCAGCGGUGGUACUACACCCAUCACAUUUCCAAAACUGAAUGUACUUAUCUUGUUAGAAAUGGCAAAAUUUGAGGCAUGGCGGGAGGCACAUGAGGUACAAGGAGAAGAGCCGAUAUUUCCCAAGGUUGAGGAGCUGGUGAUUAAGGAGUGUACAAGUUUGACUGCAUUACCAAAAGCAGCGUCGGUGAUUACAGAAUUGUCUGGCAGAGUUGACACUAAGUGCCGCUCUGCAUUUCCAGCAUUGAGGAAAAUGAAGCUAUAUAAGUUGACUGUGUUUGAAAGAUGGGAGGCAGGCGAAGGAAUUUCAGGCGAAGAGGUAACCUUUCCUCAGCUUGAGGAGCUGUCAAUCGAGUAUUGUGGCAGCCUGAGUGCACUACCAAAAGGGCCAUUUGGCGGAGCUGAAACUGUGUGUUGCUGCUCCGCAUUUCCAGCACUGAGGAAACUAGAGUUAUCUGGUUUGUUGGCCCUUGAGAGGUGGGGGGCAGCCGAAGGAACUCCAGGAGAAGAGGUAACAUUUCCUCUGCUGGAGAACUUGAGUAUCCAUGAUUGCCCGAGGUUGACUGAUCUACCUGAAGCACCGAAGCUAAGUGAAUUAUCCAUAAGUAAAGGACAUGGUCAACAACAAAUAUCCCUAGAGGCAGCUAGCAGAUGCAUCCCUUCAUUGUCCCGUCUGACUCUGACCGUGUCACCCGAUGACACAGAAACAACAUUGCUGCAUGUCAAGAAUAAAUUGAAUGGUACACUCGCCUUGGCAGCUAUGCGGUUAGGUCGGUGCGACAUUUUUUUCUCCUCCAGCUCAAGCGCACUGGCGCUAUGGACAUGUUUUGCACAGUUAGUAGAUUUGGAUAUUUGGGAUUGCGAUGCUCUUGUCUACUGGCCAGAAAACGUGUUCCAGGUCCUGGUAUGCCUGAGGAAGUUAGCGAUUUCCAGAUGCAGCAAACUGACAGGACGCACACAAGCUUCUGAUGAGCAAUCUGCUCCAGCUCCAGAACGUGGUGGACUCCUGCCAUGCCUGGAGUCUCUAGGGAUAGUAGAUUGUGAAUCUUUGGUAGAGGUCCCCAUCCCGGCAUCUCUCAAGAAAUUACGUAUUUGGGGCUGCAGUAGUAAUGUCGGGUCCAUCGUAUUUGGUCACCCGGAGGAUACGAGAUUGGUGAGUGGAGAAGGUGUUGUACGGCCGAAUACGUCAUCAUUAAUUCCAGGGUCCAGCAGCAGUGAGGCCACAGCGUCUACAGCUGUACUGAAGCUGUCAUCUGCAGCCAACCAUCGCUUCCUUCCAUUUCAAUGCCUAGAAUUUCUAGGUAUAGCGUGUUGCAGUGGCUUGUCAGAGGUUGCCAAUCUUCCUCCGUCUAUCAAGACCUUGCGCAUUUGUGGCUGCGGCAAGUUUCAAUCCCUAUCAGGAGACCUCCGGUUGCUGGAAGAACUCAAGCUUUAUCAUUGCGAAAGACUGGUAUCCUUACCGGAUGGGCCUCAAGCAUACUCAUCUCUUAGAGUUCUUCGGAUUGAAAAUUGUGAUGGUAUAAAGUUGCUUCCGCCAAGCCUACAGAGCCGUUUGGGCUACCUCGAGGAGAAAGAUCUAGAUGCCCGUUACGAAGGUAAUCUCCAGUUUCUUUGUUUCUUUUAACAAAAUGAUCAAGAGCUCAAUUGUUGUUACCUAAAAUGCAACUCUGUGCUUAAACAUUCUGUUAGCUAUUACAAGAUGUGGUAGGAUUUAGUGGUAAGAAGUUUAUGAGUAUUACUCUGUGUUAAACAUUCUGUUAGCUAUCUAGCCAAGCCGUUCAUGAUGUAUACAUUAUAUUGACUAUUGAGUACAAUGCACCACUAAUAUUUAUGUGCAUGUGUGUCAUCGAAAUACAUUAACUUCGUGUAUUAUUGCCAUUCGGGGUAUCUAAACACGUACAACCAGAUCAAGAACCGCAGUCAUCCUUGUAUUUAUAGCUAUAAGAUGAUCUUUGUUGUUCACUUUUGAUACCUUGGUUGUAAACUUGUAAUUGCUAACUCGAAUCAUGUAAUAAAAUCAAUCAUCUUCCUUUAGUUGUAUUUAAAGCAGCAUGGCAUCAUGGAAUUAUUGCAGCCGAAUUCACUAGCUCCAAUUAAAGUGGCACUUGUCCUAGCGUUUCUCUGCAAAUUCACUAGCUCCAUUGCAUACAGUUCAAGUAUGUGUAGUUUUCUUUUCAUGGCUUAUGCCUUUUGACAUAAAUAAUAAUUUUCCUUUCCUUUGAAACAUUUACUAUUGGGUACCACAGCAUAUUCUCCUGUGUAUAUAUAUACUUUCUAACUUUGUGUUGAUUUGCAUGCAUAAAUUCUAACAUCAUCUGUGAUCAUGGCUAUAAGAUGAUCUUUGUUGUUCACUUUUGAUACCUUGGUUGUAAACUUGUAAUUGCUAACUCGAAUCAUGUAAUAAAAUCAAUCAUCUUCCUUUAGUUGUAUUUAAAGCAGCAUGGCAUCAUGGAAUUAUUGCAGCCGAAUUCACUAGCUUCAAUUAAAGUGGCACUUGUCCUAGCGUUCCUCUGGAAAUUCAUGAUCACUAGCUCCGUUGUAUGCAGUUCAAGUAUGUGUAGUUUUCUUUUCAUGGCUUAUGCCUUUUGACAUAAAUAAUAAUUUUCCUUUGAAACAUUUACUAUUGGGUGCCACAGCAUAUUCUCCUGUGUAUAUAUAUACUUUCUAACUUUGUGUUGAUUUGCAUGCAUAAAUUCUAACAUCAUGGCCUGAUUGCCAGAAUUGCCAGAACCAACCUGGAAACGUUCAAUCAGGAAGCUGGUGUGCUCGAAAUAGUAGAUCAAGGCCUGACCAAAGAAAAUUAUCUCCAAGGUAUUUUUGCAAAGAUAUCACCAAGGUUUGUAAUAUUAGUGUUCUUGAUGAUUGAUUGGAAAUGAUGCUAGCUCCUAAUGCUGACUUCCUAUGCGCUGUGACUUCCUUGUAGGAUGGUGCCAGACCUGCAAAAGAUGGAUUAUUGUGACUCUUGUUUAGAAUGUAUCAUAUGGGCAUUCUGAAGAUAUUCUCCAGUAAAGUCAAGGCAAAGUUCUAGAUUUUGAGCAGAAAACAAGUCCUAGAUUGCAAGCUGAAGAAUUUAGCACACAGAGCUGCGUGCUCCAGUCUUUUAUCCUUCUUCAAACCGAAGACCUUUAUUUUGAGCAGAAACGAAGUCCCAGACUGCAAGCAGAAGAAUUUAGCAUACAGAGCUGCGGGCUCCAGUCUUUUAUCCUUUUUUUUUUCUUUUGAGCCAUGACUUGUUUGCAUUCGUGUCUGCUUCAGCCUCCAGCACAAGCGAAACACAGGCAGCACUUUCAUUUUAUGAUUUGUCUAUCCACAUACAUGACCGACUGCCAUAGAGUAGACCAACAGUCCAACGUACUCAUGUUGUUGCUCGACAAGCUGUCCAAGCUGCUGCUUGAUAUGAACUGAAAGUGCUGAACUUUGUCCAUGUUAUGUUGGUAGUAUAUCUAAUACUGAACUUCAGAGUAGAACAACAGUCCAACGUGCUCAUGUUGUUGCUCGACAAGCAGUCCAAGCUGCUGCUUGAUAUGAACUGAAAGUGCUGAAUUUUCUCCCGUGUAUGUUCUGUGUUACUGUGUAUCAAAUACUGAAUGGUGUGCAGGGUGAUCCUGCAUCCUGGAAUGGCACGGUCUUGUGCAGAGGUCUCAUUGUUGUUGACCUGUUUCUUCAAAACUGCAUGUGCAGCAACAUUUUCUCCUGGCAGUGCUGCAAUGGAAUUGAAAAGAAUGGUGAUUGUUAUAGUAUAAUUGUCAUAUAUAGGCUGGGACACAAAACAAUGGAUGUACAUGAGCAAGGAAGAAGCUCUGGAUGCAGGGGAUGGAACAGAACAGAGACACGGACUCUGUCAACAGCGAUGCUCCCCAAGCGAGCAGAGGCAGAGCAGCGAAGCCCGCCUCGCAAUCUCCGCUACCCCCAUCGAAGUUGCCACACGCCACCGCAUCUCCCUCCACUCCGCUCCCACUCCCCCGCCACCGCCAUGGCCGCCGCCGCCGCAGCGCCCUCCCUCCUGCACCCACCGGCGGCCCGCAAGGCCCCCACACCUUCUCCCUCUCCUUACCCUUCCCCAUUCCUCCGCCUCCCGGCCCCCGCGCACCCGCGCCUCCCGCUCCGCCUCCGCUCCACCUCCCCGGCCGCCGCCUCCGACCUCACCGACUUCCCCAACCCGAACGGCAUCCUCGCGCCCAUCGACGUGGACGCCGCCACGGAGGCGGAGCUUCGCGAGAACGGGUUCCGGAGCACGCGCCGCACCAAGCUCGUCUGCACCGUGGGCCCGGUCACCUCGUCGCCCGAGCAGCUCGAGGCGCUCGCCGUCGGCGGGAUGAACGUCGCCCGCCUAAACAUGUGCCACGGGGACCGGGAGUGGCACCGGGGCGCCAUCCGGGCAGUCAGGAGGCUAAACGAGGAGAAGGGCUACGCCGUCGCCGUCAUGAUGGACACCGAGGGCAGCGAGAUCCACAUGGGGGACCUCGGCGGCGCCUCAUCGGCCAAGGCGGAGGUGAGGUGCUGUGCUUGUAUGUAAGCUGCUGUCCAGUUUUGGACUUGGCGUUGCAGUUUUCAGUUUUCAGAUUGAACGUAUUCCGUGAAAUGUGCUUGUGCAAUGUGGCAAUGUGGAUGAGAGGGGUGGUGGCAGUGGCAGUGUCAGGCAUUGCCGUUUCAUACUUCUGCAAAACCUAGCGAGUCAGGAUUUCACCAAAAUGUUUUUUUUCCAUCUUCGAAAUGGCUCAGUUGAUUUAGAUUUUCAGCUCAUGUUUGAAAUUGUUAUAGAAGGAAAAACAUUCAGAAUUUCAGAUUGUCAUCAAACACUGGAUUGUGAAAGUGGUAAUCAUUUUCAAGGCUUUCAAUCUUUCAAAAAAAUUUCAAGGCUUUCAGUAUCAGUGCAACUCAAAUAAAGUGCAUGGUAAACAUCACCAUGUUUUGGCUUUCUCUGCAUAUAAGACACGGUGCUGGAGUGGUUCGACGGCGCUGAGGUCCCAAUCCAACCAGUCAGGUUUUUUCAAGGUGUCGAGUUUGAGUGCUUACCUGCGUUGGCCCCAUUCCAACCGGGCGAGUCUUUAUUUAUUUUUCGUUUCUUUUCUUUUUUUGCCUAUGGCCUCCCAGGACCGUAGUCUUGUAUUUUCUAUUAUAUCAAUAGAAACUCGCACUAUCUUGUGCGGUUCGUUCAAAAAAAAGUGAUAGGCAUUGAGCUUCUGAAGGUCGUUGUCUAGAUAUUAGGCCCAAGCCUCAAUGGCUUUUUUUUCCCUGUUGCAAACCUUCCUGUAAGUAAAGGGCACACCAGUGCGAAAGCUCCCACACAAGGUGGGGUCUGGGGAAGGGAAUUCCUAGAUAGCCUUACCCUUGCAAAAUUCUUUUAAAUUUUUGCAAAGAGGUUGGUUCGAACCCAGGACCUCCGGGCCACAAGUGGAGAGUUUUACCACUGUGCCAGGUCCGCCCUUCUAGCAGAAUCUCUUAUGCUAGGUUUAAUUUGAAUUAGCUUUAUUAGUAGAAUGCUUGGCCCAUUUAUUGGUAAAUGGUAAAAUUCAUAAAGAUUAUCCUCAUUCCCUUAAUCAAUUUUAGGUGUUUAACUUGCAGCAAAUUCGAACAAUGACAGACAUGCAGCAUAUUGUUAGUUCAUCUGUAAGACUUGGCUUGCUGGUUUAAUGCUUUGUUAAAGGUUUGAAGUUAAUGUGUCUACUGGUAGCUAUUGAAUCUCUUUAUAGUUUAUUUAUAUCUUUUUUCUUUAUUAGUAUAAAGCCAUGUAGAAGUUUUCAGAAUACUGAAAUUUCUAGUGUUCGUUUUGUGGAGUCUCUGCACCUACAUCCUUUUUUGCAACUGCAUUUCAGAUCCUUCAGUUAUAGCAUGAAUAAUUUUUUAAAAAAGAAAAUUCUAGGUAGAUUCUUGCCCGUAGUUAAUGGUAGUGUCCGAUGAUAGUUGUGUUUUAGAUAAUACAUUAAUAUUAGUAAUCCAAAGAAACUAAACUACUUCCAUGAUGCUAAAUGUCAUCAGUGCUAGCUAGGGUCACUAUACCAAAAAGGAGAUUCUAUCACCAUUCGGCUGUUUAUCUUAAGUUUUUAACCAUACAGUUAGAAGUUUGAUUGUACACCUAUUCAAUAAUCCAAGGUUUUCUUGAGCCACGUUAUUUACCCAAUGACUUCCAUUUUUCUUGGCAUUAAAACCUUUCUGAAGUAAUUAACAAAUCAUGUCACAUUUGUUGGAUUCCACAGGAUGGAGAAGUCUGGACAUUUAGUGUUAGGUCAUUUGAAUUGCCUCUCCCAGAACGAACUAUUAAUGUGAAUUAUGACGGGUUUGCUGAAGGUAUGUAAGCUGACCUAUUUGUUGAUAUCUUUUGCUGUUAUUGUUCACUGCCAUAAUUUUGUCCUACACAGAUGUGAGAGUUGGUGAUGAGCUUCUUGUGGAUGGUGGAAUGGCUCGGUUUGAGGUGAUUGAGAAGUUGGGACCAGAUGUUAAGUGUCGCUGCACAGAUCCUGGUUUAUUGUUGCCACGUGUGAAUCUUACAUUCUGGCGUGAUGGCAGUAUUGUCCGUGAGAGGAAUGCUAUGCUUCCUACAAUUUCAUCAAAGGUAAAUGCACUAGCAUAAUAAAUUUCUUGCUGUAAUUACCAAAAGACCGCAAAACUUUGUUAAUCUAUGCCACCCCUUGGUACUAGUAUUGCAAUGGAUUUACAGCUUGGUUUUUUUUGUCAAUGCCAUGGUCAGUUCAAAACAACAUGUAUUAGUUCAAAGCCUUACAUUGUGCACUGAAACUCAUCUCUUGAUAGUUUUUAUCAGCUAUUUCUUAAGAAGGCUUCUACCACCUAGAGUUGUUUAACUGAAAAUUUAAUCUUCUAGUAGCAGAUACUAAUAUUAUAAGUUUAUAAUAAUGCUGCUCCUACCCCCGACGCAGCUUGCCGGAGGCCCUUGACGCAGCGCUGCCAUCCGCAAGCCCUAACGCCGCCGACGCGCCCCUCUCCUCGGUUGAUUUGGGAAGGCGCGGGACUGAGGCAGGGAGAUUGGGAAGCAGAGCUUCCUGUUCCUCGUCUGCUACUCUGCUUCAAUUGGGCACCGGGAAAAGCGAUGCUGCCGGGUGCUCGGGUUCUUGGAGAGGGGAUGGAAUGGAAUGAUGGAUCGAUGCGGGAUGCGUUGCUGUUGCUAGCGGCUUCUGAUUGGAGAGAGGAGAGAAGCUGGUUGCUUGUGUUACCGUGAACGUGAAGGAAAACAGAGUAGGGAGGAGAGCAAGCUGCUGGUGCAGGAGCAUCAUGGCUACGGCAAUGGCAGCGGUGCGGUUCGUUCCGUCAAAUCCCAGAUUUCGGCCACAUUUGAUUGAUGCGAUUUAAUUUGAUUCCUUAUUGGUCGCCAGCCACGCAUUCGAUUCAUGGACGCGCAGGCCCCGGUGGUGAUGCAAGCCACGGUGGUUCCUGCAUGACAAUAGGUUCUUGUUACAAGACAGUCAUCAGUCAUAUUGUGAAGAACUGAUGGCAGUUUUGAACACAAAUAUAGGAUUUCAUCACGAUACACUAGAGGUUUACAAUCAUCAACUACUGCAGGGGAAAAAAAUGGAGCUAGUAUUUUUGAAAAAUGGCCCGAUGUUGAAUCUGUGAUAAUGCAACUUAUGUAGCAGAGCAACCAUGGUAACACAAAAAUGUGCCAAGAGACUGACCUGAUCUUCUUCAGCCUCUCUCCAGGUCAUCCCCGAGCUUCAUGUCAAGAGCGUUGGAAACAACCUGGGAGAACCUACAUCCUUGUAAUCCUUCUUCAUGAUGAGGAAUCAGUCAGGGACCAUGAACUGGCGAGGGUUAGGAACCACAUUCUUGAGGCGCUCAAGCUCAUCUGGGGACACCUCACGAGCUCUGCACAAAAAUAUUAUCAUCAGAGCUAAACUUCAUGCAAUGGGGCAUUCUAGCUGUAGCAUACAACAACCUACUGGCCCAGUUUGUUAUUGCGGCACAUGGAAAAUUAGUGGGAAAGUGGUGCGAUGCACCCAUCUCAAAUCUCCAACUUCAAAAAACAUGAAUGCCAAAGACUUCUGCAUAGGCUGUCUUUAGAUGGCAGAUGUUUUUUAAAACACGUUUUCCAAUGGGCUUCACUCUCAAGUAGAUUCAGAAAAGCUAAUUGAUGAUCGGCACCAAGCCACAGAUGACUGCCACUAAUGAACAGUCAGUAGAUAAUUUCUGCAUUGUUGCCUAGAUUUCACCUGAGGAAAACCAAACUGAUUGAACAUCUCGCCACAAUUUCUUAGAUUAACUGAGCCCAUCACCUACGGGAAUGGAAGGAAAAAAAACCGAAAACUGUUACCAACAUUACAAUUUGUCAAAUAAUCUUCAUAUUCGAAUUCCCUAUACAAAAAUACCGCUUUGCCAGACUGGACCAGAAAGCAAACCAAACCUAAAUUCAGUAUAUUUAUACAUGUUGAAUCAUCUCUUGGUCACGUUUUCUUCAUUGAAAAGAAGUAAUGAGAAGAAACAUUCUUCAAAAAUUACUGAUCAAAACCAUAUUUUUAGUGUGCUACGAUUCUACAGCGACUUCAGUACAAUGGAAGCAUUGGUGCUACAACGAGCUUCUGAUAAAGUUAGGAGUGAUUUUAAUCCACUUUUCAACUUGGAAACCAAGUUGAAAACAAGUCUUCCUUUUUGUUAAUGUGUUGCCGUGAGAACAUAGAGUAUGAGCAGUUCAAACCGGUUACCUAAAUUAUGCUUGUGAUCCGUGCACUGUGAUGGUCAAACUUCUCCUUGUUAAAUGGCAAGCUGCUGUUGCCUUGGAUCCUAAGGUCGUGCUGUGAAUGGUAUUGUAACUGUUAAGGUAAAUCCUGUUCUCCAUUUGUGGCCAUGCAUGAGAAUUGAGAACUGGAGAUCAUUCUGAAUUUUUGCUCCUUACAGAUUGCUUUGUGUAUCCCUUGUGCGCCAAAUGGGACUGAAAUUCGUGGCGUGAUACGUCAUCGUGACCUUUUGAAUUUUAGUUGGCUUUGUUUUUGUUUUCGAGGAUUUAACUGUUGUGCCUCCGUCUUCCAUGUGGCGAAGAAAUUGACGCAGUGGGGUCGGGAUGGUGUUCAGCUGCUGUUUGCUGGUAGACUGUUUAUUUUGUUUGGGAGUAUAAAGGGGUGGAUCAUCCAUCAUAUCUAAGCAAUAUGAUUAGUGCAAAUCAUGAUGGUCAACGUCAGGUUUCGUUUUGGGCAACCAACCACAGGGUUUCUUUGAUGGUUUCGUAUUCAUUGUAAUCGCUGUCGUUGCUUGCUUCUUGCUGCCCACAUUCCUAUUCUCCCGUCGGCUCGACGGAGGAUUUUAUUUUAAGAAUGCAGAGAAAGAAACAUGCCUCCGUUUUCCAAGCAAAGCAUAUAUUCUUUCUGGAAGGUCAACGACAAGGCCCCGGCCGUUCCAAGCUUCUCGCUGGCCUAGCCGUCGCGUCCAUUCAAGCUCAGAGGCGACUGCCGUUCCGAGCUCUCCAAGGGCCCGCGCGAUGGGAAGCGGCGCGGUUCUUGACGGUGGUGUUGUUCCUCGCCGCGGGGGUCCUCUUCGCGCCCGAAUCGCUGGCGCCUCGGCGGCCACCGCAUGGGGCACCGGCCUCUGGGUCGCAUUCAUCGGCGGCACCAUCCUGUUCAGGUAAGCAAGCGCCGCCGCUGCCGCUUCGUCCGCCCCAAGAUCAGAUGGUUGGAAACAAGCGAGAGAUGGAUUCUGUCAUGUUUACUAAUAUACCAUUAUACCCAAGCCUAAAUGUGAUAUGCUGCUGCUGUCAUAGCAUUCACAUUCAAAUCCAAUUUCGUGCGCAGCAAUGCACGGCGCCCAUCCUAGGAAGAACUCUGAGGAAAAUGACAAGCCUCAUGAAUCUGUCCUUGGAAUCAUGCGAGUUUUAGUAAAUCAUUGGAAUCCACUGGAUCAUCAUCUUAAUCUGGCAACCAUUGGUCCGGAAAAAUCAUUCUAGUAAAUAUUCACCUUGACGAUCUGUUGGAAGGACAAGGACCACAAAAAUUAUGAAUUGGGAUUUAUGUGCUGUAUUGAGAGAGCCCGUAGGUGCUGGAUUUCUCUGGAAACGUUCUGAAAGUUCUGGUAGUGGUAGCACUGCUACAAUUUUACAAGCAUGUGGGGUUGUUCCUCUGUUUGUUGAUUAGGUAUUAUGUUUUGCAGUCUUAAAGUUCAGAAGGUAAUUACCCAGGUGUGCAAGUAUACCUUCAAGUUUUUUUUUAACAUAGUGUACAUAUUACCUUGUUAUAGUGAGAACAGAGAAGUCCACCGCAAAAGUAUAGCCUAGCAUAUAUUGUUCUUGCAAUAGACCAUGUGUGGAUAUGCCCCUUUGCAGGUCGAUUAUUCCAUUCAGAACAUAGCAUGGACCUCUAUAGUGUUUUGGAUAGAUUUUUUUUUAUUAUAAAGGUACUUGCCGAGGCACCAAUUUGGGAGUCUGCGGGGUAAAAUGUUCCCGGCGUAGUUCAUAUUGACAUCAGUGUGUUCAGCGAUAUCUGUGGCAGCAUUCGUAUACCUGCACCCCUGGAAGACAGCAUCAACCAUCGAGCGUUACCAGCAUGGAUUCCUUCUUUCGGCCCUUAUCUGUAACCUUUCAAACCUUCUGGUCAUCACACCCGAUCCUUACCUGCGCUGCCGCCGCACCGCCACCUCUCCCUCCCUGCGUCGCCGCCGCGCCGCCACCACUCCCUCCCUGCGUCACCGCCGGGACCCCGACGACCCCUCCCACCACUCCCUGCAACUGAAGAGGUAAUCCGACAGCGCCCCCUCCGGGCGCCGCCACGCCGACCCGCCUCCGGGUGCCCAAUUGAUACGCCCGGACCGCUCCUCCUCCGUCCGCUGCCCAACCGUGCCUCCUCCGGGCGCCCAACGCCGGCGCACCCCCUGUCCGGUUGCCCCUCCGCGCCAGCGCCCCCCUUCCCGGCCUUCUCUCCACCCCUCCCCCGGCCUCCCCUCCACGCCGGCGCGCUGGUAGACGGACGCCUCUGGCUACUUCUGUGCCGGCCGCGCCGCCGCCAAGCUCGCCCCUACGAAAACGGUAACCUCUUCCGCCCAUCUGCACAUCUCCAUGACAAUCCGUUUUUAUGCAUCCUUAUUGAGGCGGAUCUGGUGGUUCGAUUGCAUAGAGGAGGAUAAUGAUUAGUGGAUUUGCUUGAUUGGCAACAUAGUCCAUCAUUUAUUCUCCUGUUCUCCAUUAUCAGUAUUGUGAAAUUGCUUGACAGAUGGCUGGUCACUUGUUUUUUUUUAGUGAUUCCAAUGGUAAUCAUAUCAUACCAGACCUAGAUAGAAUAUAAUAUGAGAUGAUGUUGCAGACUGAGUCAUCUGAUUCUUGCAGUCUAAUUCUAGGAGUUUUAGGCAGUGGCAUGUGAAUAUUAUCAAUACUUCUGCUUCAGUUAACAUAUGCAACUUAUGGGCACUCACAUAGCAGGUUAUUUUUCUGUUGUUUUAACUAACAUGGCAUGACGUGAUGUUUUUGACUGUUUAACUAAUAGAAUCUUUAAGCUUUGAUUGGUACACUCAAACUUCAUUAUUGAGAUUGGUCGACUGUCAGUAUUGUGAAAUUGCUCAACAGAUGGGAUAUUGCUUGCAUUAAAAGAUUAGCUUCAGGAUAUUGCUUCGAUUGUAGAGGAUGAUAAAAGUAUUGAUUUUUCUUUCCUUGUUUUUUAGUCAUUCGUGCUUACUCUCUAGCAAUGGUUAAUUACAACACUGCAGGACUACUAGCUAGCGUAUUUAUCUAGGUUCUGAUAUAAAGCAUAUAACAUUGGAUCUGGGAUAAUAUGUUGGCUAUUUUGUGGCUGGCCCGGAAGCCCAGUGGUUGCUUUGCUUUGCUACCUGCUUUUGCAACUCUCUUCUUUUCUGAGCUCAUUCUUACACUUUAGCCUGCAGUCGAGUAUGUGUGUUAGCUAUUGAGCUGUUUUGCUUUGCUUAAUCAAAUGCUAUAUUACACCAUGUUUUCAAAUUUGUUCCCAUAGUUAUUUAGCUUAACCUCUAUCUCUGAAAUCAGGUACUUGAUAGGAUGAACUGUAGGGGUCUGAGGUCUUUUUUUAAUGAAGCAACAGGGGAGGACCCUACUGACAAAUUUCAGAGGAUAUAUAUCUGUACAGGUUGCAUGGCCAUGUAGUUCCAAAAGAAAAAAAAGGAGGAGAUUUAGAUCCCUCUCCACGAAAUAUUUUCAUGGUUGUCCAUAAAUAUUUGUUUUCUGUGCAUUAAGCUUUUCUGUUGUGCUAAUCUGAUUCAAGGAACCCAGAAUUGCAACUAUCUUAAAUUUUCUUUUUAUAUUCCAUUUUAUAUCAAUUCCAGGUACAUGCAUGAUUGGUAUGGCCAGGUUGAAUGCAAAUAUGUGGCAACACUGAAGUAGAACAAUCAUUAUGAAGCAUGUCAAGUAAGCAUGUUCUAACUUUUGGAAUGUAGCUUCAUGAAUUUGAUUCUUUGAUAUACUAUACAAGGUUGUAUUUGUUUGAUCUGUCACUUAAUUUGACAUUGGAGUUGUCCGGCCAACAAAUCCACAUGUGCCUCCGCCACAUGGACGCCCCCAAGGCCCGUACGUGAUCCCCAGGUCCCUUCCCUUCUGUUUGGUUGCAAACACUGACAGAGAACCAUUUGCAACUGAGCUCAUGACUAACUUAAUGUACCGUUGCUGCUUGCAGGUCACAGCUCAGAUGAGGCAAAGCGGAUAGCUUGAUUACUGGAUGCAGGAUUAGCAUCCACCAUGAGCCUGUGCACCUGGUCCAUCGUAAUUCUUUGAAUUUACUCUAUUGAAUGCAGGGUGUUCCUGAAAUUGCAAGAAUUAUGGCACCAGAUUGGUCGUCGAUGGACAGAAGGCAAUGCUGUGCUGCCAAUUAAGUUGCCUGGUGAUGUUUCUAACAUGCAUUCUGUACUAUCUGACAUUUUAGAUUUCAGGCUGCUAUCGUAUCUGGUUUGUGACUGUAUUUUCUACCAAUCAAGUUGCCAUCAAACUUAAAUAUUGAAGCCUCUGGUGGAUAUGAUGAUGAAUUGACUGUAGACUGUUGGCCCUUGGGCAUUGCAAAGAGAAGGAAAUAUCUGUUAAGAUAGCCAAAACCAUCAAGUUAGUCCAGAUCAUGCGCUACAAAAUUUCACUUCUUUUAUGAACUGCUGUAGUGUGUAAUAUAAAUAAUGCCAUCAAGUUAAUAUGUAUGUGCAAAAAAUCCCCUGACAGGAAAUUAUUAGGAAUUUAUAUUAGAAACAGGAAACAUGAAUGCUGAAGCAUGUUAGAACUGACAAAACACAAUCAGACAUAGGCAGGUUCUUGGGACUGCAUGAAGAGAGACUCAGAUUCCUAAGGAUUGUUCAAGUGCAUUCGAUGUGAUUUGCCGACGAAUGGAACAGAGGAUGGCCUAUGGCCAGAAUGAGCAGGUGAGGCUCCAUACUAUCUUACCGUAUGUCUUCCUCAUGUCUCAUGUGUUGCAUUGCAUGUAACUGUUAAAGUAUCUGUGCUACAGAUCUCACUUUAUUAAAUCAUGUGAGAUUAAACUUACAUUUAUAUUGUCAUUAAUAGAAAUCAACAGAAAAGAGGUACUGAUUGGAUUACUAAUUCAUUAUUUGUAGUUGCCUUAGUCAAGAAUAUAAAUUUGUCAGGGACAACUCAAAUACAGAAACACACUCAUGAUCCUUUGUAGUUUGCAGUAGAUUGCGAGUUUAAUGGUAAAUCUGGACUUGAACUUCUUUUCAGACUCUGUUCUACCACCGAAUUUCAUACUGCAUUACUUCAUGCUCGAAAAAUGGAUGAAAUCAAAUCGAUAGCCUUCCUCGGUUAACCAUUGCAGAGACACCGCUCUUGUAAUUCAGGACAUGGUACUGCUGCACGAAGUGGAGGUGGAAUACCCGGACGGUCGACCCAUCGAAAAGCACCAAGCGAUGCUACUGGAGUUCGGAAAGUUUGAAAAUGGCCAAUCCACCACUGCCAUGUCCCUCACCGUUGGUGUAGCAGCAGAAAUAGGGGCUCUGGUAGUAACCUUAACCACAGUUAUACUUGCAUGAGGAUAAAAGCAGAAACCCCAUGUAUAUUCAUUUACUCUUGCCCCAUGCCAUGUUGCAGCUCUUGCUCCAGAACAAGGUGCAGACGAAAGGAGUGAUUAGGCCUCUGGAACCUGAAAUCUACAUUCCAGGUGAGUGCAACGUGGACCAUGGUUUUCAUGCCUGUCCUUUGUGGAAUCACCGUGACAUGCAACAGUGCUGACUCGUGUGUUUGCGUGUGUGAAGCAUUGGAAAUCUUGGACUCGUCAGGCAUAAAGCUGACUGAGAGAGUGGAGAUUUGAAAAUUCGUGUGUACUCCCUCCGUCCCUGUCGUUUUCGCUUCCUGAGAAACAACUUUGACUAAAUAUAUAUAAAAAAUAUUAAUAUUUAUGAUACAAAAUUAAUACAAUUAGAUAGAUAUUUGAAUCUAGUUUUUUAAUAAAUUUAUUUGAAGAUACAAAUGGUGCACGUAUUUUCUACAAAUCCAGUCAAACUUGCGGCACGGAAACCAAAAGCGACAGUUAUUUAGGGACGGAGGGAGUAAGCAUUGGAGAUCUUGGAGUCGUCAGCCACCAAGCUGACUGAGAGAAUGUAGAUUUGAAAAUUCGAAGUUAAUAGUACAUAGAUAUACUAUAUGAUAAUAGCUGGGUACAUAUAUUCUGUACAUACUAUGUUCUGUCCUAAGAAAGGGUAGGAACUCCCAACAGUUUGUCGUCGUCGUUGUACAUAGAAUCUCAUAAUGUAUAACUUUCAAAGCUCUAAAAACAACAGGUCUUGUGUGCAACGAUGAUAGUCGGAUUAGUUAUACACCAUGUACUUUAGUGUGGCACUAAAUUAUGAAUAGGUUCUCUAUACUUAAAGCUUCUUAGACUAUGAUGUUCGUCAGCUCACUGGUGAUUGGAAAGGCGUCUUUAGAAAUUGCUACGCAAAACGAUUGGGAGUAUAGGGCAACCCUGCUUGCUUAUUCAAAUUGAUGUACCUAAGGGUGUAAAAUGUGAAGAUAUAUGGAAGUCUUGAUUGUGGAGAAAAAUUGUCAAUCAAAAUAGCAUCUUAUUUAUGAGGUGGGGCCUGAUUCGACUCAUGUCGAGCCCUCUCCUUUGCACCAACGAACAGAUCCAAUCGUUUAAAAUCAGGUCCAAGUUCACAUCUCUUUUGCCCUCCCACUCAGAGCACAAUCGGCCAGCGCGACGGGGAUGGCGACACAGCCACCGACGGCUGGAGCUCCCUCAAUGCUGCCAGCAGGUAAUUGACUAGCCUAUUACUAUUUGGAUGUGAUGCACAUUGGUCACGAAUUUGUAAAUCUAUCAGUUCCUGCUUCCUGCAUCCAUUUGUGCAGUUCUUGCGGUGGAUGCAGUGCACUGAGUAUAGAAAUUAUUUUUUAUUACUUCUGUGAAACGUUUUGGCCUUGGCAAGUAUGUACAGAUUUAGUUGUUGUUUUUUUAGUCAGAGGUGAGCUACGUGUAUGGGAAAGAAACACUUGAUUGCUUGUUCUAGAUCUUGCCUUCAUAUAAACUGUGAUGCUAUCAACAUGGAGAUUUGAUGCAUUCUACUCUCUCUCUAUUUCACAUGGAAAAGAACUCGUGUUUACUCAAUAAUGCUUAUGAAUUUUCCUUAGAGUUGCAUUUAUUCAUCAUCCUAAAGUAUUCCGUGUCAAGUAAACUCAUACUUCUAAUUUUUCAAAAAACAAUCUGAAAUCAAUGAACCCCUCCUUCCUUGUGAAAUUGUUGUACCUUUUUCCUUAUGACAUCUUAUCUACUUCCACUUUCCUGGUGCAGAAUUUUUGAAAGUAGGAAACGUAAGCAAUGACAGUGAGAGUCGCAGCAAUACUGAGCUCAAUAGGUGAACUAGACAAACCAUUCUGCUGUAGUUCAUUUUAUCACUGCAGUCAUCGUCGGACAAUGAGGUCAGAACCAGCAGGUUCGCAGAGUGACUUGUGACUUGUGGAUAAUCCUGCAGAUUCAACAAUGGUAAAGUAACGAAUGGUUAAGGUAUAAGUAGAUUUACUCAAUUAUACUCCAAUAGCUAAUGCAUUGCAUAUAUUGCUUGGCCGUGUAUAUAAAUAUUACAUCACUGUUCAACAUAAGUAAAUAGCUUGGUCCUUCAUAAUAAAGCAGUCCAUUUUGGUAAAAGCUAUAGUGCAAUUAGUUUUCUUGAUUUUCUUAAAAUUUUACUCAAAGUCUGUUCCUUAUGUUGUACAUUUGCCUCGCGGGCUGGCUAACUGACCUACAUGAGGCUGGCUAACUGAUCUGGAGGUUCACUAUCUAUGUUCUUUCAUUUCAUUGUCAAACAGAGAUAUUCUAAAUCUGAAAGUCUGUUGAAAUUGCCUAUGGAGUCUUGUGGUACCUUUAGUGUUUCUUAUCAUGUCCAGUAGGAGGUCUUGGAAAACAUAUUUGCCAUACAUGAUUUUUUUUAAAUCGAAAGUAGUAAUAUGCUGUGUAAUUGCCUUCUUGCCUCCUGACGUGUGGCAAAUUCAUUGAGCGUUUCCACUUACAUCGCUGGCAUAUUCAGAAAACAACGCAAAGAUGAUGGUUUUGGGUGAGAGGUCCUUUGGUCAAGGUAAUUUCAGAGCAUUGAUUUUCAAUGUACUUGUAAAGCCAAGAGAAAGUUGAGCAGGGCACAUUCAGUUGUUAACUGGACUGUUGGCUUGCUGCUAUGGAAACAUGUUUUCAGCCUUAUUACUUGCCGAGUUUACAUUGGGAUCUGAAAACUGGACAGCGUGCCAUUAGUUUUGUCUGUCUCCAGGACAUUGCCCAUGCACAUGAACUGACUGAUUACCAUGAAAAUUCACCUGUUUCAGUUCCAAACUAAUUAUUGCUUCAAGGUCACAAAGCUAUAUGAAAAUCUGUAUCCAAUUGAAUGCCAGAACUCUCUAGGAUGAUGUCAGGCAUUCCCAUUUAUAGGUUAACCUGAAGUGAUUCUUGAAGAUUAGUUUCUGUGUGGUUGAUUUGAACUGUUUGUCAUAUUGUAUGCUUCAUCUUGAUUACUAUCAAUUUCACAGGUCAUGUUCAUUGUGAGGAAUGGAGCGCAAUGCCUUGUGGUAACUCUGGGCAGACGAAAAUAGGCCACCUCUCCCAUUUUCUUGAUAUUUAUUUUCUGAUAUCUGACUAUUGUAUUUGUCGUGAAAUUUAAAUUGUAGACACUAACAGAUCAUGUGUCACUUCAUGCUUUGACCAUGUGAAAAAAAUUCAGUGUAUUUACCCAUGAUCGGUGCCUUGCCCCGAGUGGUCUUUAAUUCCUGAAUUAGGCAACGGUGAUUUUUCUUCUUAAUAUAUAGAUGCGCAGCUCUCCCGCGUGUUCGAGAAAAAUGAGGCAACGGUGACACAGCGCUCGUAGAAAGUAGAAAGUGAAGAAGCGGUUUGAGCAUAUUGCUGUUGACAGCUACCUCCGCAAGAUUUGGCCAGUAUCGUGAGCUGAGUUUCACAACCCUGAACCACUUGGUAAAAAACAGUCUGAAUUUUGCGUUGUGAGUAACUAACUAGACAUCCGAAUAAAUUAGUGUACUGAUAUUCUGAAAUUUGUUUUAGCACUGGGACUCUCUGGACUAUCCGGUGGAAUCAGGCCUUGGCAGGACUGAGGCAGAUGUGGGGGGUGACACCGUGCAGGUGAGGUGGUGGCGGUACCUGGCUCUGGCAUCUCCCUUUAUCCGCUUGAUGGAAUGGCAGCAUGGGUAUGGAGACACCAUCAGCAUCUAAACAAGGCCCAAAAGGUACAAAGAUAUGAUUUAAUCACUUUUGAUUUGUUUAUUUGCUAUCAUAUAAAUUGCAGGUCUUGAGUAAUAUGUCAAUGCUAUAAUUUUGCUUGCUUGUUGUGUGUCCUCUCUAAAAUCUUUUCUUUACCAUAUAUAUCCAUACGCACAAGAUAUUUGCAGUUACAAGUAUAAUCCUCAAGGAGUGAAAAGCUUGGGAUUCUGUUCGUGCAGGCAACAGGCAUUGAUUGCUAAUCAGCAUGGCCUCCACAAGUACCCAUCAUAGGAAGUGCAGCAACCAAUAUUGUGUUCAAACCUGAAGAAAAUAUAUGGGGAUGGCUGGGUGGCUGCACAGCUCAUGGCAGGGACCAAUUUGGAGUCUGCAUCUUCUUUCCCACAUAUAUAUGAUAUUUCCAUAUACUGUCAGGAUGCUAUUAAACUGCCUUCACCAGAUUACUAUAAACUGUGAACUUCGGAACUUUAAUUUUCGAUAAGUUGGAGUCGACGCUUAAAACUUCAGAGCUUUAUUUACUCCUAAGUACCAACAGCUCUAAAUUUUUGUGCACUGCACCCUUAGUUUUUAGUGAACAAUACUGACUGCUGAGGUUAUAAUGCAUCUUUCUAUGUGGGACUAAAGUUUUGUCAAGUAAGGCUAUGUACACAUUGAUAAAUCUGCUUCAGAAUAAUAUCGCUGAUACAUUGCAAUCUCACUAUCUGAACAAAAUCAGGUUUAUCAGUUAUUUAUAGUAGACUUGCUUGUUAGAAAGGACCUAAAUAGGUUUUCUUUGUCUAUGUGAAUUUUCGGGGAAUUCUGCUUAUCUUCCAUGGAUAGAUGCUACUUCUCCUGUAAUAUCGAAUUGGGUCAUGUGUGUGUCAGCUCUUUGCUAGCCAAAGGAGCUUGUGACUUGCAACUACUACUGCUUAUUCAAUGAUCUCUAAUAACUGAAUCAUUUUGUUCAGAUUCUAAUUACCAGGUCUUUUCUCAUCUCUUUAUGUUUUGAGGUGUUGGAUGAAAUAGGGUUAAUGGUGUUUGCUACCAUUCUACAAGAAAAUAGGGUUAAAAUAUUCUUGUAUUCCUCAGAUUAUUUGUGUCAUGCAAACUCCACUUUAGAAAAUUCCAUUCUAAAUGGUUGUGUGAGAUUAUGUACCAUUCUAAUAUGAUCUCAUGAGGGGAAUUAUUUAGCCUGUAGCAACGCACGGGCACGAUCCUAAUGGAAUUGAAAAGAAUAGAGAUCGCGAUGAACCACGAGAAUAUCUAGUGUUGGAACGCAAAGCGGAGGGCAAGUACCCAUACAAAAUCUAAUAACUCUGCAACAGCCAUCACUAGCAAGUUGUCAUACACUCAUUAUGGUCUUGGCCACGAGACAUGAGCAAGAGAUGCACAUCAUGAUCUAGGAAGCAGCAGCGCGCGGGUAUGGUCGCAUGGAACAGCCUCUUUGCCCGCGCCGGCCACCCCUUCCACUGCUGCUCAAAAGGUGCUCGACAAAAUGCCACUCCAGGACACUGCCCGCGCCGGCGCGCCUGGGCAGGAAAGAAAACAGGAAAAACUCUGAAAAGGGAGUAGUAAUGCACAGAAACUCACAUUGCUAUUCGAGUUGCCAUGAAACGUUGGGAUGGGUGUAAGUAACGGAUCAUAGAGACUGUCCAUUGUCAACUUGUCAUUAUUAAACAAAACUACUAUUAUUUUCCCUCCUGGCCUCGAGAUGCUAAUGGAUGGCCCAAAACUAAUGCAAGAUGCACAUGCUCUCACAUGGUUGAAGACACGCAGAUCAAGAUGCACAGAUCGAACACAUCUGGACGAACGUGGUUCUAUAUUGCUGUAGUGUAUGCAACCAAUUAAACACAUCCACUUGGCUCCUCCAAAGUCAACGCUCGAAGUCUCCAUUUUCCACAAAAGCAGCAGCUCAAACCAAGCGUCCAGCUUCUCUCUCUCCACCCAGCAACACUGUGUUUCCUGUGUCCUGUCACCUGUGCGUGUGUUUUUGGAUCUCCAGGCGUUGCCAUGGCUGAGGUACUGGCCACCAUGGUGGUCGGGCCACUGCUGUCCAUGGUGAAGGAAAAGGCCUCCAGCUACCUCCUGGACCAGUACAAGGUGAUGGAGGGGAUGGAGGAGCAGCACAAGCUCCUGAAGCGCAAGCUGCCGGCCGUCCUGGACGUCAUCGCCGACGCCGAGGAGCAGGCGGCAAAACACAGAGAAGGGGCGAAAGCUUGGCUGGAGGAGGUCCGGACGGUGGCCUACAAGGCGAAUGAUGUCCUCGACGAGUUCAAGUACGAGGCGCUUCGCCGCAAAGCCAAGGCGGAGGGCCACUACAAGGCGCUCGGCAUGGAUGUAAUAAAGCUCUUCCCUUCUCACAACCGUUUUGUGUUCCGUUAUAAGAUGGCAAACAGGCUCUGCAUGAUCUUGCAAGAAAUUGAUGUCCUCAUCGCAGAGAUGAAUGCAUUCAGGUUCAAAUUCAAACCGCAGCCGCAAAUGCUCAUGCAAUGGAGGCAGACGGAUGCUUGCAUCCCCACUGAGUCUGUGGACAUUGCCAGCAAAUCAAGAGCUCAAGAGACGAAGGAUCUUGUUCAUCAAUUGCUCGAGAGCAGUAAGGAUCGAUUGCUUGCUGGAGCCAGCAGUAAGGAUCUCAUGGUCCUUCCGAUAGUCGGAAUGGGGGGGUUGGGCAAGACCACCUUAGCACAGCUCGUUUACAAUGACACUGAAAUUAAGAAGCAUUUCGAGUUGCGGCUCUGGGUGUGUGUCUCUGAUGAUUUUGAUGUGGAUUCCCUGGCUAACAAAAUAGUGAAAGAGAAUGGUUGUGAAGCAAGUGGAAGUUCAUCAGCACUGGACAAUCUUCAAAAGGCAGUGAGUGGGAAGAGGUACCUCCUCGUAUUGGAUGAUGUGUGGAACCGUGAUGAGCCCAGCAAGUGGGAAAGGUUGAAGUCCUACCUUCAGCAUGGUGGCAGCGGUAGCUCAGUGCUGACAACAACUCGCGAUGAAGCUGUUGCUAAACUAAUGAUGGGUACAACUGAAGGAGCCUAUAAACUUGGAAGCUUGGAUGAAGAGUCCUUAGGGAAAAUUAUCAAGGCAAGAGCAUUCGGUUCAAAACAGCCUGGUGAACUAGUUAACAUGGUUGGUAAAGUUGCCAAGAGAUGUGCUGGUUCUCCUUUAGUUGCUACAGCAUUGGGCUCUUUACUGGGUACCAAGACCAGCAAGCAAGAAUGGGAGGAUGUACUAAAUGGAAGCACGAUUUGUGAUGAGGAAAAUGGGAUUUUACCAGUACUUAAACUAAGUUACAAUUGCUUGCCAUCAUACAUGCGGCAAUGCUUUGCUUUCUGUGCUAUGUUUCCCAAGGAUUAUGAGAUUGACGUGCAAAUGCUAAUCCACUUGUGGAUGGCCAAUGGUUUUAUCCCAGAGCAAUCAAAAGUGUGUCCUGAAACUUUUGGAGAAAGAAUUUUCAUUGAGCUCAAGUCAAGGUCAUUUUUUCAGGAUUUGAAGAAUGUCCCAUUUGAUGACAAAUAUUCUAUUUAUAAAAAUGGCAAUAAGCACAGGUAUUGUUCUAGAAUUACUUGUAAGAUCCAUGACCUUAUGCAUGAUGUUGCACAGUCUGCUAUGGGAGAAGAAUGUGCUGCAAUAGCUACACACCCAAGUGAAAAAGAGGAUGUUCUUCGUUCAGCUCGUCACUUGUAUUUGUCAAUCCGUCAACCACAAACUCUUCUGAAUGCUUCCCAAGAGAAAGGAUCUCCAGCUUUCCAAACACUGAUUUGUGACGGAUAUGUAGGAGAUUUGAAGAUUUUAUCAAAAUACAACUCUAUAAGAGCUUUAAAGAUCGUGUGUGGUUCAAUCUUAAGGCCGAAAUAUCUUCAUCACCUGAGGUAUCUUGAUCUCUCAGAAAGUUUCUUUGAAGCACUUCCUGAAGACAUUAGCAUCCUAUAUCAUCUGCAAACACUGAACCUUUCUUACUGUGACCGGCUUAAACGGCUUCCAAAGCAACUGAAGUAUCUGACUGGCCUCCGUCACCUCUACACUCACGGAUGUGGAAAGUUGAAAAGCAUGCCCCCAGAGCUCGGACGCCUAACUUCCCUACAGACGCUUACAUACUUUGUAGCAGGUGCCGAUGGCUCUGGUUGCAGUAAUUUGGGAGAGCUGCAGAAUUCGGACCUUGGUGGUACACUGAAGCUAAGCAAGCUAGAAAAUGUGACAGGAGCAGAUGCACAAGCAGAUGCAGAAGCAGCAGGUCUUGGAAAAAAGAAAAAACUGACCGAACUGGAGUUAUGUUGGACCGAUAGUGACCAGGAAGCACAGAAUAAUAAUCAUAAAGAGGUGGUGGAAGGUCUCAAACCUCAUGAUGAGUUGAAGGCUCUGAGGAUAAAUCACUGUGGGAGCAGAACUUUUCCAACGUGGAUGAAUACUUUGAAAGGCAUGGUGAACCUGAAAUUAUUCCAUUGCAAAAAGCUCGAAGAGCUUCCUGCACUCUGGGAGCUACCAGCUCUGCAAAUUCUUGGCCUGGAGGGUUUGGAGAGUUUACAUUGUUUGUGCAGCGGUGGUACUACACUCUGGGAGUUCACAUUUCCAAAACUGAAGGUGCUUACCUUGUUAGAAAUGGCAAAAUUUGAGGCAUGGUGGGAGACACAUGAGGUACAAGGAGAAGAGCCGAUAUUUCCCAAGGUUGAGGAGCUGGAGAUUAAGGAGUGUAAAAGUUUGACUGCAUUACCAAAAGCAGCGUCGGUGAUUACAGAAUUGUCUGGCGGAGUUAACACUAAGUGCCGCUCUGCAUUUCCAGCAUUAAGGAAAAUGACGCUAGGUGGGUUGAAUAUGUUUGAAAGAUGGGAGGCAGGCGAAGGAACUCCAGGAGAAGAGGUAACAUUUCCUCAGCUCGAGGAGCUGUCAAUCUGGUCUUGUGGCAGCCUGAGUGCAUUAUCAAAAGGGCCAUUAUUGGCUAAGCAACCAUUUGGCGGAGCUGAAACUGCAACCGUUUGUCAUUAUAUUAAGAAGAAAAUACCGUUUUGGUACAACGCACGCACACGGCCUACCAGCCGCUCUGCAUUUCCAGCACUGAGAAAACUAAGAUUAUCUGAUUUGUCGGCCCUUGAGAGGUGGGGGGCAGCCGAAGGAACUCCAGGAGAAGAGGUAACAUUUCCUCUGCUGGAAGAUUUGGAAAUUCGUGGCUGCCCGAAGUUGACUGAUCUACCUGAAGCACCCAAUCUAAGUGAAUUAUCCAUGAGAAAAGGUUGUUAUCAGCAGCAAAUAUCCCUACAGGCAGCUAGCAGAUUCAUCCCUUCAUUGUCCCGUCUGGGUCUGGAUGUGUCACCCGAUGACACAGAAACAACAUUACUGAAUGUCAAGAAGAAAUUGAAUGGUACACUCGCCUUGGCAGCUAUGGGGUUAGGUCGGUGCGACCUUUUUUUCUCCUCCCGCUCAAGCGCACUGGCGCUAUGGACAUGUUUUGCACAGCUAGUAGAUUUGGAGAUUCGGUAUUGCGAUGCUCUUGUCUACUGGCCAGAAAACGUGUUCCAGGUCCUGGUAUGCCUGAGGAACUUAAAGAUUUCCAGAUGCAUCAAACUGACAGGAUGCACACAAGCUUCUGAUGAGCAAUCUGCUCCAGCUUCACAACAUGGUGGACUCCUGCCAUGCCUGGAGUCUCUAGAGAUAGAAAAUUGUGAAUCUUUGGUAGAGGUCCCCAUCCUGCCGGCAUCUCUCAAGAAAUUAUAUAUUCGCAGCUGCAGUAGUAAUGUCGGGUCCAUCGUAUUUGGUCACCCGGAGGAUACGAGAUUGCUGAGUGCAGAAGGUGUUGUACGGCCGAAGACGUCAUCAUUAAUUCCAGGGUGCAACAGCAGUGAGGCCACAGCGUCUACAGCUGUACUGAAGCUGUCAUCUGCAGCCAACCAUCACUUCCUUCCAUUUCCAUGCCUAGAAUCUCUAUAUAUAGAUUAUUGCAGUGGCUUGUCAGAGGUUGCCAAUCUUCCUCCGUCUAUCAAGACCUUGUACAUUUGUGAGUGCGGCAAGCUUCAAUCCUUUUCAGGAGACCUCCGGUUGCUGGAAGAACUCACGCUUUGUCGAUGCAAAAGACUGGUAUCCUUACCGGAUGGGCCUCAAGCAUACUCAUCUCUUAGAGUUCUUCGGAUAAUACAGGAUGGUAUAAAGUUGCUUCCACCAAGCCUACAUAGCCGUUUGGGUUACCUCGAGGUUAAAAGACUAGAUGACCGUCACGAAGGUAAUCUCCAGUUUCUUUGUUUCUUUUAACAAAAUGAUCAGGAGCUUAAUUGUUGUUGCCUAAAAUGCAACUCUGUGCUUAAACAUUCUGUUACCUAUUACAAGAUGUGGUAGGAUUCAGUGAUAAAAAUUUAACGAGCGCAAUAUUUUGAACCUUUUUAGCCAAUUGUUGUUGAUAUAUACAUUAUAUCGAGUACAAUGCACCACUAAUACCUAUAUUUAUGUGCACUUGUGUCAGUUAAAUCCAUUAACUUUCAUAUAUUGCACAUACGGGGUAUCUAAACACUUACAGCUGGAUCAAGAAGUUUAUACACCAAUAUACACUUCACUUUACUGUAGUCAUCCUUGUAUAUCUCCUUUUUGUCCGUACAAAGAAUUUAACUAUAAGAUGAUCUUUGUGGUUCGCUUUUGAUACCUUGGUUGUAAACUUGUAUUUGCUAACUCGAAUCAUGUAAUAAAAUCAAUCAUUUUCCUUUAGUCGUAUUUAAAGCAGCAUGGCAUCAUGGAAUUAUUGCAGCCGAAUUCACUAGCUCCAAUUAAAGUGGCACUUGUCUUGGCGUUUCUCUGGAAAUUCAGUAGCUCCAUUGCAUACAGUUCAAGUAUGUGUAGUUUUGUUUUCAUGGCUUAUGCCUUUUGACAUAAAUAAUAAUUUUCUUUUGAAACAUUUACUAUUGGGUGCCACAGCAUAUUCUCCUGUGUAUAUAUACUUUCUAACAUCAUCUAUGAUCAUGGCCUGAUUGCCAGAACCAACCUGGAAACGUUCAAUCAGGAAGCUGGUGUGCUCGAAAUAGUAGAUCAAGGCCUGACCAAAGAAAAAGUUAUUCAAGGUAUUUUUGCAAAGAUAUCACUAAGGUUUUUAAUAUUAGUGUUCUUGAUGAUUGAUUUGAAAUGAUGCUAGCUCCUAAUGCUGACUUUCUAUGCGCUGUGACUUCCUUGUAGGAUCGUGCCAGAAACGAAGACCUUUAUUUUGAGCAGAAGCGAAGUUCUAGACUGCAAGCAGAAGAAUUUAGCAUACAGAGCUGCGGGCUCCAGUCUUUUAUCCUUAUUUUUAUUUCUUUUGAGCCAUGACGUGUUUGCAUUCGUGUCUGCUUCAGCCUCCAACACAAGCGAAACACAGGCAGCACUUUCAUUUUAUGAUUUGUUUAUCCACAUACAUGACCGACUGCCGUAGAGUAGACCAACAGUCCAACGUACUCAUGUAGCUCGACAAGCUAUCCAAGCUGCUGCUUUAUAUGAACUGAAAGUGCUGAAUUUUCUCCUGCAUCCUGGAAGGCUUUGGAUGGCACGGUCUUGUGCAGAGGUCUCAUUGUUGUUAACCUGUUUCUUCAAAACUGCAUGUACAGCAACAUUUUCUCCUGGCAGUGCUGCAAUGGAAUUGAAAAGAAUGGUGAUUCUUAUUAUAGUAUAAUUGUGAUGUAUAGGCUGGGACGCAAAGCGAUGAAUGUACAUGCAUGAGCAAGGAAGAAGGGGAUGGAACAGAACAGAGCAAGAACGAACUGCCAGAGCAAGAAGAUGAACGUUAUCUGUAUAGAUAAAAAAUUUUAAUAAAAAUUUUCAUGAGUUAUCCUUUGUCUGGGGCUACAGUACCAAUCCUGCAUUUCGAAUUUGGGACUGCCCUCCUUCAUGGUGUGAUCCAAAUUUCAACAAAAAUUAUCGUAGUGUGGCUACGGUUGUUUCAUACGAUAACUGUCAAUGACACGGUGGCACAUGCAGCUGCGCACGUAGGACAGAACCGCCAACUCACCCCGCCACGUCAACUCCUCUCAACAGCGAUGCUCCCCAAGCGAGCAGAGCAGCGAAGCCCGCCUCGAAAUCUCCGCCACCCCCAUCGAACUUGCCACACGCCACCACCACGGGAUCUCCCUCCACAGUCUCCGCUCCCACUCCCCCGCCACAGCCAUGGCCGCCGCCGCAGCAGCGCACUCCCUCCUGCACCCACCGGCGGCCCGCAAGGCCCCCACAAGUUCUUCCUCUCCUUCCCCUUCCCCAUUCCUCCGCCUCCCGGCCCCCGCGCGCCCGCGCCUCCCGCUACGCCUCCGCUCCACCUCCCCGGCCGCCGCCUCCGACCUCACCGACUUCCCCAACCCGAACGGCAUCCUCGCGCCCAUCGACGUGGACGCCGCCACGGAGGCGGAGCUUCGCGAGAACGGGUUCCGGAGCACGCGCCGCACCAAGCUCGUCUGCACCGUGGGCCCGGCCACCUCGUCGCCCGAGCAGCUCGAGGCGCUCUCCGUCGGCGGGAUGAACGUCGCCCGCCUCAACAUGUGCCACGGGGACCGGGAGUGGCACCGGGGCGUCAUCAGGGCAGUCAGGAGGCUCAACGAGGAGAAGGGCUACGCCGUCGCCGUCAUGAUGGACACCGAGGGCAGCGAGAUCCACAUGGGGGACCUCGGCGGCGCCUCAUCGGCCAAGGCGGAGGUGAGGUGCUGUGCUUGUAUGUAAGCUGCUGUCCAGUUUUGGACUUGGCGUUGCAGUUUUCAGUUUUCAGAUUGUACGCCUUCACUUGAACGUAUUCCGUGAAAUGUGCUUGUGCAAUGUGGAUGAGAGGAACGGGUGGUGGCAGUGGCAGUGUCAGGCAUUGCCGUUUCAUACUUCUGCAAAACCUAGCGAGUCAGGAUUUCACCAAAAUGUUUUUUUUCCAUCUUCAAAAUGGCUCAGUUGAUUUAGAUUUUCAGCUCAUGUUUGAAAUUGCUAUAGAAGGAGAAUCAUUCAGAAUUUCAGAUUGUCAUCAAACACUGGAUUGUGAAAGUGGUAAUCAUUUUCAAGGCUUUCAAUCUUUCAAAAAAAAAUCAAGGCUUUCAGUAUCAGUGCAACUCAAAUAAAGUGCAUGGUAAACAUCACCAUGUUUUGGCUUUCUCUGCAUAUAAGACAGGGUGCUGGAGUGGUUCGACCGCGUUGAGGUCCCAAUCCAACCGGUCGGGUUUUUUUCUAGGUGUCAAGUUUGAGUGCUUACCCGUAUUGACAUCCCAAUCCAACCGGGCGAGUCUUGUUUAUUUUUCGUUUCUUUUCCUUUUCCUGCCUAUGGCCUCCCAGGGCUGUAGUCUUGUAUUUUCUGCUAUAUCAAUACAAACUCGCACUAUCUUGUGCGGUUCGUUCAAAAAAAAAGUGAUAGGCAUUGAGGUUCUGAAGGUUGUUUUUUAGAUCUUAGGCCCAAGCCUCAAAUGGCUUUUUUCCCCCUGUUGCAAACCUUCCUUUAAGUAUUGCAUCUAGCACCGGGGAAAACACAGGAAUAUCUUUCAUUUCAGCAACAGAAUCUCUUAUAAAAAGGGCGUACCCAGUGCGAAAGCUCCCACACAAGGUGGGGUCUGGGGAAGGGAAUUCCUAGACAACCUUAUCCUUGCAAUAUUCUUUUAAAAUUCUGCAAAGAGGCUGGUUCGAACCCAGGACCUCCGGGCCACAAGUGGAGAGUUUAAUUUGAAUUAGCUUUAUUAGUAGAAUGCUUGGCCCAUUUAUUGGUAAAUGGUAAAAUUCAUAAAGAUUAUCCUUAUUCCGUUAAUCAAUUUUAGGUGUUUAACUUGCAGCAAAUUCGAACAAUGACAGACAUGCAGCAUAUUGUUAGUUCAUCUGUAAGACUUAGCUUGCUGGUUUAAUGCUUUGUUAAAGGUUUGAAGUUAAUGUGUCUACUGGUAGCUACUGAAUCUCUUUAUAGUUUAUUUAUAUCUUUUUUCUUUAUUAGUAUAAAGCCAUGUAGAAGUUUUCAGAAUACUGAAAUUUCUAGUGUUCGUUUUGUGGAGUCUCUCCACCUACAUCCUUUUUUACAACUGCAUUUCAGAUCCUUCAGUUAUAGCAUGAAUAUUUUUUAAAAAAGAAACUUCUAGGUAUAUUCUUGCCCGUAGUUAAUGUUAGUGUCUGAUGAUAGUUGUGUUUUAGAUAAUACAUUAAUAUUAGUAAUCCAAAGAAACUGAACUACUUCUAUGAUUCUAACUGUCAUCAGUGCUAGCUAGGGUCACUAUGCCAAAAGGAGAUUAUAUCACCAUUCGGCUGUUUAUCUUAAGUUUUUAACCAUACAGUCAGAAGUUUGAUUGUACACCUAUUCAAUAAUCCUAGGUUUUCUUGAGCCACGUUAUUUACCCAAUGACUUCCAUUUUUCUUGGAAUUAAAACAUUUCUGAAGUAACUAAUAAAUCAUCUCACAUUUGUUGGAUUCCACAGGAUGAAGAAGUCUGGACAUUUAGUGUUAGGUCAUUUGAAUUGCCUCUCCCAGAACGAACUAUUAAUGUGAUUAUGACGGGUUUGCUGAAGGUAUAUAAGCUGACCUAUUUGUUGAUAUCUUUCGCUGUUAUUGUUCACUGCCAUAAUUUUGCAUCAAAAUCCUACACAGAUGUGAGAGUUGGUGAUGAGCUUCUUGUGGAUGGUGGAAUGGCUCGGUUUGAGGUGAUUGAGAAGUUGGGACCAGAUGUUAAGUGUCGCUGCACGGAUCCUGGUUUAUUGUUGCCACGUGCGAAUCUUACAUUCUGGCGUGAUGGCAGUAUUGUCCGUGAGAGGAAUGCUAUGCUUCCUACAAUUUCAUCAAAGGUAAAUGCAGUAGCAUAAUAAAUUUCUUGCUGCAAUUACCAAAAGACCGCAAAACUUUGUUAAUCUAUGCCCCCCCUUGGUACUAGUAUUGCAAUGGAUUUACAGCUUGUUUUUUCUGUCAAUGCCAUGGUCAGUUCAAAACAACAUGUAUUAGUUCAAAGCCUUACAUUGUGCACUGAAACUCAUCUCUCGAUAGUUUUUGUCAGCUAUUUCUUAAGAAGGCUUCUACCACCUAGAGUUGUUUAACUGAAAAUUUAAUCUUCUAGUAGCAGAUACUAAUAUUUUAAGUUUAUAACAAUGCUGCUCCUUUUCUUGUGACAACUUGUGCAGGAUUGGCUUGACAUAGACUUUGGAAUUGCCGAAGGUGUAGAUUUCAUCGCUGUUUCAUUUGUCAAGUCAGCAGAAGUAAUUAAACAUUUUAAAAGCUACAUAGCUGCAAGGAGCCGUGGCAGGUACCAGGAGUAUAAUUCUGUACUGUUAUUUAAGUUUAUGCUUUCUUGGAAAAGCCAUAUUUGACAUUAUUAAACUGAUAACGGGUGUUCCUAGAACUGUUCUGCAUGCUUAGCCACUGUUUGUGGUUGGUUCCUGGUCAGUCCCAGAUGAUUACUCAUACUGGUAGGGUUUUAGUUGUAUUCUAACCCCCAAAAAAUCAGCCUGGAAUAUAUUGGUUUCUAUGUAGUUACUAGAGAAAACAGUGAAUCAACAAGAUAUCCCCUUUCUGGUGUUCCUCCUUUUCUAAAUAAUGCUGUGGAACAACAUGAUUCACGGAAGAAUAAUAAGAACUGUUUAAAAUUGUAUGGCUUGCCUCAACCUGGUGUCUUCUCUGUGCCAAAAAAACAACACUUGGUGUCAGGUGUCAUCUCAGCACCUACAAUUCAUCUGCAUGCACUAGAAAAAUUGUGUGUGUGUAGCUCCUGCCAAAAUUGCCAGUUUGCCAUUGUACGUCCAUCUCAUGUUUUGUGGCUAAAACUCAGUUAGUGACACAAAAAGUUACCUAGAUUAAAAUCGCUAAUCCCAAACCGCAAGUGAUAUCAAUCUUGCUAUGUUAUCUUUUAUACUUCAAUUAAUUGGGCCUUGCAAACAUCCAAAUCAGAAAGGAUUGCUAGUACCGUGUUUCUGAAAUGUUUCCUUCAUUUUGCUGAACUUUAUAGGUUCCUUACUCUAAUAAUGCUUUAUUUUAUAUGAUCAGUGAUAAGCAGUCAUUGCGAAAAUUGAGAGCAUUGACUCUUUAAAGAACCUGGAGGAGAUCAUCCGAGCAUCAGAUGGUGCCAUGGUAGCCACUCUGGAUAUGGGGGCACAGGUUCCCUUGGAGCAGGUCCCCUCAAUACAAUAAAAGAUAGUUCAACUGUGCAGGCAGCUCAACAAGCCAGUCAUUGUUGCUUCUCAGCUCCUUGAAUCAAUGGUCGAGUAUCCUACUCCCACAAGGGCCGAAGUUGCCGAUGUUUCUGAAGCUGUCCGCGCCAGCGUGCGGAUGCUCUAAUGCUUUCUGGUGAGUCAGCAAUGGGAAGAUAUCCAGAGAAGGCUCUUAGUGUUCUGAGGAGCGUUAGCCUCAGGAUUGAGAAGUGGUGGCGGGAGGAGAAGCGACAUGAGGCACUGGAACUUCAAGGUGUUUCAUCUUCAUUCUCUGACAAGAUAUCAGAAGAAAUCUGCAACUCGGCAGCUAAAAUGGGUAAGUACUGCCACCAUCGUAUUCAGUGCAUACCAUAGUUAUGUUGUCAUAGCAACUGAUAUAGCAGCUGACGCCAUCUUUGUUUUCACAAAGACUGGCCACAUGGCCUCCUUGCUCUCACAGUGCCGUCCUGACUGCCCAGUUUUCGCCUUCACAACAUCGACGUCCGUCAGGAGGCGGCUAAACCGUCAGUGGGGCCUCAUCCCAUUCCGCCUCAGCUUAGCAACUGAUAUAUUCAAUUGCUUUGCUGUCUCAUCUUCCUAUUAUUGUCCAUUAUCUUGGUUACUGACAGAACAUUUAGAUUCCAUUUUCUUAGAAGCUGUGUCUAAACAAAACCAAUUUCAUCUGCAGCUAACGGCCUGGGAGCUGACGCCGUCUUUGUUUUCACAAAGACUGGCCACAUGGCCUCCUUGCUCUCACGGUGCUGUCCUGACUGCCCAGUUUUCGCCUUCACAACGUCGACGUCCGUCAGGAGGCGGCUAAACCUUCAGUGGGGCCUCAUCCCAUUCCGCCUCAGCUUCUCAGACGACAUGGAGAGCAACCUGAACCGCACCUUCUCCCUGCUAAAGGCCAGGGGCAUGAUCCAGUCUGGCGACCUGGUGAUCGCCCUCUCUGACAUGCUGCAGUCCAUCCAGGUGAUGAACGUACCCUAAGAAAGAGCCUAAUCCUCUGUGGGAUGAUCAUAUGAGAUGGAAGAUGGACCAUGAACUUUAUCGGCACCUUGAAGGACAGUUCCUUGCACCAAAAUUAUUCGCUUUCACCCUGUAUUAGAUGCUGGGCAGGACUAGAGAACUGUGGCAAUAAUUUGCAGCUUUGUGCCCUGCUGUAAAACUGUUAUAUUACUAUUAGCUUUAUUUAUAGUCUGACCUUGGGGUGACUCUUUAAUGUGCAAGCUUUGGGUCUUGCUGUGGGCCGUAAUGGGCUUAUAAGUGAAGCGCAGGGAGAAGAGGAAGAACCCGCUGAAGAACAUGGCUGCUGUGCUCAAGCUCAACCCCUACCUCGGCACUGCCCGCAAGAUGGCUACCCUCGCUAAGGUUGCCCACAUCAAGGCAAGGAAGGAGAAGCUCGAAUCCAAGAGGACCAAGCUUAGCCCGGUAUGACCAUUUUUCUCCCUCCAUUUCAUUUCUGAUUAUGUCAAUAAUACCUGAAUUGAUCACUUAGAUUGCACAUGUAGUUCUGGUGUACUGUUUAUGACUUGUAGUGUUUGCUAUGGUACAUUUUCUGCCCCUUGUAUGAAUGGUUUAAUUUGUUUGAUGUAUCAUAAUUUGAGCAAAUUUCAUUGCUUGAAAGUAUUAGUACUGGAGUUCUGUGUGAAUAACAUGAUUCUGCUGUAGUGAUUCUUGUUGUUGUUUAGUUAUGUGCAUUGAUCUAAUGUUGUGCCAACAAAUAUUCUUGUAAUUGCGCGUUUGUGCUGUAUCAGUAUGCAUGGGUAAUCUAGUUUGUCAUUGUUUACUAUUUGCUCAGGGUGUUUCGGUACCCUUAAUUGCUUUUAGUAAGGCAUUUGUCUAUGUUCUGUUCCAUUUCUUUAUAUGCUAGUAGAUAUCUGAGCAAUUGUUUGUUCUACUCUUUUCUUAGAAAUGAUUUAUGGUACUGGAAGCUUCGGUAAUCUUUGCAUAUAUGGCAUAUGACAUGCCCUGGUAACUCAUGGGUCAGGGUUUAUCUUGAAUGUUUUAGUUCGAUCCCUCUUGUUGAUUUGUGUUCUGAAUUGGUAACUUGGGACUAUGCCUUGUUAGAAUGUGAUGAAUAGAUUGAUGUUUUACUAAGCGUUUUGAUUACAGAAUACUAGAAUGAAUGUUAUUACAUUAUCCAUGUUUCGAACUGAAUCCCAAAAUUUACUGAAUCCCUUCACAUCCAUAUAUCUCCUGAAUAUUUGUUUAACUGUAUAGUUUGAUAUGUUUACAUUGUUGUCAAGAUUCUUUGUUGCAUGCCCAUAUAUCUUCUGAACACUACAGAACUGACCAAUAUGUGAACUACUGUUGGUUUAAUGUAUCAGAUGCUGAUUAUUUCGUUCAGCUGUAUGCCCUUUUGUCAACAAACACGUACUGAACAAUAUCUGUAGAUCCAUUGUUGUAGGAGGAGGCUGCCAAGGUCAAGGCUGCUGGAAAGGCAUGGCACAGGACCAUGAUCUCAGACAGCGACUACACCGAGUUUGAGAACUUCUCAAAGUGGCUCGGCGUGACUCAGUGAGCGGGUGCUAUCUAGUUAAGUUUUGAGUAGUAGUGUGGCUGAACUUAUCUCGAGAGGGUUUAUCACUUUGUUUUAUCCUGCAUCAUCAUAAGAAUUCAAUCUGUGGGAUUUUAAGACAAGUCUUCCUUUUUGUUAAUGCGUUGCUGUGAAAUCAUUCUAGUAAAUAUUCACCUUGACGAUCUUUUGGAAGGACAGCGACCACAAAAAUUAUGAAUUGGGUAGAUGGAGGAUUUAUGUGCUGUAUUGAGAGAGCCCGUAGGUGCUAGAUUUCUCCGGAAACGUUCGAUUUAAGCUUGUAGAUAUUGUGAUGAAUCCCGUCACCAUUUUCCCAUGAAACAUUCUGAAAGUUCUGGUAGUGGUAUCCACUGCUGCAGUUUUACAAGCAUGUAGGGUUGUUCCUCUGUUUGUUGAUUAGGUAUUAUGUUUUGCACAGUCUUAAAGUUUAGAAGGUAAUUACCCAGGUGUUCAAGUAUACCUUCAAGUUUUUUUUUACACAGUGUACAUAUUACCUUGUUAUAGUGAGAACAGAGAAGUCCACCGCAAAAGUAAAGCCCAGCAUAUAUUGUUCUUGCAAUAGACCAUGUGUGUAUAUGCCCCUUUGUAGGUUGAUUAUUCCAUUCAGAACAUAGCAUGGACCUCUAUAGUGUUUUGGAUAAAUUUUUUUAUUAUAAAGGUACUUGCCGAGGCACCAAUUUGGGAGUCUGCGGGGUAAAAUGUUCCCGGCGUACUUCAUAUUGAUAUCAGUGUGUUCAGCGAUAUCUGUUGCAGCAUUUGCAUACCUGCAUGGAUUCCUUCUUUCGGCCCUUAUCUGUAACCUUUCAAACCUUCUGGUCAUCACACCUAUGAUGGUUGAAGUAAAAUACUUUGUUUGUGGCCUUGAGCUUUUUACUACCUCUCGUUUUGCAUUUGCCAGAUGCUAGUGUGCUAGUUAUACAGAAUAUCACAAAAUUAUAGUUUGAGUAUGUGAUAAUAUCGGUACUAAUGAAUGGAAUCUUACACUUUUGAUAUGCAAUUUUGAGAUUUACUUUGCUGAUGGUAGUAGAGGUAUGUAAAGCAAAAGAAAGUUACUUUUAAAUUAUUAGUUAUAUGGUUAUAUUUUAUAGGUCAGCGAUUUCUGAGUACUAGUCAUAGCAGCGCUCACAGGAAUAUACUGACUUGUUCUUUAUUUUAUUUUCAAGAAUUAAUACAGAUAGCAUAAAGCAGAAUCCAGUCCAUGAAUAGUUAGCGAUCUAGCAUCUGGAGGUGAAAAUCUAGCUUGGUUAGAACUUAGAAGCAUAGUUGUGGAUAAAAUUUGUGGGAAUCUAAUUUGACAAAACAAGUAGACAUGUCUGGCUGCAUAUAUGAACCUUUCAAACUGCAUCUUAUUGUUUCUGAGAUCUGAUUGGUGUUUUUUCCACAUUUGCAUUGUAGCACACAUCACUUGGAUAUUGUUUUAGAGAGCAAACUUGACAAUCGAGAUAUCUUGAUUGCUGAAAUCGAUGCUGACAAUGUUCUGUUAUUUGAGUAGGAUAGGGGUUAUACAUAAAAAAAAUAAGAAGAGAGAAUGUGCCUUGCAGGCUUGUACUUUGGUUGGUUGAGCAUUGCUCUUUGUAGUUUGCGCUUUAAUUUUCACCUGUGCCUAUUGAAUUGCUCUCUUUCACCUAGAUGAUGAUGAAGAGGUACAAGAUAGAAGGACCUCGUGAGGCCGGGUACUCCAAGAAUGAGGAGAUGGCCAAGAGGAACCCUGCCCUGGCGGCAAUCAGUCAGAAGUUCAGGAUGAUCCACGUGCUGUCGUCACUGGCCAGCCCCAUGUCCUUCGGCAGCCUGGCCAUCCACUCCUGAUACCUCCCCAGCAAGCUCGACCCGUGACUGCCUGACCGAGUGUUAGCUGGUGCCUGGUGAGUGGUGACCUACGAACUCUGAACUUAGCCUAGGUUUCUGUGGAGAAAAAAGAAGUCAUGUCUGUGCAAGAACAUUGGUCCUCGGGAUGAUAUGAUUAGCCUUUAAUAAUGUACAUAAUGCAGGAAGUUCGUUUCAUUUUGUAAUUUGUGUAUAGGAAAUGUGUCUGUGGCAAAUUCCUGAUAUUUUACAGUCAAGAAAUGCAGCUAAACAUGGUCUCUCGGCUCAUGGAGCUUGGGUACAAAGAAAUGACUAGGAUCUUCUGGAACUUUUAGAAUGCCUACUAUCUGAAAAAAAAAUAUUGGCCAGAGAUGACGAGUUUGGUAUGCAUUCCUGAACACUGGUUUCUCUUGUCUGGUGGUCCAAAACCAUAUGGCGUUCCUUCAUCUAGGCCAAAUCUAUUAUAUUCACUUUCUGAAGAUAAUAUCCAGUGAAGCCAAGCCGAAGUCUAGAAAACAAGUCCACAUUGCAAACUGAAGAAUUUAGCAUAUGGAACUCCAUGCUCUAGUCUUUCAUCCUUCUUCAAGCUGAAGUCCUUGAUUUUGAUCACAAAACAAGUCCCAGACUGCAAGUUGAAGAAUAUAUAGCAUAUUGAUCGAGCUCCAUGCUCCAGCUUUUUAUCCUUAUAUUUUCUUUUGAACUAUGGCGUGUUUGAACUCUGUGUCCGCUCCAGCGUAAGCAAAACACAUACACAGCUAGCACUUUCAUUUCAUGACGUGUUUGUCUACAUUACUGCAGAAGUACUUGCCAUAGAAUAGGUCAACAAUCCAACAUACUACUACUCAUGUUGUUGUUCGACAAGCUGUCUAAGCUGCUGCUUGAAUACGAACUGAAAGUGCUGAACUUUGUCCAUGUUAUGUUGGUAGUAUAUCUAAUACUGAACGGUGUGCAGGGUGAUCCUGCAAGGCUUUUAGAUAGCACGGUCUUGUGCAGAGGUUACGUCUGCUCUGUUUCUUCAAAGUUACGUCUGCUCUGUUUCUUCAAAGUUACGUCUUGCAAUUGCCGUAACAUUUCUGCUGGUAAUUCUGUAAUCUCUACUAUAAAAAAAGCAAAGAGGACACAAAAAUGCGGUCCGUCGUUUGGCCGCCGGGCGAUGUCCCUCGCUCCAGACAUUUUGGGCCGUCCGCUUGCAGCACCCUCCGCGCGCAGCCGUUGAUUUGGAGAUUCCGUGAGUUGCGGUGCACGCGCUUCCUCCUCUGUCCGUUUCCCUCCGCGCGGAUCCCUUCCUCCUGCGGUCCUGCCCAUGCGUCGCCAUCCGCCGCCGACGCAACUCCCUCAGUCGCGCCGCCUGCCGCCGCCGCCGCCACUCCCUCCGUCGCCGCAACUUCUCCCUCCCUGCGUCGCCAUCCGCCGCCGCCCCUCCCUUUCUUCACCUCCGCGCCGCCAGAAACCCCCGUCCCUGCCUGCGUCGCCAUCCGCCACCGCCCCUCCCUUUCCUCGCCUCCGCGCCGCCGGAAGCCACCGCCCCUCCCUUUCCUCGCCUCCGCGCCACCAGAAGUCACCGCCCCAUCUUGAGUCGCCUCAUCGCCGCAAGCGACUCCGCCCCUCCCUGAGUCGACGGAACACCAACAGUCGAGGCUACGCUGCACGCCAACUAGAUUUCUCAGUUCGUUGGGUUUGAUCACGGUACCUCUCAGUUUCUUAGUUUGUCGUGCAUCUGAACUUUGUGUGACGUUCAUGUUCUUGUCAUUUGAUUUGUUUGGUCGGUGUUCAUGUUCUUAGAAUCUGGUGCUACGUGACAUUAUAGGCGGUGUUGUGUUUUCUGAAUUGUCGGCGACUUGAAAAUUUGAGAUUCAGAUCGUGAUUUGUUUAGGUGGACAAUUAAAAUUUGAUGAUAUGUCCUUCCCGAGAGCGAAUUGCGCGCGCACAGCGGCGGCAAUGGCACCGCCGCGUUCGCACCUGCUGCCCGCCUUGCUCGUCCUGAAUUGUCGGCGACUUGAAAAUUUGAGAUUCAGAUCGUGAUUUGUUUAGGUGGACAAUUAAAAUUUGAUGAUAUGUCCUUCCCGAGAGCGAAACGUAUUAACUGUGGUAAUUGAGGAUGGUAGAGAUAAUUUACUCUGCAUGUAAACUGAGGACUGAGAUUCAAGAGUAAUCAUAGAACACGUAGACCACAUUGACUGGAAAAUUAGUCCUCUCCAAUUUUUGCUGAUCUGUCCCUGAUAGUACAUAAUUAUUUUGCCACUUUUUGUGCAAGCUUAUCGAUGUACGAAUUCAUAAUGGAAAGUAAGGAUUGCGAUAGUAGGGAUUGGGAUAUUUGUUAUGCUUAUCGAUGCUUAUGGCAAUGCUUCAUAAAAGUAGUAUACACCGCCGUGCACUUCGAAUUCAUGAUGGACAGUAGGGAUUGUGAUAUGUGAUAUGCUUAAGGCAAUGCUUCAUAAAAAGAGUAUGCACCUCCGAGCACUUCAAGUGUACUCUGAUGCACACACAAGCACACAGUUCUAGAUGGUUAAGCCGGUCUGUGAUUAGCAAGAUUUUCAUGAGAAUGGUAUCAGUUAUCAGACAUUCUGUGAUAUCUUGAAUGGAAAAAUAAAAUCAAAAAGGAAAGCACGAUAAAUAGAUAAUUUUUCUUGAAUUCUCCCAUAUUCAGAAAAUUGACUGACCGAGUGUGGAUAACUCCUUUUUUUUGUUACUUGGACCUCAGUUGGCCUUUAUAUUACUCUGAAUAUGUAAGAUUUCAAUAAACAGUAAAUUUGAGGAGGAUUUGCUAUCAUCUUUUGAAUCGUUCAUCCCGGUGGCAGAUUUCUUGAUUGCCUUAAUUGGGGCUGCCCCAGUUAAUGAGAACUAAAUAGCUCUCAUGAUGAAAACAAGUGUUAUUCAUAACAGCUACUUGUAGUGAUGGUGUCUGGCAGAGUACCUUGCUUAUCCAGUGCUUUCCUGUGACAUUCCAUUUUGCUUUUCUCUUGAAGGGUGUUUAUGUUCGUCGGGUUGUGCCUACUGCUCCAGCAAGCAGUGUUUUGUGAAAGGUAACAUGUAGUAAUUAGAUCCAGUUCACAUAUUGAAUACCUUUGGUUGUCCUCCAAUUUUUGCUGAUCUAUCCCACAUAAUUUUUCUUCUUUUUUCCACACAAUUUUUCUUCUUCUUGCCACAUAAUUUUUGCGGCUACCAUGUUUGACAAUAAAAAUUGGUAUACAGUCAUCUACAAAAAUCAUCCCCUGGAUACAAAUAGUACAUCCCCCUGGUACAAAUAGUACAUCCCCCUGGUUAGCAAUUUUGCAGAUGUAGAAGUACAGUUCCAUUACCGGUUAACCACUAUCUACGUUUUUAUUUUCACUAGGAGUUACAUUAAAAUAAUUCAUUCAUAUGUUCUGUAUAAAGGAAUAGACAAAAAUGGCACCACUUUGUUUUACCUAUGUACAAAUAACUGUCUGAUUGGAUAUUACAACAACAAACAAGAAAAGGCUUCAUGAUCAUUUGAAUUAGAACUACAACCUAAAAAAUAAAUGAUCUGUCCAGUUAUUAAUAUUCUGGUUUCAUACUGCAAAAUAGAAAAGUGAUUAAAACAAGUCCAAGUAAUCUGUCCUGCUGCACUUUCUUAUCUAUAAUCCUGAUGCCAAUUUGUUUCAUGUGCCUGGAAGUGAUGGGAGAAGGUGCAGGAGAAGGAUUUAGAAGUUCUUAAUUUGCAGGUGCAAUUUUUUUAUGUGACGCAUCUAUGUGACGCUUGACUUAUCUUAUUUCCAAAAUCUAACACUUCAUACUCGUGCUAAUGAUUAGAACCUGAUGAUUGGGAAGCUGAUGAGGAUGUCGAUCUCGAGACAGCUAAUGAAGAUUCCAACAAACCCGAUGUACCGGAUCCAAACGAUGCGGUUUAUGCCAAUGUCCCUGACGAGACACACAUGCUCAAGCUAGAGGAUAACUGCAAGCACUGCAAUGCAAAGAAGUUUGAGUCCGAGCCACCUGGAUUCUGUUGUCAUAGUGGAAAGAUUCAUCUUUCCACCCCUGAGACACCACCGGAACUCGUGAGACUGUGGUUGAGCUCGGACGCUGAUGCUAGGCAUUUCCGUGCAAACAUCAGAUAUUUCAAUGAACACUUCUCUUUCACUUCUCUGCACUGUAAACUUGAUCGUGUGACCACCGACAUGACAAACUGUGGAAUUUACACAUUUCGUGCCCAUGACCAAAUCUACCAUAACAUAUGAUCAUUUGGUAAAGAGGAUGGUCACGAACCUGGACACCUCGAGCUUUAUUUUUACGACGUCGAUCUGUCUCUUGAGCAUAGGCUCCGCAAGUGCCGUGAGAAGUCUGCCCAAUACAUGGCAUUAAUCCCUGCUUAGAGAAUCUUAGGAGUAUAGGCCAGGUUGACAACCUUGAGGAUUACUCUGUCGAGUUGAACCUUGACCAACGGCUAGACCAGAGAACAUAUAAUGUGCCAUUAACGUCGUUGCUGCCGUUUGGAUUGAGGGGAGCGAGCGUCGGGUCCAGUUCGAUAAUAGUGCUGUCCUCCAAAGGAAGGAUAGGUCGAUCCAUGGUAUUCGGCCCUAUCGUGUGUGCUACGAUGCUCUCUCAUACCUGCUAUUCUUUCCAAGAGGUGAGCUCGGGUGGCACAACUGCAUUCCAAAAGUUGGUGUGACUGAGGUUGAAGUAAAUAAAGCUCGAGCGAUCUGCAAGGCGCGUGCUGAUGGUGGUGGCGACAAUGAUGCUGGUAAAUUCAUAUGUCAUUAUAGUGUCUUACAAACAUUAGACAAAAUUUCCGCAUGUCGUCAAUCACGGCCGCCUUUUUUUGGUUCGUCGUUUGGCUUCGUUUGUCUGCCACGCCGCUCAGUUUUUCACAAGAACAGUCCGUCUCCCCGCCCACGUUCGCCGACAGACGCACCUCACCUCCUCCGUGCUGAACCCGGCCGCACCUCCUCCAUCCGCCCUCCGCCACUUAGCCAAGCCGUGCCUCACCUCCUCUGUCCUCCGAGCGCGGAACCACGCCUGCGCUUUCCCCGCCUGGCCGCACCUCCUACCUGCUACGCUCGGCCGCAGCUCCUCUGUUCGCCGCCAAGCCGGGCCACCUCCGUCCGCUGGGCGUCCAACACCGGCGCGCCACUGCCCAGCUACCCCUCCACACCCCUCCACACCGGCGCCAUCCCCGGCUGCUCCUCCAUGAAGGGAUCUCCAAGUUAGUCCCAUAUGCAGCGGAGGUGAGAAGAUGGAGGCACGAGAGGUGGGGCCUAUGUCGAGCCCGGUGUCAUCUGCCUUCAUGAAGGGAUCUCCAGGUUAGUCCCUUAUGCAUGCAAACAAAUCUAAUCAGCAGCCUCUCCUUUGCACCAACGAACAGAUCCAAUUGUUCUUGAAAAUCAGGUCCAAGUUCACAUCUCUUUUGCCCUCCCACUCAAAGCACAAUCAGCCAGCGCGACAGGGAUGGCGACACAGACACCGACGGCUGGAGCUCCCUCAAUGCUGCCAGGUAAUUGACUAGCCAAUUACUAUUUGGAUGUGAUGCACAUUGGUCACGGAUUUGUAAAUCUAUCAGUUCCUGCUUCCUGCAUCCAUUUGUGCAGUUCUUGUGGUGGAUGCAGUGCACUGAGUAUAGAAAUUAUUUUUGAUUACUUCUGUGAAACGUUUUGGCCUUGGCAAGUAUGUACAGAUUUAGUUGUUGUUUUUUCAGUCAGAGGUGAGCUACGUGUAUGGGAAAGAAACACUUGAUUGCUUGUUCUAGAUCUUGCCUUCAUAUAAACUGUGAUGCUAUCAACAUGGAGAUUUGAUGCUUUCUACUCUCUCUAUUUAACAUGGAAAAGAACUCGUGUUUACUCAAUAAUGCUUAUGAAUUUUCCUUAGAGUUGCAUUUAUUCAUCAUUCUAAAGUAUUCCGUGUCAAGUAAACUCAUACUUCUAAUUUUUCAAAAAAAAAAUCUGAAAUCAAUGAACCCCUCCUUCCUUGUGAAAUUGUUGUACCUUUUUCCUUAUGACAUCUUAUCUACUUCCACUUUCCUGGUGCAGAAUUUUUGAAAGUAGGAAACGUAAGCAAUGACAGUGACAGUCGCAGCAAUACUGAGCUCAAUAGGUGAACUAGACAAACCAUUCUGCUGUAGUUCAUUUUAUCACUGCAGUCAUCAUCAGACAAUGAGGUCAGAACCAGCAGGUUCGCAGAGUGACUUGUGACUUGUGGAUAAUCCUGCAGAUUCAACAAUGGUAAAGUAACGAAUGGUUAAGGUAUAAGUAGAUUUACUCAAUUAUACUCCAAUAGCUAAUGCAUUGCAUAUAUUGCUUGGCCGUGUAUAUAAAUAUUACAUCACUGUUCAACAUAAGUAAAUAGCUUAGUCCUUCUUAAGUCCAUUUUGGUAAAAGCUAUAGUUCAAUUAGUUUUCUUGAUUUUCUUAAAAUUUUACUCAGUUUGUGCCUUAUGUUGUACAUUUGCCUCACGGGCUGGCUAACUGACCUACAUGAGGCUGGCUAACUGAUCUGGAGGUUCACUAUCUAUGUUCUUUCAUUUCAUUGUCAAACAUAGAUAUUCUGAAUCUGAAAGUCUGUUGAAAUUUCCUAUGGAGUCUUGUGGUACCUUUAGUGUUUCUUAUCAUGUCCAGUAGAAGGUCUUGGAAAACAUAUUUGCAAUACAUGAUAUUUUUUAAAUCAAAAGUAGUAAUAUGCUGUGUAAUUGCCUUCUUGCCUCCUGACAUGUGGCAAAUUCAUUGAGCGUUUUCACUUACAUCGCUGGCAUAUUCAGUGAACAACGCAAAGAUGAUGGUUUUGAGUGAGCGGUCCUUUGGUCAAGGUAAUUUUAGAGCAUUGAUUUUCAAUGUACUUGUAAAGCCAAGAGAAAGUUGAGCAGGGCACAUUCAGUUGUUAACUGGACUGUUGGCUUGCUGCUAUGGAAACAUGUUUUCAGCCUUAUUACUUGCCGAGUUUACAUUGGGAUCUGAAAACUGGACUGUGUGCCAUUAGUUUUGUCUGUCUCCAGGACAUUGCCCAUGCACAUGAACUGACUGAUUACCAUGAAAAUUCACCUGUUUCAGUUCCAAACUAAUUAUUGCUUCAAGGUCACAAAGCUAUAUGAAAAUCUGUAUCCAAUUGAAUGCCAGAACUCUCUAGGAUGAUGUCAGGCAUUCCCAUUUAUAGGUUAACCUGAAGUGAUUCUUGAAGAUUAGUUUCUGCGUGGUUGAUUUGAAUUGUUUGUAAUAUUGUAUGCUUCAUCUUGAUUACUAUCAAUUUCACAGGUCAUGUUCAUUGUGAGGAAUGGAGCGCAAUAAUGCUUUGUGGUAACUCUGGGCAGACGAAAAUAGGCCACCUCUCCCAUUUUCUUGAUAUUUAUUUUCUGAUAUCUGACUAUUGUAUUUGUCGUGAAAUUUAAAUUGUAGACGCUAACAGAUCAUGUGUCACCUCAUGCUUUGAUCAUGUGAAAAAAUUCAGUGUAUUUACCCAUGAUCGGUGCCUUGCCCCGAGGGGUCUUUAAUUCCUGAAUUAGGCAACGGUGAAUUUUCUUCUUAAUAUAUAGAUGCACAGCUCUCCCGCAUGUUCGAGAAAAAUGAGGCAACAGUGACACAGCGCUGGUAGAAAGUAGAAAGUGAAGAAGCGGUUUGAGCAUAUUGCUACUGACAGCUACCUCCGCAAGAUUUGGCCGGUACUGCAAGCUCUGAGUUUCACAACUCUGAACCACUUGGUAAAAAACAGUCUGAAUUUUGUGUUGUGAUUAACUGACUAGACAUCCGAAUAAAUUAAUGUACUGAUAUUCUGAAAUUUGUUUUAGCACCGGGACUCUCUGGACUAUCCGGUGGAAUCAGGCCUUGGCAGGACUGAGGCAGAUGUGGGGGGUGACACCGUGCAGGUGAGGUGGUGGCGGUACCUGGCUCUGGCAUCUCCCUUUAUCCGCUUGAUGGAAUGGCAGCAUGGGUAUGGAGACACCAUCAGCAUCUAAACAAGGCCCAAAAGGUACAAAGAUAUGAUUUAAUCACUUUUGAUUUGUUUAUUUGCUAUCAUAUAAAUUGCAGUAACAGGUCUUGAGUAAUAUGUCAAUGCUAUAAUUUUGCUUGCUUGUUGUGUGUCCUCUCUAAAAUCUUUUCUUUACCAUAUAUAUCCAUAUGCACAAGAUAUUUGCAGUUACAAGUAUAAUCCUCAAGGAGUGAAAAGCUUGGGAUUCUGUUCGUGCAGGCAACAGGCAUUGAUCGCUAAUCAGCAUGGCCUCCACAAGUACCCAUCAUGGGAAGUGCAGCAAUCAGUAUUGUGUUCAAACCUGAAGAAAAUAUAUGGGGAUGGCUGGGUGGCUGCACAGCUCAUGGCAGGGACCAAUUUGGAGUCUGCAUCUUCUUUCCCACAUAUAUAUGAUAUUUCCAUAUAUUGUCAGGAUGCUAUUAAACUGCCUUCACCAGAUUACAAUAAACUAUGAACUUCAGAACUUUAAUUUUCGAUAAGUUGGAGUCGACGCUUAAAACUUCAGAGCUUUAUUUACUCCCAAGUACCAACAGCUCUAAAUUUUUGUGCACUGCACCCUUAGUUUUUUAGUGAACAAUACUGAUUGCUGAGGUUAUAAUGCAUCUUGCUAUGUGGGACUAUAGUUUUGUCAAGUAAGGCUAUGUACACAUUGAUAAAUCUGCUUCAGAAUAAUAUUGCUAAUAUCUCACUAUCUGAACAGAGUCAGGUUUAUCAGUUAUUUAUAGAAGACUUGCUUGUUAGAAAAGACCUAAAUAGGUUUUCUUUGUCUAUGUGAAUUUUCGGGGAAUUCUGCUUAUCUUCCACGGAUAGAUGCUACUUCUCCUGUAAUAUCGAAUUGGGUCAUGUGUGUGUGAGCUCUUUGCUUGCCAAAGGAGCUUGUGACUUGCAACUACUACUACUUAUUCAAUGAUCUCUAAUAACUGAAUCAUUUUGUUCAGAUUCUAAUUAUCAGGUCUUUUCCUCAUCUCUUUAUGUUUUGAGGUGUUGGAUGAGAAAGGGUUAAUGGUGGUUGCUACCAUUCUACAAGAAAUUAGAGCUUGCCAUUAUGAGUGCUGUAGUUGAAGUGGGGUUAAUGUUAAACCAUGAUGGUACCUAGGAGACUUCAUCCAUUUGAAUAUUCUACACUCAAGAAACAGAAAGGUGACAGUUGUCAAAUACAUAUUAUGAACCAGCUGAAAUUAAAAUAUUCUUGUAUUCCUCAGAUUAUUUGUGUCAUGCAAACUCCACUUUAGAAAAUUCCAUUCUAAAUUGUUGUUUGAGAUUAUGUACCAUUCUAAUAUGAUCUCAUGGGGAAUUAUUUAGCCCGUAGCAACGCACGGGCACGAUUCUAGUGGAAUUGAAAAGAAUAGAGAUCGCGUAUGACAAGAGUACUCUAGGUAAUAUUUCUUCAAAUACCGAUUCAACUCCCUCAUUUUCACUUCAAUAUUUUCACCAAUGGUAUAGAAAUAGAACUUGAUGAAGCAUGCAUGGCAUUAGCUAUUUCAUUAAGUAGCUCAUUUGAAUACCACGUCUCAUCGAGCAAAACAUCUCGAAUUGCUAGCAACAUCUUCAAGAAAAGGUGGGCUGUAGGAUGCCUCACUUAAAGCAUCAUGAAUGUCCUUUACUGCUUUGUUAUUCACACUAGCAUUGUCUAAUGUCAAGGUAAACAGCUGUUCAAUCAACUCCCACUUCAUCAACCACAACUUCUUGUCCUAGAUCCAUAUCACCUAGAUGACACAACUUCUUAGCCUUCGGCCUAGUAUCUUCCAAGUGAACAAAAGAGCCUGGAAUGUGAAUAAGAUCAACAAAUUUGAAUAGAAUACCAACUUGUUUUGGUUUACUGACUGCUUGUAUUUUUAAUACUACAAUGAGUAGGUUUGAAGAAAAUAUGAUUCUGAAUAUGAUGCAGUUGUUUUGGCUCACAGCUAACUGUAUUUUGUUCCCAUGAUAAAACAAUUCUGAUCAGAAAUCUUGUUUUUUCACUUCAGAUUAGAAGUAAUGUAAGAUGUCAGAUUAAUGGACGAUGAGGAGCAUAAGUUUUAGGCUUUGAGGACACGCAGUGCCCCUCCAAUUGCAUACUGAUACUGCUAAAACGAAAGGGGACUGAGGUGACUGGGAUAUCAUCAGUAUCAGAUAUACUAGCAGCUAUGUUCAUGAGCUUCUAUGUGGUGAAACAAGCUGGAGAUGACUAAGGUAUUGGAGCUUUUUUUCACAGAACAGUAGGACCAUUUUCACGAGAUUCAACUGCCUGAUCUUAACUGAAUGGUAAACAUAAGCAAUACCAGUAUGCAACCAACAAAAGAUCUUGCACUCCCAUCUUACAUUCUCUAAAACAGUAACAAUUCUAAGUUCACAGAUCUAGUGGUACUAAAAAGCUCAAUGAACGAAUUUAAUUUGCCAAUGCCAUCCUCCUGCCCUACAAAACCCAAAAACUCAAGCAGAUUGAAGCUGCAAAGGAGAGUUUAAAAAUAGCCAACACUAGCAGAAUACUGCACGAACUAGGCACAGCGCAGUAUAAACAAAAAGACAAAUAGGAAAGGCAAACACAUCAGAUGAAAAUCACCUGCACGCCGACGCCACCUGCGUCCGCUGCUGAGGCCGCCUGCUCUUGCUGGCCGCCGCGCGUCGGCCUAGCCGCACGCCCUGCCGGAGCCCGCCGGGGGCCGGCCCCACGGGAGCGCCUCGCGGCGGCGCGCCGCUCGCCCGUCCCGCCGGCCGCCGCCCGCCCGGAUCCCGCGCGGGCCCCGCCCACCCCCACACGAGCCUGGACAGGCCACACGAGCCUUGCGCCGCCCACCCCCGCACCGCCCGGAUCUUGAGUUCUUGCGCCGCCGCCGCCGCACGAGCCUGGAGAGGCCGUGAAAAAGAGGAGAGGCCCUUUCCUGCGAUCCACGGGCUCGGCCCUUCCAAUUGACUCAAGGAUCGAUUAUGGGCCACGUUCACAGGUCAGCCCUUUUAUGGAGAUGGCCCGAUCUGAUCCUGCCCAUUCUUCGGGAAGGCCUUUUAAGGCUCGGCCUAUAUGAGCUUCUAAGGCCCGAUCGGUUUGGCCCUUGGAUUUUUACAGCCCUUUACCAGGCUUAAGUAUAGGUAUAAGGUUUUCUACGUAUCUAAAAUAUUUUCCACUAGAAAAGGUUUUCUACGUAUGUAAAAUAUUUCCACUUGACUACCCGAUAAGGCAAUCAUUCGUGUGGCACAUGCCCGGGGCCUACUCGGAAAGUGAGUGCGCAUCCUCUCACAUGAUUGGACACAUCCACUUGACUCCUCAAAGGUCGUCAAUGCUUGCAGCUUGCAUUUUCCACAGAAGCAGCAGCUCUUGAACCCACUGUCCAGCAUCUCCCUCUCCACCCACCAACACUGUGUUUCCCUGUCUACUGCGCGUGUGUUUUGGAGCUCCCGGCGUAGCCAUGGCUGAGGUACUGGCCACCAUGGUGGUCGGGCCACUGCUGUCCAUGGUGAAGGAGAAGGCCUCCAGCUACCUCCUGGACCAGUACCAGGUGAUGGAGGGCAUGGAGGAGCAGCACGAGGUUCUCAAGCGCAAGCUGCUAGCCAUCCUCGACGUCAUCACCGACGCAGAGGAGCAGGCGGCGAAGCACAGAGAGGGGGCGAAAGCUUGGCUUGAGGCGGUCCGGAAGGUGGCCUACAAGGCGAAUGAUGUCCUCGACGAGUUCAAGUACGAGGCGCUUCGCCGCAAAGCCAAGGCGGAGGGCCACUACAAGGCGCUCGGCAUGGAUGUAAUAAAGCUCUUCCCUUCUCACAACCGUGUUGUGUUCCGUUAUAAGAUGGCAAAAAGGCUCUGCAUGAUCUUGCGAGAAAUUGAUGUCCUCGUCGCAGAGAUGAAUGCGUUCAGGUUCAAAUUCAAACCGCAGCCGCAAAUGCCCAUGCAAUGGAGGCAGACGGAUGCUUGCAUCCCCACUGAGUCUGUGGGCAUUGCCAGCAAAUCAAGAGCUCAAGAGACGAAGGUUCUUGUUGAUCGAUUGCUUGCUGGAGCCAGCAGUAAGGAUCUCAUGGUCCUUCCGAUAGUCGGAAUGGGGGGGUUGGGCAAGACCACCUUAGCGCAGCUCGUUUACAAUGACCCUGAAAUUCAGAAGCAUUUCGAGUUGCGGCUCUGGGUGUGUGUCUCUAAUGAUUUUGAUGUGGAUUCCCUGGCUAACAGAAUAGUGAAAGAGAAUGGUUGUCAAGCAAGUGGAAGUUCACGAGCACUGCAUAAUCUGAAAAAGGCAGUGAGUUGGAAGAGGUACCUCCUCGUAUUGGAUGAUGUGUGGAACCGUGAUGAGCCCAGCAAGUGGGAAAGGCUGAAGUCCUACCUUCUGCAUGGUGGCUGCGGUAGCUCAGUGCUGACAACAACUCGCGAUGAAGCUGUUGCUAAACUAAUGAUGGGUACAACUGAAGGAGCCUAUAAACUUGGAAGCUUGGAUGAAGAGUCCAUAGGGAAAAUUAUCAAGGCAAGAGCAUUCGGUUCAAAACAAGAAAAGGAAUGGCCUGGUGAACUAGUUGACAUGGUUGGUGAAGUUGCCCAGAGAUGUGCUGGUUCUCCUUUAGCUGCUACGGCAUUGGGCUCUUUACUGGGUACCAAGACCAACAAGAAAGAAUGGGAGGAUGUACUAAAUGGAAGGACGAUUUGUGAUGAGGAAAAUGGGAUUUUACCAGUACUUGAACUAAGUUACCAUUGCUUGCCAUCAUACAUGCGGCAAUGCUUUGCUUUCUGUGCUAUGUUUCCCAAGGAUUAUGAGAUUGACGUGCAAAUGCUAAUCCACUUGUGGGUGGCCAAUGGUUUUAUCCCGGAGCAAUCAGGAGUGUGUCCUGAAACUAUUGGAGAAAAUACAUUCAAUGAGCUGAAGUCAAGGUCAUUUUUUCAGGUUUUGAAGAAUGUCCCAUUUGAAAAAAUAUAUUCAUAUGAAGAGGGUUAUAAGGACAUGUCUUGUUCUAGAAUUACUUGUAAGAUCCAUCACCUUAUGCAUGAUGUUGCACAGUCUGUUGUGGGAAAAGAAUGUGCUGCAAUAGCUACACACCAAAGUGAAAGAGCGGAUGUUCUUCGUUCAGCUCGUCACUUGUAUUUGUCAAUCCGUCGACCAGAAACUCUUCUGAAUGCUUCCCAAGAGAAAGGAUCUCCAGCUUUUCAAACACUGAUUUGUGACGGAUAUGUACAAGGAGAUUUGAAGAUUUUAUCAAAAUACAACUCUAUAAGAGCUUUAAAGAUCGAUUGUGGUUCAAUCCUAAGGCCGAAAUAUCUUCAUCACCUGAGGUAUCUGGAUCUCUCGAGAAGUGGUAUUAGAGCACUUCCUAAAGACAUUAGCAUCCUAUAUUAUCUGCAAACACUGAACCUUUCUUACUGUGAGUGGCUUGAACGACUUCCAAAGCAACUGAAGUAUUUGACUGGCCUCCGUCACCUCUACACUCAUGGAUGUUGGGAGUUGAAAAGCAUGCCCCCAGAGCUCGGACGCCUAACUUCCCUACAGGCGCUUACAUACUUUGUAGCAGGUGCCGACGACUCCGGUUGCAGUAAUUUGGGAGAGCUGCAGAAUUUGGACCUUGGUGGUACACUGAAGCUAAGCAAGCUAGAAAAUGUGACAGGAGCAGAUGCACAAGCAGCAGGUCUUGGAAACAAGAAAAAACUGACCGAACUGGAGUUAUUUUGGACCGAUAGUGACCAGGAAGCACAGAAUAAUAAUCAUAAAGAGGUGGUGGAAGGUCUCAAACCUCAUGAUGAGUUGAAGGCUCUGAGGAUAAAUCACUGUAGGAGCAGAACUUUUCCAACGUGGAUGAAUACUUUGAAAGGCAUGGUGAACCUGAAAUUAUUCCAUUGCAAAAAGCUCGAAGAGCUUCCUGCACUCUGGGAGCUACCAGCUCUGCAAAUUCUUAGCCUGGAGGGUUUGGAGAGUUUACAUUGUUUGUGCAGCGGUGGUACUACACCCGUCAGAUUUCCAAAACUGAAGGUGCUUACCUUGUUAGAUAUGGCAAAAUUUGAGGCAUGGUGGGAGACAUAUGGGGUACAAGGAGAAGAGCCGAUAUUUCCUGAGGUUGAGAAGCUCGUGAUUGGGAGGUGUAAAAGUUUGACUGCAUUACCAAAAGCAGCGUCGGUGAUUACAGAAUUAUCUGGUAGAGUUGACACUAAGUGCCGCUCUGCAUUUCCAGCAUUGAGGAAAAUGACGCUAGGUGAGUUGACUGUGUUUGAAAGAUGGGAGGCAGCCGAAGGAACUCCAGGAGAAGAGGUAACAUUUCCUCUGCUGGAGUAUGUGGAAAUUUAUGGCUGCCCGAAGUUGACUGAUCUACCUGAAGCACCCAAGCUAAGUGAAUUAUCCAUAACAAAAGGACUUGGUCAACAACAACAACAAAUAUCCCUAGAGGCAGCUAGCAGAUGCAUCCCAUCAUUGUCCCGUCUGGAUCUGGAAGUGUCACCCGAUGACACAGAAACAACAUUGCUGCAUGUCAAGAAGAAAUUGAAUCGUACACUCGCCCUACCACAUAUGAGGUUAGGUUGGUGCGACGUUUUUUUCUCCUCCCGCUCAAGCGCACUGGCGCUAUGGACAUGUUUUGCACAUCUAGUAGAUUUGGAGAUUUGCGAUUGCGAUGCUCUUGUCUACUGGCCAGAAAACGUGUUCCAGGUCCUGGUAUGCCUGAGGAACUUAGUGAUCUCCAGAUGCAGCAAACUGACAGGACGCACACAAGCUUCUGAUGAGCAAUCUGCUCCAGCUCCAGAACGUGGUGGACUCCUGCCAUGCCUGGAGUCUCUAAAGAUAGAAGAAUGUGAAUCUCUGGCAUCUCUACAUAUGUGGAAUUGCAGUGGCUUGUCAGAGGUUGCCAAUCUUCCUCCGUCUAUCAAGAUCUUGUACAUUUCUAACUGCGGCAAGCUUCAAUCCUUAUCAGGUGACUGGUAUACUUAUCAGCUGGAAGAACUCACGCUUCGUAGAUGCGAAAGACUGGUAUCCUUACCGGAUGGGCCUCUAGCAUACUAUUUUCUUAGAGUUCUUUGGAUUGAAAAUUGUGAUGGUAUAAAGUUGCUCCCACCAAGUCUACAGAGCCGUUUGGGUUACCUCGUGGAGAAAGAUCUAGACGCCCGUCACGAAGGUAAUCUCCAGUUUCUCUGUUUCUUUUAACAAAAUGAUCAGGAGCUCAAUUGUUGUUGCCUAAAAUGCAACUCUGUGCUUAAACAUUAUUCUGUUAGCUAUUACAAGAUGCGGUAGGAUUCAGUGAUAAAAAUUUAACGAGCGCAGUAUUUAGAACCUUUAGCCAACUGAUGUUGAUAUAUACAUUAUAUCGAGUACAGUGCACUACUAGUACCUAUAUUUAUGUGCACUUGUAUCACUUAAAUCCAUUAACUUUCAUAUAUUGCACAUUCGGGGUAUCCAAACACUUACAGCUGGAUCAAGAAGUUUAUGCACCAAUAUACACUUCACUUUAUUGUAGUCAUCCUUGUAUAUCUCCUUUUUGUCCGUACAAAGAAUUUAUAGCUAUAAGAUGACCUUUGUUGUUCACUUUUGAUACCUUGGUUGUAAACUUGUAAUUGCUAACUCGAAUCAUGUAAUAAAAUCAAUCAUCUUCCUUUAGUUGUAUUUAAAGCAGCAUGGCAUCAUGGAAUUAUUGCAGCCGAAUUCACUAGCUCCAAUUAAAGUGGCACUUGUCCUAGCGUUUAUCUGGACAUUCACUAGCUCCAUUCUAUACAGUUCAAGUAUUUGUACUUUAUAAUUUCGUGUUGAUUUCCAUGCAUAUAUUCUAACAUCAUCUAUUUUUUUGAAAGGAAAAGGCACGAGAUUGUGCCUAUUUCAUUGAUAAAGAUGGGUUACAGCCGGCUAGCCGGUUAGAGAAAAGGAUACAGGAAAAGACAGAGAGGUCCCCCCCCGGUGAGACAUCUAUGGCAGGAUCGCCGCUAAGACUUUCGCCCCUGCUGUUAUCCACAUGUCAGGAUCGCCGCUAACAUCAUCUAUGAUCAUGACCUCAUUGCCAGAACCAACGAGCAGUAAACGUUCAAUCAGGAAGCUGGUGUGCUCGAAAUAGUAGAUCAAGGCCUGACCAAAGAAAGUCAUCUCCUAGGUAUUUUUUGCAAAGAUAUCACCAAGUCAUCUCCAAUGUAUCAUAUGCGCAUUCUGAAGAUAUUCUCCAGUAAAGUCAAGGCAAAGUCCUAGAUUUUGAGCAGAAAACAAGUCCUAGAUUGCAAGCUGAAGAAUUUAGCACACAGAGCUGCGUGCUCCAGUCUUUUAUCCUUCUUCGAACCGAAGACCUUUAUUUUGAGCAGAAACGAAGUCCCAGACUGCAAGCAGAAGAAUUUAGCAUACAGAGCUGCGGGCUCCAGUUUUUUAUCCUUUUUUUUUUUCUUUUGAGCCAUGACGUGUUUGCAUUCGUGUCUGGUUCAGCCUCCAGCACGAGCGAAACACAGGCAGCACUUUCAUUUUAUGAUUUGUCUAUCCACAUACAUGAAUGACUGCCAUAGAGUAGACCAACGGUCCAACGUACUCAUGUUGUUGCUCGACAAGCUGUCCAAGCUGCUGCUUUAUAUGAACUGAAAGUGCUGAAUUUUCUCCUGCAUCCUGGAAGGCUUUGGAUGGCACGGUCUUGUGCAGAGGUCUCAUUGUUGUUAACCUGUUUCUUCAAAACUGCAUGUGCAGCAACAUUUUCUCCUGGCAGUGCUGCAAUCGAAUUGAAAAGAAUGGUGAUUCUUAUUAUAGUAUAAUUGUUAUGUAUAAGCUGGGACGCAAAGCAAUGGAUGUACAUGAGCAAGGAAGAAGCUCCGGAUGCAGGGGAUGGAACAGAACAGAGACUCUGUCAACAGCGAUGCUCCCCAAGCGAGCAGAGGCAGAGCAGCGAAGCCCGCCUCGCAAUCUCCGCUACCCCCAUCGAAGUUGCCACACGCCACCGCAUCUCCCUCCACUCCGCUCCCACUCCCCCGCCACCCCCAUCGAAGUUGCCACUGCAUCUCCCUCCACAGUCUCCGCUCCCACUCCCCCGCCACCGCCAUGGCCGCCGCCGCAGCAGCGCACUCCCUCCUGCACCCACCGGCGGCCCGCAAGGCCCCCACACCUUCUCCCUCUCCUUCCCCUUCCCCUUCCCCAUUCCUCCGCCUCCCGGCCCCCGCGCGCCCGCGCCUCCCGCUCCGCCUCCGCUCCACCUCCCCGGCCGCCGCCUCCGACCUCACCGACUUCCCCAACCCGAACGGCAUCCUCGCGCCCAUCGACGUGGACGCCGCCACGGAGGCGGAGCUUCGCGAGAACGGGUUCCGGAGCACGCGCCGAACCAAGCUCGUCUGCACCGUGGGCCCGGCCACCUCGUCGCCCGAGCAGCUCGAGGCGCUCGCCGUCGGCGGGAUGAACGUCGCCCGCCUCAACAUGUGCCACGGGGACCGGGAGUGGCACCGGGGCGUCAUCCGGGCAGUCAGGAGGCUCAACGAGGAGAAGGGCUACGCCGUCGCCGUCAUGAUGGACACCGAGGGCAGCGAGAUCCACAUGGGGGACCUCGGCGGCGCCUCAUCGGCCAAGGCGGAGGUGAGGUGCUGUGCUUGUAUGUAAGCUGCUUUCCAGUUUUGGACUUGGCGUUGCAGUUUUCAGUUUUCAGAUUGAACGCUUUCACUUGAACGUAUUCCGUGAAAUGUGCUUGUGCAAUGUGGAUGAGAGGAACGGGUGGUGGCAGUGGCAGUGGCAGUGGCAGGCAUUGCCGUUUCAUACUUCUGCAAAACCUAGCGAGUCAGGAUUUCUCCAAAAUGUUUUUUUUCCAUCUUCGAAAUGGCUCAGUUGAUUUAGAUUUUCAGCUCAUGUUUGAAAUUGCUAUAGAAGGAAAAAACAUUCAGAAUUUCAGAUUGUCAUCAAACACUGGAUUGUGAAAAUGGUAAUCAUUUUCAAGGCUUUCAAUCUUUCAAAAAAAAAUUCAAGGCUUUCAAUAUCAGUGCAACUCAAAUAAAGUGCAUGGUAAACAUCACCAUUUUUGGCUUUCUCUGCAUAUAAGACAGGGUGCUGGAGUGGUUCGACCGUGUUGAGGUCACAAUCCAACCGGUCGGGUUUUUUCGAGGUGUUGAGUUUGAGUGCUUACCCGCGUUGGCGUCCCAAUCCAACCGGGCGUGUCGAGUUGAGUGGUUACCCGCGUUGACGUCCCAAUCCAACCGGGCGAGUCUUGUUUAUUUUUCUUUUCUUUUCCUUUUCCUGCCUAUGACCUCCCAGGGCGUAGUCUUAUAUUUUCUGCUAUAUCAAUAGAAACUCGCACUAUCUUGUGCGGUUCGUUCAAAAAAAAAGUGAUAGGCAUUGAGCUUCUGAAGGUCGCUGUCUAGAUCUUACCACAAAUGGAGAGUAUUACCACUGCGCCAGGUCCGCCCUUCCAGCAGAAUCUCUUAUGCUAGGUUUAAUUUGAAUUAGCUUUAUUAGUAGAAUGCUUGGCCCAUUUAUUGGUAAAUGGUAAAAUUCAUAAAGAUUAUCCUCAUUCCCUUAAUCAAUUUUAGGCAUUUAACUUGCAGCAAAUUCGAACAAUGACAGACAUGCAGCAUAUUGUUCAUUUGUAAGACUUGGCUUGCUGGUUUACUGCUUUAUUAAAGGUUUGAAGUUGAUGUGUCUACUGGUAGCUAUUGAAUCUCUUUAUAGUUUAUUUAUAUCUUUUUUCUUUAUUAGUAUAAAGCCAUGUAGAAGUUUUCAGAAUACUGAAAUUUCUAGUGUUCAUUUUGUGGAGUCUCUCCACCUACAUCCUUUUUUGCAACUGCAUUUCAGAUCCUUCAGUUAUAGCAUGAAUAAUUUUUUUAAAAAAUAAAAUUCUAGGUAGAUUCUUGCCUGUAGUUAAUGGUAGUGUCUGAUGAUAGUUGUGUUUUAGAUAAUACAUUAAUAUUAGUAAUCCAAAGAAACUAAACUACUUCCAUGAUGCUAACUGUCAUCAGUGCUAGCUAGGGUCACUAUGCCGAAAAGGAGAUUAUAUCACCAUUCGGCUGUUUAUCUUAAGUUUUUAACCAUACAGUUAGAAGUUUGAUUGUACACCUAUUCAAUAAUCCUAGGUUUUCUUGAGCCACGUUAUUUACCCAAUGACUUCCAUUUUUCUUGGUAUGAAAACAUUUCUGAAGUAAUUAACAAAUCAUGUCACAUUUGUUGGAUUCCACAGGAUGGAGAAGUCUGGACAUUUAGUGUUAGGUCAUUUGAAUUGCCUCUACCAGAACGAACUAUUAAUGUGAAUUAUGACGGGUUUGCUGAAGGUAUGUAAGCUGACCUAUUUGUUGAUAUCUUUUGCUGUUAUUGUUCACUGCCAUAAUUUUGCAUCAAAAUCCUACACAGAUGUGAGAGUUGGUGAUGAGCUUCUUGUGGAUGGUGGAAUGGCUCGGUUUGAGGUGAUUGAGAAGUUGGGACCAGAUGUUAAGUGUCGCUGCACGGAUCCUGGUUUAUUGUUGCCACGUGCGAAUCUUACAUUCUGGCGUGAUGGCAGUAUUGUCCGUGAGAGGAAUGCUAUGCUUCCUACAAUUUCAUCAAAGGUAAAUGCACUAGCAUAAUAAAUUUCUUGCUGUAAGUACCAAAAGACCGCAAAACUUUGUUAAUCUAUGCCGCCCCUUGGUACUAGUAUUGCAAUGGAUUUACAGCUUGUUUUUUCUGUGAAUGCCAUGGUCAGUUCAAAACAACAUGUAUUAGUUCAAAGCCUUACCUUGUGCACUGCAACUCAUCUCUCGAUAGUUUUUAUCAGCUAUUUCUUAAGAAGGCUUCUACCACCUAGACUUGUUUAACUGAAAAUUUAAUCUUCUAGUAGCAGAUACUAAUAUUAUAAGUUUAUAACAAUGCUGUCCUUUUCUUGUGACAACUUGUGCAGGAUUGGCUUGACAUAGACUUUGGAAUUGCCGAAGGUGUAGAUUUCAUCGCUGUUUCAUUUGUCAAGUCAGCAGAAGUAAUUAAACAUUUGAAAAGCUACAUAGCUGCAAGGAGCCGUGGCAGGUACCAGGAGUAUAAUUCUGUACUGUUAUUUAAGUUUAUACUUUCUUGGAAAAGCCAUAUUUGACAUUAUUAAACUGAUAACGGGUGUUCCUAGAACUCUUCUGGAUGCUUAGCCACUGUUUGUGGUCGGUUCCUGGUCAGUCCCAGAUGAUCUCAUACUGGUAGGGUUUUAGUUGUAUUCUAACCAGCCUGGAAUAUAUUGGUUUCUAUGUAGUUACUAGAGAAAACAGUGAAUCAACAAGAUAUCCCCUUUCCGGUGUUCCUCCUUUUCUAAAUAAUGCUGUGGAACAACAUGAUUCAUGGAAGAAUAAUAAGAACUGUUUAAAAUUGUAUGGCUAGCAUCAACCUGGUGUCUUCUCUGUGCCAAAAAAACAACACUUGUUGUCAUCUCAGCACCUACAAUUCAUCUGCAUGCACUAGAAAAAUUGUGUGUGUGUGUGUACCUCCUGCCAAAAUUGCCAGUUUGCCAUUGUACGUCCAUCUCAUGUUUUGUGGUUAAAACUGAGUUAGUGACACAAAAAGUUACCUAGAUUAAAAUCGCCAAUCCCAAACCGCAAGUGAUAUCAAUCUUGCUACGUUAUCUUUUAUACUUCAAUUAAUUGGACCUUGCAAACAUCCAAAUCAGAAAGGAUUGCUAGUACUGUGUUUCUGAAAUGUUUCCUUCAUUUCGCUGAACUUUGUUGGCUCCUUACUCUAAUAAUGCUUUAUUUUAUAUGAUCAGUGAUAUAGCAGUCAUUGCGAAAAUCGAGAGCAUUGACUCUUUAAAGAACCUGGAGGAGAUCAUCCGAGCAUCAGAUGGUGCCAUGGUAGCCAGAGGGGAUAUGGGGGCACAGGUUCCCUUGGAGCAGGUCCCCUCAAUACAACUAAAGAUAGUUCAACUGUGCAGGCAGCUCAACAAGCCAGUCAUUGUUGCUUCUCAGCUCCUUGAAUCAAUGGUCGAGUAUCCUACUCCCACAAGGGCUGAAGUUGCCGAUGUUUCUGAAGCUGUCCGCCAGCGUGCGGAUGCUCUAAUGCUUUCUGGUGAGUCAGCAAUGGGAAGAUAUCCAGAGAAGGCUCUUAGUGUUCUGAGGAGCGUUAGCCUCAGGAUUGAGAAGUGGUGGCGGGAGGAGAAGCGACAUGAGGCACUGGAACUUCAAGGUGUUUCAUCUUCAUUCUCUGACAAGAUAUCAGAAGAAAUCUGCAACUCGGCAGCUAAAAUGGGUAAGUACUGCCACCACGUAUUCAGUGCAUACCAUAGUUAUGUUGUCAUAGCAACUGAUAUAUUCAAUUGCUUUGCUGUUUCAUCUUCCUAUUAUUGUCCAUUAUCUUGGUUACUGACAGAACAUUUAGAUUCCAUUUUCUUAGAAGCUAUGUCUAAACAAAACCGAUUUCAUCUGCAGCUAACGGCCUGGGAGCUGAUGCCGUCUUUGUUUUCACAAAGACUGGCCACAUGGCCUCCUUACUCUCACGGUGCCGUCCUGACUGCCCAGUUUUCGCCUUCACAACGUCGACGUCCGUCAGGAGGCGGCUAAACCUUCAGUGGGGCCUCAUCCCAUUCCGCCUCAGCUUCUCAGACGACAUGGAGAGCAACCUGAACCGCACCUUCUCCCUGCUAAAGGCCAGGGGCAUGAUCCAGUCCGGCGACCUGGUGAUCGCCCUCUCUGACAUGCUGCAGUCCAUCCAGGUGAUGAACGUACCCUAAGAAAGAGCCUAAUCCUCUGUGGGAUGAUCAUAUGAGAUGGAAGAUGGACCACGAACUUUAUCGGCACCUUGAAGGACAGUUCCUCGCACCGGAAUUAUUCGCUUUCACCCUGUAUUAGAUGCUAGGCAGGACUACAGAACUGUGGCAAUAAUUUGGAGCUUCGUGCCCUGUUGUAAAACUGUUAUAUUACUAUUAGCUUUAUUUAUAGUCUGACCUUGGGGUGACUCUUGAAUGUGCAAACUUUGGGUCUUGCUGUGGGCCGUGAUGGGCUUAUAAGUAGGCAAAAUCUUCCAUCAUCCAUCCUGUUUGUAUUUAUGUGGGCUUCAAACUCAUGCCUCAUCUUCUUACCCAGCCCGUGUAGAUUUUUAACGGGAAGCUUUGUAAAUUGCACCUUAGCAUGAAAAUCUCUUGCGAAACCGAGAAAAGCCUUACCGAGACCGAAUCAGAAUAGGACAUACCAAGCAAUGGAAACCUUGAUCGAUGAUCAUCAUGCACGAAAGGAUGAUCAUCAUGCACAGAACAGGUGCUGCUACUACAAGUGCUUUGUUGAUGAGGAGUUGUCUAGUUCGCAAAAAGGUUUUACAAAACACAAACUUGGAUCGAUUUCUUGCGUUUUUUCAAUCACAAAAACCAUUACCAUAUUGAUGCAUGUCCAACCAAAAAAAAAACAGCACCAAUUUCCAUGGACACGCUGCAAGCCCUGCAAGGCUGAUGUUCACCAUGUGGACUGGACUGGAGUAACUACAGCGAUCACUUGGUACUCGAUGACUGCUACUCAGAACACGGCUUCUCCGACGACAUGGCGAGCAACGUGGACCGCACCUUGUUGCUGGUCAUGGCCAGGGGGCCCGGCCGGCGACCUGGUGAUGGAGCUCGCCGACAUGCUGCUCUCCAUCCAGGUGACGAGCGUCCCCGGGAGGGGCCUGUAUCUCCGUGUCAUGCGAUCGCUGUCUGGGAUGCGACACGGCCUUAACUGAUCGCCAACACCGUAUUGCUGAGAUUGAGGGGUGGUUCAUUGUACCGUAGUAUUCGCGAUACAGUGGUUCUUCCUCUGUCCCGAGAUAGGUAAAGAGUCAUCUUAAGUUGGAGCAAUUUUGUAGAGAAUACUGCAUCAAAUAAAUACGUUAAAAUGCUUUUAUGAUGGAUCUAACGAUACUAAUUCGGUGUUUAUAAAUACCGGCACUAUUUAAAUUAAGAUAGUUUUAUUAGGAAAAAACUAGAAAUAAACUUAUUUCUUUGGAUGGAUGCAAAGACAAAACAAGUGUAGGAAUGAUUUGCGACAUCCAACCUGAUUUAAAUAAAACCAGAGGUGUUCUUAUCCAUCUUGCGCAAAUUAAUUUUAAUUUAAGCCUACCGCGCGCUAUGGCAAAUGGAUGGCUGAGAUGAGGUGGGGAAACAAGGCAAUCAACCAUAUUCGUGAAUGUAGCAAAAUUUGAUUAGAACAUGAUGAAUGAAGAAUAAUUGGUUUGAACCUUACUUGAAAUACAAGUAUUUUUACACUUAUUUUUCUUAUAAAACAGAAGUGUGUACAAGUUUCUUUGGUGACCGAUAGAAGUGUGAAUGUGUGACUUCUAUAAUUUGUGUCCAAUUAAGAACAAUGCUUUCCUACAAGGAAAAGAGCAAUGCUUUCGUAGCAAUGCACUGCUAGAUGCUCCGAAUACGACGUGAUGUAAAAAAAAAACAACGGGUACACGUGACAGUACUGCAGGGGGCCGUAUGACAGGCGGUGUAGGAGCACAGCAACCUGAAACUGGCCCUCGAUCGCUCUCAAACACCACUGCAGUUUUGCGAUCCACAAGCUUGAGCUUGAGGCAUCACGGAAUUCACGUGAACGACAAGUAUGCAACAAUAAUGCCGUGUGAGAAGUACGAGGCCACGAAACAUGUAGGCGUUCUCGUCGUCGAACGUCCACGGCGACGUAGCCGUCGCCGUCGGCCGUCGUCGUCGGCCGCAUCGUCGUGGACAUGGAGCCAGUGCAGCCUUCCUGGUGUCUCCUGCUAUUGGUGGUCAGGGUCUGUUCGUCGUCUCCACGGAACGGUCGCUGAGCAUGCUACUGCACAGCACAUGACUUGUGAGCCGGCGCUUACCUUAAUCCCGACAUGAUCUCAUCAUCUAUCCAUGGAGAGAGACCGCCGCUCUUCCCAGUCGUGACACACAUGUUGCUGUGAUUUGUCAUCGCAAUUACUUUGGUAUUAUUUUUUGAAACGAACCUGGCAGGAGAGCUGCCGAUUAUAUUAAAAAAGAAGGAAUCCAGACUGGAUAAAUAUAAUAGAUCAAAAAUAAAAUGAGGCAAAAUUGAGUCAGAAAAAUAAAACAACACUAUGAACUCAGUCGCAAUCAUCAUCGCACCAGUAGAGCGGAGAGAUGUUUCGCUCCCGCCAUAAUCCACACGGUGGCCUCGUCUUUGAUCCUCUCGAAAAUCAUGUUGACAGAAGACUCCUUGCCGUUAAAUAUUUUCAUAUUCCUUUCCCUCAGAUUGUCCAUGUAACUAGCAUAAUCAAAGUUCGCAUGCCUCUCUUAGAGCAGGAAUUUGCUCCCGCUCUCAUCGACCACCAAUGGUGCAGCGAAUCGGCCUGUUGCCAAGCCCUCAGGUGGACUGCUGGCGCUGACAACCAGUCCGCCACCAUGACUCAGAUUCUUGUUGUAACCCGGCAUUCGGCGAAGAGGUGUAGCGUCGAUUCUUGUGAUCUCCGACAUAGUGGGUAGGUAGCUUGAUUUGGCCAUCCCCUUUCUGAAGUCUGUCAGCAGUCCAAAGGCGAUUUUGGAUUGCGAGCCAGAAGAAGGUUUUGCAGCUUCCAGGAGCCCAUAUUGUCCAAAUCAGGCCGUCAAAGUUGGUGGGUCUUAUCAAUAUCAAUAUUUUAUCUGUUGCGAAACAAAUUGAAGUUAAAUAGGAAACAAAAUGAUUUGAUUCUCAAGGCCCUACAUACUCCCUCCGUUCCAAAUUACAAUCAUUCUAAUUUUCUUGGAGAUUCAAAGCAUCUUGACCAAAUUUAUACAAUAAAUUACUAACAUUCAUGAUACCAAAUAAGUACCAUUAGUUUUUUUUAUUAAAUAUAUUUUCAUAAUAUAUCUGUUCGGUGCCAUAAACCUCUGUGAUCUUCUUUAUAAUUUUGGUCAAAUAUAAAAUAAUUUGACUCUCCAAUAAAAUUAGAAUGACUUAUAAUUUAUAAUGGAAGGAGUACAAAAGAAACAAUGUUUCUAUACACAAGAUUGCGAUACAUUACACUGCUGGGGAAAGCGCCUUCAGUACCAGUUCCUAACCCCCUUUAGUACCGGUUGUGCAACUGGUAUUGCCACUUCGGUACUAAGGAGGUCCUUUAGUACCGGGUCAAAUAACCGGUACUAAAAGGGUAUAAAAAAAAGAAAUCCGCCGAUCGGAGCUCCCGGCCGCACCCCCCCCCCCCCCCCCCCCCCCGUCGCCGUUCGCCCGAGCGCUAGAGCCCUGGGCGCACCCCGCCGCCGUCCGCCCGAGCGUCGGAGCCCCAGCCACAGAGCACCUGAGCCCCGCACUAGAGAGAGAGGGAGGGAGGAAGGUGGAGUACUUACGCUGCUCAGCCACCACCACCAGUUGCCGUCGCCGCCGCUGGAUCUGAGGGAGAGGUGGCCGCUACUCCAAGAUCCACGCGCUCCUUGCUCCGCCACGCCUGCCGACGCUUCGCCGCUGUGCCCUCCCGCCGGAGCUUCGCCGCUCCUUGCUCCGCCACACCCUGCCAACGCUCCGCCGCCUCGCCGCACCCUCCCUUCUUGCCUCCGCCGCUCCUUGCCACAUGUAAGAGGUGAGGAGUGAGCUGAAGGGGGAGGAGAGGGGCGGCGACGACAGAGGCGGCGAGGGGAUCGAAGAGAGAAAAAGAGAGAGAGGCAAGGGUGAGAAGCUGGAUGAGGGGGACGAGCGGCUAAGUAUGUGUGGGGAGAGGGUGAGCGUGAGGUGAGAGAGAAAAGGAGGGCUGACGCGUGAGGGGAGGUACCCCUUUAGUACUGGGUGGAGGAUUCAUCCGUUUCAACCGGUACUAAUGGGUGAAUCCUCCACCCGAUACUAAAAGGGGUCAUGGGAGUUUCUCGGGAACUAGCCGUUAGGCUCGAUACUAAUGCUCACAUUAGUACCGGAUCAAAAUGCAACCGGUACUGAUGUUCACAUUAGUUUUCCGAUAGUAUUAUAUAGGUACACGAGGUCGGUCCACUAUUAAACAAUGACACAUUUGGAACCAUGCGGAAUUUUGCAGACCAUGCUGAUGACACUUGUUAGCUAACCAUUUCGCCACUUGCCACAAACGUAACCACAGAAAACCGCUCUUUUAAGUCCCAGCCAAGCAACUGACCUAGGAACUUAAGCCUACUACGUCUAAUACUACUAAAAUAAGAUUAUAGAGCACGCAGCAAACACAAACUAUGACAUGUAUAAACUCAUAAAAUGACAUAAACAGCACACUUUCAUAAAAAAAAAGCCUCUCCCUUAAAAGAAACAAAAAAAACUCUCAUUAUCCUCCAUAGGAUAUCAUCAUCACCUCUAUCCCCAUCAAACGCUUAGUAUGGGGCAAAUAGACGUGACACCUGCUUUGUGGCAAACAAAGGGUCCAAAAGGCAUCGCUUUCAUGGAAGUAGAGAGAGAAAAAACAACGAAUUUACAUUUUGUGAAGUAAAAGUGGUGUGAGGUCGGUGGGCCCACCGUGCUCCCCCUUUCUAGAAUGUCCUUCAAAAUUAUUCCUGUGGUGAAAAUAAGUCACCAGAGUUGAUCCCACCAGUACAUGUGGUAACUGAGUCAAAAUAAAAGAUACAUCCACGUAACUAGGAAUAUGUUGCGGGCCGGACGGUUCAUUUCGAGCUGAAAAUUUGUACCCACGACCGUCCCAUAAGUAUUGUCGAGCUGAGUUUUCGAGCCGUCCAUUCUUUUUUAGUUGAAAAAUAUAUGAAAUUAAGUGUUUGGGUGGACUUGAGCUAGCCCGAUUUUUUUCAGGCUUGGUUUCGCUGACCACGCCUGGCCUGCCGUUAGCAUGGGCAGGCCAAAACCCAUCGGACUUGGGCUAGGCCCGCAGGCUGGGCCGGGCUUAUAAUACCCAGGUCUGUUCCUAGUAUAUGCAACCAGAUCAUUGGUCUUUCAACUGAACCGUCAUUCAUACCAUCCCUCAUUGAAACAUAUCAUCUCACUAUGACACUAUAUCAAAGCUGCAGCAUCAUAAUAAGAGAAGUGUUGUAUCACAUUCAGAACGAAGUUCGCACACUAUUUUUGAACAAGUUAAAUGCACAGUAAUGAAUAUCCAGUCGUAUAUCCAUAAUUACUCUUUUUAUGAGUCAUUGUUUGUGCAACAUCAUAACUAGCACAAGUAAAAAGGAUUAAUGACAAAGGGCAGGUGAUAAAGCCUAUCUAGCUACAAGAAAGCAGGGAGCAUUCUUUAGAGCUAAGGCUAUUCAGUUUUCAGUCUCACCUGCCUGGUGGUGCUCAAUCUAUGAUGCUUCAAUAAGUCCCUUUCUGCCGUGCCUCUGCAUGUGGACCCAGGACAUGUGUCACAGUCAUAGUGAGCCCACUAUUAAGUGCACAUGAAAGUGAUCAGUACUUGAUGACUUUUGUGCUGCUCUUCUUUCAUUUGAAAAUGUCAUGGGAGCAAAUCAUGCAUGCAUCCUCCAUGAUAUCCCUACCAAAUCAUCAUCCUGCCUUCUUUUUUUUUUGUUUCUGCCUUUGUAUAUAUGGUUAGUGUAAUAAUUUCCCAACCAAUCAUCACCUUGUGCACUUACUUCUUGUAGGGCUUGAAAAUAGGACAGGCAUUCUUCAACCACUUAGACCAAAUAAACACUGGUCAUUGCAGUAACCAACUGGAACAGUUUGGACUCGCAGCAACUAAACUUCUCAUCAACUCUGAAGGUUGGCAUUUCCUUCCAAAACUAGGUCACUUAAACUAAAGGCUAAGUGAACAAACAGAUUAAAUUCCCUUGUUGUUUGUUCCACACAGAUUAGUUAAACUGAACUAAAUCUUGCCAAAUCUUGCUGAGAACAGCAUUUCUGGUGAGAGGAUAUAUAGUAUGGCCUCAUCUCUUCCUUUUGAUCCUCGGAAGUGAAUAAGUGAUGGAGCAAUAGCUGAUGUGAGCUUCUCAAUGUGUUUGUUGUUUAGGUAACUAGGGACUAUAAGCAUGGCUCUUUUGAUUGCUAUGCACAUAGACUGCAUGACGAGGUUCUGCACAACAUUAUGGUUUCUGAAUGCCUUUCUCCUAGAUCCUAAGGAAACUAGUGCUUAGAACACUUGAAGAACUACAUUCAUGCGUGUCACGACUCACGAUGUAAUAUUUCUGAUGAAGCUUCUUUCCUUCUGCAUUGGCAAGCCAAAUUAACAUAAAAAUCUUGAAUUAUUCUGAACACAAACGGCAGCAAAUUAUUCUAAAAAAGAACAGCUUAUUAAGUUAGAAAGAGAAAUGGUGCUUACUUUCCGAAUUAAUCGGUGUCUCUAGUGCUUUCACGAGAGAUUUAUUUAUAGAUCAUUUCGGAUAAGUUUUUCUUUCUAGGCAUGACGCCAAGGACGGCAUGAUCAGAAGUUCCUAAGCUCGGGAUAGAUUAACAAAGUAGAUUGAGAUGUUGAUGAAGUAAAAAUACUCAAAGGAACAAGAGACAGACUAACCCCACCCAAAACAGUUGAGCUGUUCCGCGUUGCAAUGAUUUCCAGAAUAUUUAAAGGUUUCAUUCAAAAAUAGAGCAAAAAAAUAACUUUCACUGUGAGGAAGGCCUGCGUAAGCCUGCCUAUGAUUCAUUGUUAAUCUAAUUUACAAAGAUGAGAUCAUAGAAUGUGCCAAAAACUUGUGGUAAUCUAAUUGUGCAUACACCAAUGCUGAUGUAUUGGUCCACUAAGACUUAGUCAAAACUUAGUGACUAAAACAAUACAAUACAUAUCAAAUCUCAUCUGCAGAGUGUAGACGAUCACUGGCCAUGAAUCCUGAAAGAUGUAAACUGAACUUUGGAUAGAAUAUAUUUGAAAGACACGGAUGGAAAGAGACAUGGAACAUUUACCACAAGCCCGCUCAAAAAGAAAAAGGAUUAAAUUCUGAAAAAAAACAGUGAAGUUACAUUGAUUUCUUGUUUGUCAAUGAAAUUGGGAAAAUUAGACUGCAAAAGCUUAGUGAGGACAUUUGUGGUCAUCAUUCCAUCAAACUAUAAUGAAGCACGUCAUCAAGCCAGUUGUUCGAAUUAAAUCAUUGUGCCUUUGGCUUAUCCAUUCCGAUCAGAUCAUGUAGUCAGAUGAAAACGAAAUGGCAUGGGAGGUGGUGUUCUAGAGAGCAAUAAUUUGGCUUCUUGGGACAUCUUCCAUACGACCAUAUAUACCCAGACCAGAGGUUUCUUGAGUCUGUUCUAAGAUAGAGAAACGGGUGCCAUAAACUACCAGAGCAAUUAUUAAUAUUAUUUUAGACGCAAUUAUUAAUAUUAUUUCAUCCGUCAAAUUUUUAUGGUAAUAUGUUGUUUCAAAUCACAAAAGUUUACUAUGAAUGGAUUUUUCGUUUCAAAUCACAAAAGUUUACUAUGAAUGGAUUUUUCAGGAUGUAUAGGAUCUCUCUCUCUCUCUCUCUCUCUCUCUCUCUCUCUCUCUCUCUCUGUCUCUCUCAUAUGCAGUUUUCAACACAGUACUGAAACCAUGUUCCCUACUUUUUAGAGCCGAAAGUCAAGAUAGAAAGGCCCAAAAGUGCAUACGACCAAAAUAAGGCAAAUAUACACAUUGUGUGUGAUCUAAGAAUUUCUCGAGAAAGAAAAAGGUGUGAUGAUCCGGCUGGGUGGGUUUGUUGGUUCAGUACAUACAUGAUAUAUCAUCUUGCAUAUAUGAGGAACCAAACCAUCAGCUUUGGUGUAGCCUUCAGCUUUUAAUGGAGGCAGCGAAUAGUGGUUAGGGGACAGUGUCAAGAAAGAAUCAAGUCGUUGCACCAAUAGAUAGGAACAAAUAACCACCCGUCAGGUAGGCCCCUUCUCACAAACACAAAAUUAAAAGAUCAUGAUCUGCUCUUCUCGCUGGUUAAAGUGGUAUUGGGGGUCCAAUGAUCCAUUUAAAACCAACAAAAAAAUAAUUUAGAGAAAUGCUAUAAAAAUGGCAUGAUAAUAACAUGCAUGUCUACUUGUGGAAGGUGUGCAACAUAUACACGCCUUGAGUUUUAAAAAAACGUGAGAUGCAUGUAUUUACUAGGAAUGGUUGUCUUACCAUGCCAUGUGCAUUACUGAUAGCAUUUUGACACCCUAUAGGUGAGUCUAAAAAAAUAUUUUCAAACUCAACAAUCUGAACAAGACACCGUUGGUGGCGUGUCAAAUGAACAGGCCAAUCUUAUUUUUGGAAUAUGUUGUAAUCUACUUUUAUGCUGAAAAGAUUAUUGAAUAAGUUUCAUACGGUAAAAAGUCAUGCAGAUAAUGUAUUGCAUUGCUAUCUCUCCCAAUAGUCCCUCAAAGUCCACAUAAAACAAUCAAGUGGAAAUAGACAAGUCAUUUUCACUUGCCGAUGGAAGCUUAAGUGAUCGGUCCAAUUGCAAUUUUGUUCAACGGAAGUAAAUAAACUUGACAAGAAAGUACUAGUGCGAUGGUAAGAACGAGGAUAAAAAACAGAUGGGGACAUGAAGCCAACAUAUUAUCUAUUCUCGACUAAUGUCCAUAUUUUUUAAUGUAUAAUUUCUAAUAUUAAUUAAUUUGGUAAAAAAGAUACAAGAUUACCGGUAUAAGAUAAAUGCAGAGCUCGUACAAAAUAUCAAUGUCUUCACGUAAGAGUAACAAACCGUUACUAUGCAAACACUAAUUGACUUCCCAUUUAAUUUGUGCAUCAUGGAUUACACAUCCUCAUUUGGUCUCUAGCAAAGAGGGCAAACAAAGAACAAAACCCUUUUUCACCAGCCUGCAUACUCUAAGGCCUCCAUCUACAACAGGCCAAGACCACCUCGCAACCAAUCCAACCCCUGCCCGGCCAGACCAGGCAAAAGCAAAGGCGCCAGGAAAAGCCAAUGGCUCAAAGGAAGGGAAAAAAAAAGGGCACAGGCGGUCCGGCCACACUAGAUCCUGCGGGGCACGUCGCGGCCGCUCUUUCCGUGCCGGGCUCGCCCUUUCCGCACAGUACACGGAAGGCAUCGUCCCCUGCGUGACGCGCCUGUGGUCGUCGCUGUCGCCGCCCGCGCCCGGGCCACGCGCCGCGAGCCGCGUGUCCCCCUCGCAGGCCUUGUACACGUGCGGGGGCCCAGCCGCCAGUGGUCUUUCCUGCUUUACCCCCUGCGACAUGACCAAUUUACGGCUUGGCACCACCUGUUGGUUUCUGGUUUGGGGACGGCAAGGGCGAUGAUGAGGUUUUCCUUCACCACUUUGGUAAAGUGUAUAGGUGUUGUUAAAGAGAUCUAUUUAGAAUGGCCAAAGAUUGUUAGUUGUGUAAUGUCCUUAUUAGUAAUAAAGUAAUCAAUGUUAAUAAGAAAUAUGAGACGUUUUGAGGAAAAAAAAGUAAGCUAUAGAAUGUGGAUAAAUAAAGUCAUCUUUUAAUAGUCACGAGUCUUAUCAGUUUGUCUGUCUACGGUCAACUAACAAGAUUUGUUAUAAAUUGCUAAUACAUGAGUUGAAAGUCCUUAUUAGUAAUAAAGUAAUCAAUGUUAAUAAGAAAUAUGAGACGUUUUGAGGAAAAAAAAGUAAGCUAUAGAAUGUGGAUAAAUAAAGUCAUCUUUUAAUAGUCACGAGUCUUAUCAGUUUGUCUGUCUACGGUCAACUAACAAGAUUUGUUAUAAAUUGCUAAUACAUGAGUUGAACUAUCUAUUCAAAUCAACUCGCAUAUUCUAGAAACGAUUUAUGUGUUUCUCAUUAACCAAUACACAAAAUAUCACGUAAAUGUCUCUAUCUACUUGAAUAGCGGUCCUAAUCGAAUUAAUUAUAUUUUCAGACUACAAUGCUAAAACUAAUAAUGACAAAAACUAUACAUGUCUCUAACUGUACCUUUUGCCUUGAUUCCUCAACUAUUCACACGCACAAAACCACGGGCAGCCGAGACAAAGGCAAAUUCCAAGAAGGGCAGACUCGGCAUUCCAAACCCAAAUCGACCUUUCCCACAGAAAUCCCUGAAAUACCCCUGCCUAAACGGCAGGUACUCUCACUCACCCACCUGACAGCAGGGGUAUAUCCGUCACUUCUCCUCGCGCCCACGGAGUCCCCCGCGUCCCCUUCUACAGCGGCAACAACACCGUGACCCACCGCUCGGGCCCACCUGUCAACGUCGUCCUCGCCCCCGUCCCCACACCGCCUCCACCCACUACGCCACGUACUCGGCGGGCCCACCCACGCGCCACGUCACCCACGGCCUCCCUCUUUAUAAGACCUUGCGGGCAAGUUCACCGUCUCACUCCCCCGUCCCCGUCUCCGUCUCCGAAGAGAAGAAAGCACCGAGUCGCCGGAGAUGGCCGACGCCGGCGAGCCUCCUGCGAGCCAGAACCAUAAGUGCUAGGACAGUGUAGGUGCGUAGACACCGUUCGGUUGUAAGCAACGCACGCGGCGGGCGUCAUUCUUGGUCUGUUGAGUGAGGACGGCGGUGGUUGGGUCUUGGGUGGAAGAGGGUGCGGUGGUUGCCGGCGGUCGAUGACGUUUCUGUUCCCGGUCAGGAGUCAGCAGGGAGGCGCGAUGGAGGGCAGGCCGCCGGCGCCGGCGAGGGUAUCGUCGAUGUUCCGGCGGCUGAUGGUGCGGGUGACCCCGGCCGAGCGCCUGGCCGCGGAAGGCAAGGAGAGGGAGAGGGAGAAGGACGAGAGGCCGCCGCCGGCCGCCGGGGCGGAGGUGGAGGUGGGGUCGGUGGGGCUGGACCGGAUGGUGCUGAGCUUCAUGGAGGACUCCGCGGCCGUGGCGGAACGGCCCCCGCGCGGGCGCUGCGCCGGCAACUGCUUCAACGGCAACCAGGACGGCAGCGACGACGAGGACUUCGACUUCCUCCCCUCCGCCUCCGCCCCCACCGCCGCGCCGGCCGCGACCGGCGACGCCUUGGAGCUCCUCAAGGUAGCGUCUCUUGUCCUGAUUCUUCAUCUCGUGUCGCUUCCGAGGAAUCAGUCGCGCUCGUCGUCGUCGAGUGGCCAGUCCACGAAUUGAUUUUAAUUUCUUUUCUUCCCCUUUCGGCGUUCGUCCGCAUCGCAGGGCCUGGUGCAGUGCGCGAGCACGGCGGAGCGGAACCUCCUCGCCGACGCGUCGCGGAUCGCCGAGCGCUGCGGCAAGGGCGGCGGCGGCUCCGGCCGGAAGAAGGCGGACGUCCGGCGGGCGGUGGCGGACGGUCUCCGCGCUCUCGGGUACGACGCGGCGGUGUGCGUGUCGCGGUGGGACAAGGCGCCCUCCCACCCGGCGGGGGAGCACGAGUACAUCGACGCGGUGGUGGCAGGGUCCGGGGCGGCGUCGGUCCGGCUCAUGGUGGAGGUGGACUUCCGGUCGGAGUUCGAGGUGGCGCGGCCCACCAAGGUGUACCGGGCGGCGCUGCAGGCGCUGCCGCCGCUGUUCGUGGGCACCCCCGACCGGCUCGGCCGGGUCGUGGCCCUCGUCGCCGACGCCGCGCGGCAGAGCCUCCGGAAGCGCGGCCUCCACUUCCCGCCGUGGCGAAAGCCCGAGUACAUGCGCGCCAAGUGGCUGUCCCCGCACGCCCGCGCCGGCGUCCCGGACACGCCGCCGCUGACGACAACGCUCGCCACGCCGGUGUCCGCCGCCAGCUUCUCCGGCGAGUUCGAGCUGCGGUUCGACGAGAAGCCGAAGGCGCCCGACGGCACCGCCCGCGAAGACGGGGAGGAGAAGAAGAUCACUGUGGUGGUGUCCCCGUCGCCGUCGCCGUGGCACCCGGUGGAGGCCGAGGCGAGCGCGACGAGCCCGCCGCAGGCCAAGGGGAAGGUGGUGACGGGGCUCGCCUCCGUGCUCUGAUUCUGAACCAGCACGGCGGCGGCGGUGGUGGAUCGAAUAACGCUAGCUAGCCGAUCACACCCAAGAACUCCCCAGUCCCCACCUCCACCCAAACUUUUUUUGGCGCCGAUCUUUUUUUUCCUCGCGUUUCUCGAUCCGUCCGAGGGCCGGCUCCAGGUGUUUUAGCGGUUUUCCGGCGCCUUGGAAACGAUAGAGAGAGAGAAAAAAACGCCUCCUUUUUGUCCGUUUUUUGUUCCUGCGAAGGUUUCCGUUUUCCGCCGCCGGGGUGAACGGAAGGAACCGGGGGUCGAGUUUUUGGUUCCUCGUCCCUCGUUGUUGUCGAGAGGAAGACGAAGAUGGAAGAACAAGCCUCACCGCCAUGAUCUGAAGCUGGAAGCUCUGAACUACUACUACCUGUAGUGCUGUACCAUAUCCAUCAGGUCAUGCCAGGCUUGUGAUUUCAAUUGAAGAGGUACUAGUAAAAAAAAAUUCUACUGCAGCUAUCGACUCUUUUUUUUUUCUCUUUCGAUUCUACUGUCCUACUACUGCAGUAAAAAAAAUUGAAGAGUACGUACGUACUGUACCUUGUUGCAAACAGUAUUGGAGUACAUGUCAAUUGUCAUCAGUCGUCAGCUGAGCUCUGCUGCGAAACAGCCUUUGUGUUGAAUGGGUCUCGACAGGUUACGGCGAGUUUUUACUGCUUUACCCGCGAAGCAACUGAUGAAGAAGAAACGGCGAACAGUGAGGUGAGCACUGCCGGGCUGAGCUGAGCUGAGCUGAGCGCAGCAGGGAGUGGCGCCCGGGGCGGUUACUGCGAGGGUGGGGCCCGGCGUCAUUGACCGGGGAGGAUAUCAGGAUAUGGAUAUGGCUGCCAGGUCGUCGUCGCACGUACAGUGCUGCAGUUCUUCUAGGAGGUGGGCGUGCGUGCGGUGCAGGUGCAGGUGCAGCCGGCCUGCGCUGCGCUCGUGCCGUCUCGAGAGGCGCGCGCAGCCCUCCGUGGGCGGCGACGAGCGAGGCCGACGCGUGCGUGCGGGUGGGUGUUCGUGCGCGCGCGCAGGCCCAUGACGACGGCGUUGGUGUCCUGCCCAGCGAGCACAGUUGAACACGACGCACGGAGCGAGCGCCGAGCGGUGGUGCUGACGUUUUGACCGAGUAAAAAGCGAGCGAGCCCACCGGUUACUGCGGUGUGGCCGUGUGGGAGUGGGACCCACGUCCAUUGACCCUCCCUGCCAGGUGGGGCCAGGCCAGGUCUGCGGCUGCGGCGCCAGCGACCAGCGCGUGCGUGCACCGUGCAGGGUCCGCGCUGCGCCCGUGGUGUCUCGAGGGGCGAGGCAAGAGCCCGAGACGUGCGAGGCCUGGGACGACGCGUACGUGCGCGUGUUGCCUCGCGCAGGCCCCACGGCCACGGACGGCGUCGCGGGUGCAGGCGUGCAGCGCAGAGGAGCGCACGCUCACCGCGCUUGACCUCGGCCUUCCACGCACCACCACACCACGGUAAACUCUGAAGCCAGCACUCUGGGCUCCGUGGUGGACUGGACUGGUGGUCACCUCGAACGACCGCAACAGCAACCACAUUCAUCGAUCACCCAACACCUAUAAUUAUUAAUUUUAAAAAAUGAUCAAAACCAGGUUUUACUUUUAACUGAGCCCUUGGCCGGUUGGGGACAGCCGACACGUACCAGUGGCUUCAGCUUCGGCUUCCCUGCCACAGGAUCUUACUACUCGGCUGACCGCACGCUCUGCAGUUUGCAUCAGGCAGCGUUCCCGCGCUCGCCCGAGAACGCAGGUAAACCGAGGCAAAGCCGUUUACAGUUUCGAGCAGACAGCCGCGGCAACCAAGGUUAAAUAAAAAGGAGUUAACGCGAGGAACGGUAACAACUGCAUCCAAUUCGCGCGCACGCAGCCACGCACGUAGUAUGCUCCGUGGGACAUGGUUCCAGCUUCAAACUCCGAGCUGGAGUUAGGCGGAGCUAAGGGCCUGUUUGGUAGAGCUCCACGCAACUUCAGAUCCUCAAAAACAGUAGCUCCACCACAGAGCAGCUCCAGCGUGGAUCUAUGCUCUCACCGUGGAGCUGAGGAAAAGUGUUUGGCUGAGACAACGGCUCCAGAUCCAGAAAUAGAGUUUUUGGUUGGAUUAUCCACUAAUGCCCUUGGUGUUGUCCCAUUUUUUUUCUCAUUUUUUUCUCUUCACGUGGUGUGGCAACAGGCAGGAGCCAUUCGCGAUUUUUACCCUAGUAGAUGACGAGCUGCGAUCGCGAGCUGUUUGAGAGGGAAAUGCCUCGGCCAGGUAAAAAAUAUCAACUUGGUCUGGUCCUCAUUGCCUGCUCAUUUAUGAUUUCUCCAACAACUUUUGUACUAUCGGUUUCUUGUUUUUCUUUUUAACAGCUGCAGGCUUACAGGAUAUACGCCUCAUAAGUUGAACGGAUUUGAUCAGUUUGAUGAGUUGAAGAGCAGUUUCCCAAUGGUCAGCUUAGGAGAGCUUCAUUUGCCACAUGUCUUGAUACUCCCUGUAUACAAAAAUAUCAGCCUUGGGGAUCACCAGGGACUAGAAGUCAAUCUUUGUCUGAUCAGCUUGUAACUGAUCUGCAUCAGCAUAUCCAGACCUUAGUCAAUGGAUUAUCGCCAAAGUAUGCAAUUCAAUUGAUCACCAAUCAUUUAUGCACAAUUUGCAUACCAUCAAAAUCCGGCCCCUUGGCCUCCCCAGCCUGCAAACCAAAAUUCAGAAUGAGACCAACGCAUCCGUCAAACUAGAAAGCUAACGCAUCCGACAAACUAGAAAGCUAAAACCAAACAAGUCUGUGGCAGAAGAAUCCACUCCGCGUUGGUCGUUUCCCGCACCUUGCCCAAGCAGGCCUCCCCGGCUGGCGGCGUCUUCCGCUUCCUGGCAUUGCCGUCAUCCCUGGCGCGCGCUCACGCCGGGUCCGACACCGAGGACCCCUCCGGGGACCCGCUGCCGCCGGCCCCCGCCGUGACCCCGGGCAGCCCGAACAGGCCAGCGCCGCCGCCGCCGCCGCAGAGCGCGUCGAGGAACCCGCUGUCCAGCGCGGCGGCGAAGUCGAGCCCCGAGGCGGCGGAGUGGCCGAUGAGCGUACGCGACAGUGUAAAAAUGGAGCGGCGGCAGAAAGAAAAAAGAAAAUGAAGCGAACCGGUACAGGGGUGUGUAAUCGAUGGCAUUGGUGGGUAAUUUCCACCAACUCCACGAGGGGUUAUAAAAUCAACGUUUUGAGAGCACCCCCUGAGGUGCUCCAUGGAUUUGGUGGAUCUGGGAGCUAGAUCUGGGUUUUUUGCGGAUCUGGAUUUCACGGAGCUGAACCGUUUGGCUGGAAAAAUUAGAAGCGGAGCUGUUUUUGAGGAUCUGGAGCUGCGUGGAGCUCUGCCAAACAGGCCCUAAACAAACAUUCUAGCUCCAUUUUUUCUGGAGCAGCCCAACUCGAUGGAGUUGAUGGAGCUCUACCUUUUCUAGAGCAACCCAACUCUAUGGAGUUGAUGGAGCUCUAGUUCAUUUUCUUGGAGUAUCUCUUUCCCAACUCUAAACCCAUUCAAAACAAACCUAGACGUGGAGUUAGGGUAUAGUUAUCCACCAUUGCCACUGAUUACACAAGCAAACGGUUUGCUUCUAUUUCCUCCCGCACCCUGACGCCUCCCAACCGUAUCAUGUCCUAGCUUCCCCCAACGCCUCCCCCAUCCGCCCAACCCUUCCUCUGCCCGCCGCCGCUGCCUCCCCCGCCGGCCGAGAGGCCCUUCACCACCGCUAUCCCCCACCUUUCCCUCUUCCUUGCAUUCUCCCCGCGCCAUCCUUCCAACUUUGGCCGCCUGCAGGGGUGGUCGUGCUGCGGCUGCCAGAGUUGUCUUGCUACGGUUCGCCGACAGCAACCGGUAGGGGAGGCGCGCGUCCCCUAGUGCUGCUGGUGAGCGCAGGCGCCGAUCGCCGGUGAGGGUCCAAGCUCGACUGCCAAGGUACAACAACCCCUCUUUGUCUGUCUUUCCAUUUGUUCUAUAGGAAAAUUGGUACUAUUUGUUAGAAAUUGGUACUAUUUUGUACUAGAUUGGUUUAGGCAGGUAGCAAAUUAGUUUGAUUUGAUGGAAUUGCUGUGAACUCCUUUGCUAUCCAGUGAGAUGCAUAGUGUUCUAGGUUGUGAUACAUGCUAUUCUUUCAAUUGGUAAUGGUAUGUCUUCUAAAGUGCUAUUGUGAGUUGGUAUAGAUGCCGGAAAUUGAUUGGAACACUGAGAAUACUCGGAUUGUAAGUAAGUUGUUUGCCGAACAAGUUCAGAGAGGGAAUCGGCCCAACACAUAAGUUGGUUAUGCCGAGGUUGAUAAAGGGUUCAAAGAAAGGACAGGUCUUGAGGUGACCAAGUUGCAACUCAAGAAUAAGUGGGACAAAUUAAAGGAAGAUUUUAAGGCAUGGAAUAAGCUAAUGCUGAGGCAAACGAGGAUUGGUUGGGACCCUCAAAAAAGCACUAUUGAUGAUAUGGAUGAUGAUUUGUGGAAGAGAGCUAGAGCUGUAAGUGGCUUGUCAAUUUUGCUAAUGUUGUCAUUAUCAUUGAUGGUGCUAUCCAUUACACUAAUAUUAGGAAGCUUAGGAAGCUUGCCCUUCAAAAUGAAGAUGAGUUGGCAACAUGUUUAAGAGACAUCACUAAUAUUGGGGUUGAUCAUUGGUCUCCUUGUGGUGCAAAUGUUCAAACAGCUCCACUUGGUGGUGACACACAAGAGGAGCCAUCCAAUUUUGAGACACAAGAUAAUGAGCAGUACAUUCCUAAAACUCAAGACAAUCGAGAGGAUGAAAAUGUUGACCUGUAUAUGGAUAAGGCACCACCAAGAACAUCACAACUCAGUGGAAUGGAGUGGCUCGUGGAGACCAUAAACACUCCAGGAGAAUGCCACACUAUGCUUCGGAUGAACAAGGAUAUAUUAUUUGAUCUUCAUGAUGUCCUAAUUGAGAGGUAUGGACUGAAACCAUCAAAGCACAUGAACACUGCUUGCAAUCUUUCUAUUCAUAUGUAGUGGCUGUGAGUCAAAUAGAAGAGGUCAAAACGAGUUCAAGCAUUUUGGUGAAACCAUUAGUAGAAAAUUUCAUGAAGUUCUAGAAUGUGUGGUUGCAAUGGCUGAGGAUUACUUGAGACCAAAAUAUCCUAAUUUUUGCACUGUGCACAAGCGGAUUCAGAAUGAUAAGAGAGUAUAUCCACACUCUAAAGAUUGCAUAGGUGCUCUUGAUGGAACUCAUAUUCGUGUCUCUCUUCCUUUGAAGAACAAGUGAGGUAUAUUGGUAAAACUGAAAUUGCAACUCAAAAUGUGCUUGCUGUCUGUAAUUUUGAUAUGUGCUUCAUAUAUGUAGCUGUGGGUCAACCGGGUGCUUUACAUGACACAAGUGUAUUGUACUAUGCAUUGGAAGCGGAUACAAAUGUCUUCCCACAUCCUCCUCUAGGUAAAAUUCUUUCUACCAUCAUAGAUGCUCAUAUUCUUAUAUCAAAUUCUUAUGAUGUUGGACACAUUUGGUACUAUGUUGUGGAUGCGAGCUAUCCUAAUCGCCCGGGUUACCUAUCUCCAUACAAGGAUGAAAAGUAUUAUUUACCCGAGUGGCAUCGAGGUAUGGAACCAGGUACUCCAAAAGAGAAGUUCAACUGAAUACACUUGUCUAUUCGUAAUGUUAUAGAGCGCUCAUUUGGGUUGUUGAAGAUGAAAUGGCAAAUCCUAUAUAAGAUGCCAAGCUACUCCAUGCUCACACAAAAGAAGACUGUCACUGCCACCAUGGUUCUUCAUAAUUUCAUACGUGAACAUGCAAGUGAGGAUGAAGACUUUGCUAAUUUCGAUUGAGAUAUAAACUUUGUUCCUACGAUCCUAGAAAGGUACAUGUGUCUCAACAUGCCUCUGAUGGAUCAACUUCGGAAUCAAGCUUUGUAACCAUGGAUGCAUUUCAUAAUAGUUUGGCUACAUCUAUUGCCUUAGCAUAGAACUAGUGCAAUAUUUAUGAACAUGUGAUAUUAUGCAAUAUUCGGUUGUAGACAAUGAACUUGUAAUAUGUUGGGAUUUUAACUUUUUUCCAUGGUCAUUUUAUUUCAUAUGCAUGGCGAAAAUAGUUGUAGAUUUUUUGUUUCACUCAAAACAAUACAGUCAAUCAAACCACAUGAAGCAUGCUCCAGCUGGAGUUGUGGAGUGAAACAGAAAUCUACGGAGUUGGAGCCAUACUAAACAACAGACCCUAUAUGGCCGCCGCCUCCCAUGGCAGAGGGAAGGGGUCUGGCAGGGACCAGACCCCGUGGUUUGCAAUUUUCCACUGAAAUUUUUAAAUUCAAUUAAAUUUUUAGAUAAAUUAGCACUGUUGGCCCCCCUAACAAUGAAAAACCGAAUUCCUGGCUACGCCCCUGGCCGCCUUGGCCAUGGGCGCAUCGUGCUUUGGGGGGAACCUGGGAAGCAACGAAGCGACCACGCUCUGCGUUAGCAAGGCGCCGCACGCGCUGGUCCCCUGCUCUAGCAGAGGAAAAGCUCAUCCGGCCAUGUUGCGCUGCACUGAAUUAGGAAAUGCUUUGUCAAAAAGAGAAUUAGGAAAUGCUUGGGUUAAAUUAAUACUUCAGAAACUGGGAACAGACACAAGCAUACAAGAUAUGUACUAGUACCUGAGACAGAGGCCCUGGUCCUUCGCACACGAGCAUAAUUUAUCGGAUUUUCAGUGAUCGAGGAAAAAUCACAUGACAGUAUCUCAGGACACCGAACUUCGCCUUAAGUACUGCAGAAAUGCUUAUCAGUUAUCACUUAAAACGGUACCGCUUGUUCACAACCAUCGCCCACCCAACCCCGUGGCGCUGUGAUUCAUGGUGCUCGCUUGCUCGCUGCCACUGGUUAACGCAAUGAGAAAACAGGAAACAGCAUAAGUUAGCCUUCAGUUGCCAAACAGAAUAUAUUUUGCAUAGCUAUAGGAAAGGUACAGUACAUAAAACUUUGUAAUUUCAACUCUCUGGUAGAAUCCAGUUGAAUGACACGAAACUUAAUUACUUUUUCAAUGCAAACAUGCCAUUUUCAUUGGAAUCAUCAAUCCAUCCAAGCCCCGCAAUGACGGUUAUGCAGCCACCAGCGGGGACAGAGCCUCACGGAGGCCAUACUGGGCUAUGUGCCCUUCUUCCUAUGCCUCUGUAUGAUUGAUUAGUAGCCAACACCCAUACAAUACAUUAAGCUCAAAUUUAGUUCAGUCUUCAUACCACAGUAUUUCAAGUUUAAGAUAAAUCUCUGCCUUAAGAAAACCCAUAAACUUUAACUUACCAACUCUAUUUACACUAUGUUAAAGAUCCCAUCACAAACUCAACUCCUUUUAUGGAGCACCCAGCAAGAGCCCACGGCGAUGGGCUGGAUGUGCCCAAAACUUCAGAUGAAACUACAGUGCAUUUGCUACUCCACAACAGAAAGAUCCCAUCAAGCUAGAAUGUUCACUGGAAUUGCCUUGGGUACCUCAAUUAGAGUAGUUAUAUUCUGAAGAACAAACUGUGAAAAAGUUGGGGGCUUGGUGCAAACUUCAAGGCGAUACACUGAGAAUAGAAUUUGGGGUGAGCCUCUUUUCAUACUAUAUGUUAGGGGGAAAAGGCGAUGUAAGCAAGCAUGUCUAGCUUGAUUACUUGCCUAUUUGGAGUUCUGUACCUUGGGGUGGUUCAAUACUACAGAUAGGAUGUGCAACUGGACAGGUAGAAAAGUCCAUCACGUAUCAUUCACAAAUAUGAUCAUUGUACUACAAACCUUCCCUUCCCUUCUCCAUUCAAGCAUUUUUUCAGCCAACACUAUGGCUGAAUUAUGUAAAAGGAACCAGCCAGUGUGUUUGCUAUAAUGGUUAAUCAGUAUUCUAAGAGAAAGGGAUCCAGCAUUCCUGCAAAGUUCAAGUCGUAAUAUAAUUCAUGCGAUUAAUCAAUUAUAUUACAUAAUUACUGAGAACCAGGCGAUAGCUCGGUUGGUAGAGCCCCAAGUUGAGAGGUCACCCCCUGAGCACGAACUCAGGUGUUGCAUCUUGUAGUAUACCUUCCUAAGGGGUUCAUGAGUCCGAUCUCUUAAGGCAAAGCCUGGGCUUCACCCCGUGGUUGAGUUUCUUUUAUAUUACAUUAUUACUCGAAUGAAUAUGCCCAUUGUUUCAGUUGAGUAGGGCCCUUGUUUGCCAUCAUGGUCGUGGCAAUGAAAAAGGAAUACAAGUACAGUUCAUGAAUCUUAUAACAGAUUUCCUAAUUUCAAGAGUUCACAAGAACACGGUAGGGUAAAGAUUUUCAAAGGUGUUCACCUAUUCUUCUACAUAGAAAAAAUAGCUACAAACAGGAAUAAUUUUGCAAAUUGCAAUGGGACAAGCACAAUUUAUAAGAAGCCAUUACCUUGGCAAAUUUAUUUGCGAGUACAGCUCAAAAUAUGCCAAAAUACUGUACUAAUGUACCUAUUACCACUAGGCAUUCAGAUGUCAUGGUAUAGGAAAACGAAUUAAAUAAUUUUACAUGCUACAUGGUCAACAGAUGUAAAUUUGAUGGCACAAGUUGUAAGUGGAGAAGAAAUAUGUACCAGAAUACCAGAUCAACGUGCAUGGCGAACACUGUGCUGGAAGUCAAGAUGCGCUCCAUUUUGAUCUUCAAAGCAUAUCGAGCUGCACAUAGUCCCAAAACCAUGGCAGCCAUUAUAACAUAUAGCAUAUACAAUAAAAACCUUCUAAUAUGCCUCGAGAUUGACUGGCUGCCUGACAAAAUUUUGCACUAUCACUCCCCAAGUUCGCUCAUUAGGAACUAUCCCUCCAUUUACUGCCUUGUUUAGAAGCAUAGACGCAUCAUCAAGCAAUCUGACUUUGCAGUGCCAACUAAUGAGAAUAUUGUAUGUGAUAAUAUCUGGAUGCACAUUUUCGUUGGGUAGCUUCUCUAGGAGAUUUAAAGCAGCAUGUGUCCAUCCCAUUUUGCACAAUCCAUUUAUGAGUGUAUUGUAAGUCACAAUAUCAGGAGUGAGCCCUUGAUUCAACAUCUCCUUUGAGAGCUCUAGUGCAUCGCGUACUUUCCUUGCUUUGCAGAGCUCACUGAUCAGGAUGUUGUAUGAGAAAUUAUUUGGCUUAAUUCCCUUUUCCAUCAUUUCCUGAAGCAACCCCAUACUCCGAUCAACAUUCCCCUCUUUGCAGAGGGCUUUUAUCAGCCCAUUGUAGCUAAUAACAUCUAAUGAGCAACCAUUAAGUACCAUUUCAUUUGCAAGCCUUAGGCCCUGCUGCCACCUUCCGCUACGCAGAAGUGCAUGAAUUAGAGUGUUGUAAGUUAUUCCAUUGGCAACAACACCCUCUUCGAGUAAGUUUCCAAAAACAUGUUCCGCUUCCUCCAUCCUGUCAUUGUUGCACAGAUGAUAAAUUACUGUAUUGUAAGUGCAUAUAUCAGGCUUGCACCCUUGACUCUUCAUCUCCUGGAUGAGCCUCAUUGCAUCAUCAAACUUGCCAUCCUUGCAUAACGCAUAUAUCAUUCCAUUGUAUCCUUGGGAAUUCAUACUCAAGCCCUUCGCCGACAUCUGAUCCAGUAUUGCUCUUGUGUCAUCCCACAUGCCAUUCCUGCAAAAUGAAUGCAGCAAGGUUGUGUAGGUCAUGACAUUUGGAGCACAACCCUUCUCCUCCAUCUCACCAAGCAACCGCAUGGCCGAACCAAACCUCCCAAGCUUGCAAAGACCAUGCACCAAUAUACUGUAUGUGUGCACAUCUGGAGGGUAGCCUUUCGAACCCAUUAUCUCAUACAGUUCUGUUGCCUUAUCCAGCUUCCCCUCAGCCAAGCACCCACCAAUCACAGUGUUAAACAGAACCACGUUGACCUCUGGCACCCUCCCCAGCAUUGCCAACGCCUCAUCCACCUGCCUUGCUCGGCACAACCCCUCCAUGAGGAACCCGUACGUCAGCAUGCUCGGCGUGCAUCCCUUCAUCAUCAUCCUGUCCACCAGCCUGGCUGCGUCUCUCACCCGCCCGAGCCCGCACAGCCCGCGAACGAGAUCAUCGAAGGUGUUCACGUCCGCUGGACAACCCAUCAGGAACAUCUCGUCGAGGAGCGUGGCGGCCUCGGCGACCCCACCCUGGUCGCACAGCGCGUGGAUGACCGUCUGGUACAGCACCGCGUCGGGCACGCACCCGUGGCGCGCCAUCCCGCGGAGCAGCGCGAGCGCCUCGUCGGCGCGGCCGAGGCGGCAGAGCGAGCGCGCGGCGACGCCGAAGGUGAAAGGUGGUGGGCGGCACGCGGUCCCUGAGCAUCCGGCGGUAACAGGGCGAACGCGUCGACGUGGCAAUCGGGCCCUGGCGAGCGUGGAGAGCACGACGUUGUAGGAGCGGAAGGACGGGGUGACGGCGAAGCGGGCGGGCAUUUGGUCGAGCAGGUGGAGGCGCGCCGGGGGGCAGGGAGCGGAGGAGCGGGAUCAGGAGCGACUCGCGAGCGGGGCAGGCGGGAGGGUGGGAAGGGAGUCNNNNNNNNNNNNNNNNNNNNNNNNNNNNNNNNNNNNNNNNNNNNNNNNNNNNNNNNNNNNNNNNNNNNNNNNNNNNNNNNNNNNNNNNNNNNNNNNNNNNAUGCGGGGCUCUCCCAUGUAGAUCAUGUCAGCGCAGCGCAUGGCGAGCGGCGUGCAGCCACGCGCGACCUCUGGGUCUGUGGACCAAUUCGAGUGAAGUAUAGCUAGAGGUUAAGGGGUGUUGGAUACAAGGUACUAAACUUUAGGAGGGUCACAUCGGAUGUUCGGAUGCUUAUUAGGAGGACUAAACAUGAGCUAAUUAUAAAACUAACUGCAGAACCCCUAUACUAAUUUGCGAGACAAAUCUAUUAAGCCUAAUUAAUCCAUCAUUAGCAAAUGGUUACUGUAGCACCACAUUGUCAAAUCAUGGACUAAUUAGGUUUAAUAGAUUCGUCUCGUGAAUUAGACUCCAUCUGUGCAAUUAGUUUUGUAAUUAGAUUAUAUUUAAUAUUUCUAAUCAGUAUCUAAACAUCCGAUGUGACAUGUCCUAAAAUUUAGGACGCCGGAUCCAAACGGGCCCUUAAAAACCUCUCAUCUGGGUCUGUGGACCAAUCGCCUCCGCUUCUGUCAGACAAGCGACAAGGCAUUCCGAGUUCCAUCCUCCAGCGGCAGACACCCUCAGAGGUCUUGAGGUGCGGUGUCUACAGGUGUGUUUGGACGGAGGAACAUGAUGCGAUAGGAUGGCAUGAUUUCAGUUUUCCAUGUGUUUAGUUAGAGGAACGGUGGGAUGAGGAUAGCACGAUUUCAAUUUUGCAUGUGUUUAGUUAGAGGAAUGGUGGGACGAGAACAACAUCAAAGUAGAAUAUUCCUUGAAAAAAGUGGGAUGGAACCGUUCCUCCGAAUCGGUCGAAGCGAUCCGUCCCUCGCGGACAGUGUCUCCCUCCCGUCUCCUCCUGCGCCAUCCCGCGCCCGCUCAUCCACCUCGCCCUGCUGCUCUGCUCUGCGCCUCGCUCGCUGCCUGCGCCCACCACCUCCGGCGCCACGUGCCCUGACUGCCGCCCAGAGUCGUGCCCGAGCUGCUGCCUUGUGCUGCCCGCGCCCCAUGCCAAUGCCGUCGUGCUCUCGGCCUAGCCGCCGCUGACGCCCGCGUCCCUGGCCCUGCCACCGGCGGCAGCGGUUCUCCCCCCUCCUGCCCCCACUCCACCCCUCCCGCUCCCCCGCCCCCGCCGGCCCCGCACCCCCGCCCCAGGCUCCGCCCGCCGCGCGCUCUCGCUCGGUCCUCCGCUGCCGCUCAAACCGCAGCCCCAGCCCCGCUGCCGAGCCGCUCAUCCCAAUCGCUGGAUCGGCCAGGUGCCCGGGCCGCGAGAUCCGCGCCUCUAGCAUGGGAUUCGGUGAUCGCGACGACAGCGUUGGCGAGGAGGAGCCGCGAGCGGUGUGUGAACCGGAUUAGAGGGGCGCAGGAGGAAAGGGAUGAGGCCCUCCUCUGAGGCUGACAGUGGACCCCGCGGCUAAUGGAAUACUAACACCGUCUAUUUCAUUCGUCCUCAUCCCUUCAACCAAAUAACGAAACUAGGACGCCCCAUCCCUCCAACCAAACACCAAGUGGGAUCAUCUCAUCCUAAAAAAGAGGAUGAUCCUAUACCGUCCCACUUAUCCCUCCAUCCAAAUACACCCUAACUUUUCUGAAAAAUUGCUGCUGGCUUUUUGUUCUUAAAAACAACACUAGCUUUGGAAGAUAUGUUUAGCCUUAUGAGCUUAAAAAGCUAAAAAAGCUCGUAAAACUGAGUUUUCUAGCUUUUCAUAUAAAUUCAUCUUUUUUAGGCUUACGACUUUCCAAAAGUUGCACGAGAAAUUCACUAUUUGUGUGAGCUUCUAACUUUUCAUGUUAAGAAGCUAUUAGGAAGAUCAAACAAAAUCUCUAGCCUCCUUAUAGCAAUGGAGGACCCUGCGCCCCCUCCCCCGCUGUGCGCAAUAAACUUUCAAACGACUUUUUUUUGUUGCUUGCACAUUACUCCUGAACAUCUACAUGGUGUAAACAUGUGUCUACUCACCCAUAUGUUUUUCCUUUAUCGAGUAGUUCAUUUGCUUUGUCAGGAGUGCUAACUCCAUAUAGUACCAUUUGGUUUUUUUCAGAUACAGUACCAUUUGGUUAAUCAGUAGUAUGCUUGCCUACUGUUAGUUCAUCUAUUUAUUUUUUCUUACUUAUAAACCACAAGAGCUAUUUCUGCCUUAAUUAAGUAAUCAUCAGCAUCAUAUCCAAUUCCCUAACAAUUUUUAUUAAGAAGCCGGCGUCGAUACUAGGUAAUAGACACCAUAGACAGUAGAAACUGCCCCCUCUUGAAUUGAUGGCCAGCUCUGCCACUGGUGACGCCAUAUGCGCGUUGGAGACAAAGGGUACAAUGGAUAUUUUUCGCUACCUGGGUCCGCUUGUAAGAGCUCUCAAACGGCCAAAACCGAACGGAAUAGUGACGGAAUGGCAUGGAUGGACAAACCAAGUUGCACUUGGGCAUACAGGUGUCGACGAACUUUUUAGGGGCAUGGAGGUUAGACCCAACUUUUAUAAUGGCAUACAGGUAAAACCCUCCUAUUUCCACGUAACAAACACGAGCCAUAAUCUAGUUCCAGCUUGGCUUGAUUAUCUCUAGUUAGCAUGUUAUUUGGGAUAUUAACCACAUAAAUGUGCACAAACUAGGACUUGUAUUAUGUUUUCGCUAGGUAGGGUGAACAUAGACGCGAUUCCUCUAAGAUCAAUAACUCCACACUUGGGUUGGGAUGAAUAAUGUACCCAUACAUAACGGUAAGUAUUGCAAAAUAGAGGUUUCACGGGUGAAAAACAUCGUGCGAGUAAUAAAAUGAACAACCUCAUUUGCAAAAAACCUUUCAGAAAAUUGUCUAAUUUAUAUAUGAAAACUCUGGGCCAUUUAAGAGAAUUCUAAAAAAGCACUAAACUAUCAGCCAAAUGCAUAGAUCUGAAAAAAUAAAUCUACAUGCUAUUAAAUAUUUAUUUUUAAUACAUCUCCUUAUAGAAUUUACUAUAGUUAUAUUAGUCUUAUCGUCAAUUGUUUUUGAGAAAUUGAAAGGUGAAGUUCGUCCAGUAUAAUAAAAAGUGUAAAACUGACGUAGUGCUAACGAUAACCAAAAUAUUAGGUUUUGAAUUGCUUGGGUUGUCCCUUCUCUCUUGGGCCGACAUUAUCGACCCAAAUGGGGCCUUUUAGGUCUACCAGAGCGGCAGACCCCUUCUCAUUGUCACGACGCCCAAUCCAACGGCUCGGACUUCACCCCCACCUCCUAUAAAAGAAACUACCUCGCCUUCGCCCAUCCAUCCCCAUCCAAUGUCAAACUAGGGUUUCCGCCGCCGUCGCAACGCGUAUCGCCGCUGUUCUCUCGGCGCCUAUUUGUUUCUCCCGAUUCGAUUGUAUCACGAAUCAUUGUGGUUUGUUUCUUGGGUUUUUGUUUCUGUUGUCUUCCUCCUUGUCUGGAGAUUUUUCUCUGUUUUUUUCCUGUUUGGUUUCGUUUGCUCGGAUGAUAGAUCUCCUAGCGCGAUGAUGGGUGGACUGUGAUGAAAAAUGCAACCAAAACACACCAUCUUUCGGGGCUGAUUGGCUCGUGCCAUGCUGCCAACUCUGCAAUUCUGAUGUCCCCCUUCGACACGCCCCCAGAUCUCUGAUCUCACGUCUUCUAUUCUGCAUCCAGUGUUUUUGAAUGAUGCAUCUUUUCAUCAAGAGAUUUAGUGUUGGUUCAUUUUAUUUGGCCUUUCAGUUGUCUUUGUAUAAACUUGAAUGGAUGUGGGAAAGUGAGUUUGUUUGCUGGCCGGUGAUGAUAAAUUGCAAAAAAGAACACCAUCUUUCGGGGCUGAUUGGCUCGUUACGAGCCAUGCUGCCACUCUGCAAUUCUGAGGCUGUAGUAAAACCGAGCAAACCGCACUGAGGUUGGAAUAAAAGAAAAGGCUUUGAUUGUUGUCUACCUGAAUGAGUUCAAAAUUUAAAUGCAAAGAACCUGACAUGCAGCAGACCAGUCCAAGAAAGUGAAACUGAGAUGAGCCAUUCAGGUGUUCUGAACAAAAUAACUAGAAAUAAAACCCAUGCCAUUAACAGUAAUACUGUAAUCCAAACAGUAGCUUUAGAGGUACCGUUUAAUGUUCGCUCCACUCUGAAUCCGAAGUUGGCCAACUUUGGACAAUCACAGUAAUGCCCAACUUUGGACAACCAAAGUUAUCGUGGGAUUCUUCUUUGCAUUAGUAGCAAAGUUGGAAUUUUGGGUGAAACUAAACAGGGUCUCAACAUGAAUCUCAGGGGUAUUUGGUAGUAUUUCAUCUCACAAAAAUCAGCUCCACACUUUUCCAGUUUUACUCUACCAACUUCAGAAAAACAUUUUACUCUACCAACUUCAGAAAAACAUUUUACUCUACCAACUUUAGAAAAACAUGAAGCGUGUUUGGCAGAUUGUAGUGCUCCAACUCUGGAAAUAUGAGAAUCUAGUGGGAAUGUUCUAUUUUGCUCGUGGUGGACAGCUGGUUAUGUUUUAAGCAGUGUGGAGAGUUUGCUGCUACGGUACUAUCGCUAUGGUAAUUCAGGGAAAAAAAACUACUCAACAAUGAGCAUGAUAUAAAAUGAGAUGUUCCGUCCAAUAAUGUUCUAAUGACUAGCUCAACAAUGAACACUUUGGACUAGUGGUUGAUCACAGAAAAUGGAGUUUGGCUAUUGUGUGUGGAGCUCAAAGUUUGAAUUGUACGCUGUUUUGGUCACUGUUAGGCAUAGUAUUGAAGUCUGAAACUGAACUUGGAAGUUCAAGUUUUUGGCCGUGAUGUUCAGAGCCUUUGAUCUCCCAAACCGUGCAUUCCCCGAGAAAAAUUCCUAUCUAUCAAUUGUAGCUCUAUGAUACAUCUACAACUUUGGUUAAAGGUUCUCGGAAAGUUUGUGUAUGAUUUUGGACAAGAAUCAUCAAAGAAGGGGCUGAAUUUUUGUGCAUUUUGGAGCUCUACCUGACGGCAAGCAUCUUGUCUGCUUCACCUGUUUGCCAGCCAGCUCCACUGCCGGUCACCGCUUGAGCUGCUGCGGCCGAUUUUAACCGUGCCACGCGCCAGUUCGCUAGUGCGACAGCAGCAAGCAGGCAGACUGGUGCUGGACGCCGGUGAGGCGGUUAGUUUUUGAAGUUUAACCCUGCGGCCUGCCGUCGUCGUCAUCUGCUCAUUCUCUCUGCUUCCCGCCCAAGUUCCAGCCGCCAGAGCUCGCCGCCAGUUUCACCGUCGAUAAGCCGUCACCGGUCGAUUCCUCUCACUCACCGCACCGUAACAACCUCUCGAGCACCCCCAGCCACUCCUCGUCCGACGAGAUCAACCACAGCGCCGCGGCGACCCCUCCCUUGUUCCGCCGGCCGCCGUCGACGCCCCAAGCCCGGCGCCAUCGCCAUCCAUUUUCGAGCCGGUUGGAGGAGCUAAGGAAGGAAUCGCCGGAUUGGGUGGAGGAGGGUCGCCAUCGCCAUCCAUUUUCGCCGGGGGACUCGGCCGGCGGCGGCGCCGCUAGGUUCGCGGGAGGUGGGGGGAGGAGCGAAGGGAUGAGGGGUGGGGGGCGACGGGAUUCCUCGUACGUUUCUUUCUUUUGUCAAUCCAACCGGUAUCUUUGUUUUGUGUAAGUAGCAAUGGCUGCACGAGGUAAUCUGAAAGUGAAGUUUUUGUUUUUGAGCACUCUUAAAGUACUCAAAAUUUUUUGACGUGUAUCUCAACCUUAGCUUCAUCUUUUUUCUGAAGUUGGAAUUGGUAAGUAUUUGGCUGCAAGUUUUUUUAAGUAAUGUUUCUGAAAUGGACCUAAUUUUUCUGGAAGACGCAACAUGGCUCUGGAUCUGAAGACACAACGACUCUGAAUCUGAAGAAGCAACAUGGCUCUUGAAUCCGUAGAGGUAGAGCAGCAUGGAUCAUCUUGCAGCAACACACCAUCUGCACAUCUGGUUGAACCAAUCACGAAAUUUUUGAAAAGCUAUGCCUCUGCUGUUGAUGGAUGGAUGCUUGGCAGCGGCAAAACUGAAACCAAAAUGCACAACGGCCGCGUUGUGGACUUGCUGAUGUUUCGUUUGGGCCGGGCCUCUCUGCCUUCGGCUCGUAAACUAGGCCCAAAUGCUAAUCUGGGGACCCACCCAUUCACAGCCAUUUCCUGAUCUAAAAAAAACUCACAGCAAUUUCCUCCCGCUGACACGCUGGGCCCCCGGCCAGUCUUCCAGCGUCCGAGCUGGCUGGGAGGUGGCCCAUCGUGCUGACACGUGGGCAUUAAGUUUCGAAACCAAAUCAAAGUCUCUCUAACGAAUCGUCGAAUCCGCAUUUGAAAAUUUGAACCAACGAAUCAAAAGCUUCCCCUCUGAUCGCCCCUCCCCCUUCCGCCGCCCACCUCGCCUCGCCUCGACGUCUCCUUCCCCCCUCUCGCCAAGCAAAAGCCACCGUCUCCGCGGGGGGCGAGGUCACGGAACCCGAGCCCUUUAUCAGCCCGCCCCUGUUGCUGGCGCGGGACCUCUCCCUCCCUCCCUCCCUCCCUUCCCCCCUCUGCAUCGAAUAAGCCUCCUCCCACGACCCGAGGAACCGCUGCCGUAGUCGCAGCCGUUUGAGGGCGAUCGCGCUUCGAUUUCGAGGUCGGGUCGUGCACCCCUGCGGGCGGAAGGUGGAUUUGUUGCGGCGAUGGGGUGGUGGGCGCGUGCCCCGGCGCCCGCGGUGUUGGCCGCGGCGGCGGUGCUGUGGUUGCUUGCUGCCGCGGCGGCAGGGGAUGCCGAUGCCGGCGACCUCGAGCGCGCGUAAGUUGCAAAUGGUUUCUUAAAGCUUAAUGAGGAUGCAGUUCUAAGUGUAACUUGAACAUUUUUCGUUGACGAUUCCCAAUCACCCGUUUCCUGCGUUUAAGCGUCAGGUUUCGCGUUGGAUUCUUCCUCCGGCGUUAGAUUGUACUAGCAUCGGGUUCAGAUGACAGCAUCUUUUCAUUUUAGUCACGUUUUUAGUUAGGAAGAAGCCCAAAUUUCAGUCGCCAAUCGAUCGUCCCCGCAUCCAUUGCAUAUGGCGCAGUUUUGCGUAAUUUUAAAAAUGUGCGAAUUUCUGCUGCUUUGGUCGAGUGAGAAAUGCUUUGAUGAGCUUGUGCUGGCCUAUUUUUAUGUGAAAUGUAGUUAUUUGCGAAGCUGAGUUAUGGAAGGAGGAAGUAGUUCUUGCUGAUGAAUGGGGAUGAAACCCAGUGGCUAUAAUCCUGUGAAACGUGGAGUAUGUAGUACUUUGUGUGGUAUUAUUGUACAAAUGACUAGUCAAGCAUACAAAAGUUGUUGUUUUCUAAGUGAAUGAUUGACAAUUAUUAAAUUGAACACUUGACCAUAUGAGCUUAUCCACAAAUUGUGAUCUAACGGAAUGAGGCAUUUUGCUGUUUGGAUGGAUGGUAAGGCUAAUCUAAAAUAUGUUUCCUGAGUGGAUGGCAGUGAAAUAUAUGCAUACUAGAACUGUUACAUUUAUUUCUACUAUAAUUCAGAAUAUUUGAAUCAAUUGAGAUGGAAAAUAUCAGUAUUUAUCAACAAGAUAGACUCGAAAACAUACAUUUAUUUGUCAGACUUUUGAUCAGAGAUUGUUAUGCAGGUUUCCAAUAGUCAAACCAGACUACAGUCACACGAAACUCCGUCUUGCAAAAGAAGGUUUGGAGGCCAUUCAGAGGAUCAAAACUCCAAUAGCUGCUAUCUCUGUAUGUUCAAACUCUAAUAUUCAAGUGACUUAAUGGUUUGCAGGGAUACGGGAUAUUUUGUUCUAUCAUAACAAACACAUACAUGCUGCCUUUACCAAGUUCUGUCUUUAAUUUGUUGUUGUAAAAUCAGGUUAUUGGUCCAUAUCGAUCUGGCAAAUCUUUUCUUCUCAACCAACUUCUCUCCUUAUCAUGUGAUAAAGGUACACUGAACUUUUUCUAUAAAUCAUGCUUCAGAAAAAUAAGUAUUUGGAUUUUGGACUGGAGGGGUAAUAAAUUUCCGGCGCAGGUUUUGGAGUUGGACACAUGCGGGAUACCAAAACAAAAGGUAAGAUAACCUGCCAAUUAAAAGCAAUAUAAUGUUCUCAUUAUAUUUUUAUCGAAGAAUAUGAACAACUAAACCACAUUUUGCAGGCAUAUGGGUUUGGGGCACCCCCAUUGAGUUGGAUAUUGAUGGCUCCAUAGUUUCUGUCAUAUACCUGGACACUGAAGGAUUUGAGAGUGUUGGGAAGUCAAAUGUAUAUGAUGAUAGGUUGGUUUCUACAAAGAACACAUAUGUUUGGAUAUGGAAACAAAUGCAUUGAAAUUUUGUUUGUGGCAGGAUAUUUGCUCUGGCAACUGUUUUAAGUUCUGUUCUGAUCUAUAAUCUUCCUGAGACAGUGAGUUUCCCUCUUAUGAUGUCCUCAGGCCUUCAUCUCCAGUCUUUCAUUUGGUAGGAGUUAAUUUACAUCUUCUGGUGACAGAUUCGUGAAGCUGAUAUAUCUAGGCUUUCAUUUGCUGUUGAAAUUGCUGAAGAAUUCUAUGGAAGGUUUGCUUGUUGCUAGCUCUGAUUUGGACCUUUCCAGUUUAAUAAGUACCUUGUAUUCUAACAUAUUUUCAAUUUUUUCCCCUCGGACUUGUCAAAACCAGAGUCAAGGUAAUACUUCAUUAACUUAAGUCCCAGAGUUAUGAAGCCGGAAACUAUAUCAAAAUCACGUGUUUGGCUCUGCAGGGGCAAGAUGUUGCUUUUGAGCCAGCAAAACUUCUGUGGCUAAUCCAGAGGGAUUUUCUCCGUAAGUUGCUUCCUUUUCGCAUAUCACUUUUUUUGUUUGGAGAUGCCUUAUUUAUUUUGGCUUGUGUAAAGUAUAGAGAAAUAGAUAAUAAGUAUAGAUCAGAUAAUCAGAAUUGUGGUUCUAGGGAAUAAUCCUCUGAUCUCCUAAUAUUGAAAAUGUUGCAGUCUGUUCAAGGCUCCACAUUAGGGUAUGAUUGACCUAAAUUGUAUUUUGGAAAGAAACUGGUGCCAACUCUUCAAAUUGGUUACUGAUCCUUUUGAUUUCUACAAAGAAUAUUCAUAUAAUUAGUUCCUUCAGGGAACCACCCCUAGCAAUCUAAGUUUGAACACUUUAUUACCCAAUAUUUUUUUCUGAAUAUAUACCAUUGAUGUGAUUAAAAAAUGCAUGGUAAAUAUAUAGGUAAUGAGUCGUUACUCUUACUAUCUGUAUGGAAUGAUGUUGUCAUGGAGUUUGUAGAGUACAUUCCAUACUAAUUUUCUUGUGCUCUUUCUAUUUACCAGCAUUUUUGUAAGGUAGUUGUUGCACAAUAGUUAAUAUGUCUUGUAGACUUGCAGUAAUAGUUCCAUACACUCGUAUUAUAUCAAAUUUCUUAAACUUCCUCUGAUCUUGCUAACUUCUGUUAUGCAGAAGGAAAAUCUGUUCAGCAGAUGGUCGAUGAAGCACUCCAAAGGGUGCCUAAUAACAAUGGUUAGUUCAAGCUAUCUUACAAAACUAUAUUUAAUAUGCUUUGAUUUUCUAUAGAAGCAUUUUCCUUUGCACUUUUCAGAGCUGGAUAUAUUUUAUCAGCAGUUGAACUCAACUCACCCUUUUCUGUAUUGCUACAGGAGACAAAUAUAUUGAUGAGGUAAUAGUUCUUUAAGCCAAUAUGUUAUUAACUUGAAGAUAUGAAAUGAAAUUUUGGUUGAACAAAUUGGCUUUCAUGUUAUGUCAGAUCAACCAAAUCAGAGACUCUUUGGCGGUUAUGGGAGAUAACAGUACAGCUUUUAGCUUGCCACAGGUGCGUUGCAUCAGACAACCUCUGGUUUUUCUUGUUCUGCAGUAGUACCAUUUAGCUGCACUGAUGGCUGUGAAUUGUUGGGUUCUCAAGUAUCUCACUUCAGUACACAUCAUGUCAUGUGGAUUAAAUUUAUCCAGUGCUUAUUAAAAGUGCAAAACAUGAUCUUGGUGGAGGACUAAGUUGUUUAACUUUGCUCUUUCAAGCUACACAUAUGACAAUUCUUUAACAUGUCUCCAAUGUGAAUUCAGUUUGGUGAUAUGCACUGUUUUUCCCCCUUUGCACGCCCAUGGGUAGCUGAUAUGCUGAAUUUCUUCCUUUCUUCAGCCUCAUCUGCAAAGGACACAGUUAUGUGAUCUGGAGGAUCAGGAACUUGAUCCAUUGUAUUUAAAAAGGAGAGAUCAAUUGAAACAAAUUGUUUCAUCCAUGAUAAAACCGAAAAUUGUGCAGGGUAGAACUCUAAACGGGACAGAAUUUGUAUCCUUCCUAGGGCAGGUAAUGCUUGUUUGAAAGUUCAUUACUUACAUAGAGUAUCUGAAUAUUUCCCUGCAAAAUAUUUAAAACUAUUCCCCUUUGUUAUAGAUACUUGAGGCUUUAAAUAAAGGUGAAAUUCCAUCGACGGGAUCGCUUGUUGAAGUUUUCAAUAAGGCCAUCCUUGAACGUUGCUUGAAGGUGUAUAAUGAAAGAAUGGGCAGAGCAGGUCUACCAGUAUCAGUGGAUAAACUUCAGCAGUUUCAUGACCUCGCAAAAGAUGAAGCUAGAAGGCUCUUCGACAAGCAGCAUUUCGGUAAACAUCAUGCUGCUCAGUCCAUCUUCAAGCUUGAUGAAGAGAUUAAAAAGGUUUACUUGACAUUUUGUUCAUAUUUUAUUCAGUUCAUGAUAAAAUCUUAUUUCUGCAUUUUAUCCCUGUCAUGAAGUUUCAUACUCCUUGCUAAAGAGUUUAAGAUUUUCAAUUUAUUUUCUCAGAUCCAUAGAGUAAGUAUGACACUGACAGCAUAAUGUUUUUGUGCAAACCACUUUAUUUUGUGGAGAAUCUGAGAUCAAUUUUUGCAUAGCUUUUAGGGCAAGAAGUGUUUUGUCAUUUUUAAUCUUGUGUGCAUUGCAGCUUAUGCAAUAUGGGAAAAAAAUCUUUGGUAAUGCCUAACCAGGUAUUCUUUUUAGAUCUUCAGAAACUUUGGUCAGGCCAACGAAUAUCAGUCAUCAAAGCUGUGUGAAGCACGAUUCUCAGAGUGCGAAGAUAAAAUGGAACACCUUCAAGUCUUAAAGCUUCCGUCCAUGGCAAAAUUUGAUGCAGGAUUUCUUCUCUGCAAUCAAAGUUUCGAAAUGGAUUGUGUGGGGCCUGCCAAGGAAAGUUAUCAACGCCGGAUGUCAAAGGUUUCUCUCUUUUUACUUACAGUGCAAGUUAGGAUAGCUUCCAUGAGGUUCGUGAAUAACUGUGAUAGAUUUCAGGGAUAAUGCACAGAGCUGUUAGGUGUACUAUAAUAUAUGUUCCCCGUAAUAAAAUAGAAACAACACCUUUUGCCUGUAUUUCCUAUCUGACAUUGUUAAACUGAAUCGAGUUCUAUCUUCUAUCCAUUCUUCCAGAUGCUGGCAAGGUCUCGCGCUCUUUUCAUCAAGGAGUACAACAAUAAGCUCUUCAACUGGCUGGUGAUAUUCUCCCUAGUCAUGGUUGUCAUCGGGCGCUUCGUGGUCAAAUUCUUCCUGCUCGAGAUCGCUGCCUGGGUGAUGUUUGCCUUCCUGGAGACAUACACAAGGAUGUUCUGGUCCUCAGAGUCCCUGUACUACAAUCCUGUCUGGCACAUAGUCGUCUCUACCUGGGAAACCAUCGUCUACAGCCCUAUUCUUGAUCUUGACAGGUUUGCAUUCUUCUUCCCUGUAACAAUACAGCGGCCAUAUAAUCUCUGCUAUGUUGUUUCUCUUAUAUGCUGCUGAUCUUCUUGCACAGAUGGGCGAUCCCGAUCGUUGUGGUGCUGUGGUUUUUGGCAAUUUAUUGGCGUUGUCUGGGUGGAAGGAAAGGAAUUGCACGGUCGUUGCUGCCUCUGUACAAUGGGUCUUACAGAAGCUCAAAUCGCCCAAGAACAGAUUGAUCCAUCAAGUACACACGAACAAGAGCAUGUACAUACUCCACUGUUGGCUGGGCGUGAUUUUAUCAGUGCUCUCAGCCAACGGAUAACAGAUUCAUUCGAGUCCACAUGGCAAUGCAAAAAUGAGCAUCCUUGAGGCACCAUGCAAGCUUCUGUUGUAAAUAUGUAAUCAAAACAGAGUACAUUUAACCAUCUAUGCUCAGAGGUAUCUUAGUCUCAUCCAGGACAAUUGCUUUCUUUACUACUCAUUUUACUCAAAAUGAGAUGCUGAGAUACGAAAUAUGACCUUUCUUUUAUUCUGUACCAUUUCAAGGAGUCUAGAACUCAAAAUGUACCAUUUGAACUGGCUCCCAACAAGAAAUACAGUGCGUUACAUUCAGUCAAUCCUCAGCUCAAAACAGAGAACCCACAGCCACUUGAAUGUUAUUAUGACAACAACAUCAAAAGGAUGUUACAGACCAGGGCCAAACAAGUGCUCCAUAUCAACAACCAGAGUGACAUUCUCUACCAUAUCUGUGAGCUGGAUUUAUGAUCUGUGAUGUUCCCUAGUCACCAAUACAUUCAACUCUGCUGCCUCUUCCGAGCUAUUUCCCGAGCCCUCUCACGAAGUUCUUCGGGCGGUGGUGGGCGUGGACCUUCAGGUGGAUAAACCACAUAAGGACGCUGCAAAGGGCGCACAGAGAUAAUUCAAUCUUUAUGUAAAGAUAUAUAAAUGCAGGGUAAUCAACAGUUGCUCAACACAUAAAGCUAAUGUAUUUGUCUCUGGCAAGUUUGUGAUCAAUGAAUGAACAACUGUAGGAAAUGUUCACUAAGAAUCAAAUAUUGAAACAUCAAUUGAGACACAUACAAGACCAGCCAUGUUGCCUCGGAGUUGAGCAAAGUGCCAUUUGUAAACCAAACCAAGAACAUCUUUAUUAAGAAUCACAAGAACAACAUAUAGGAGAAAGAGAAACUGAGAAACUUGGCUAUUUGUUCACCAAGAAAUGAAAGUCACCGCAAUUCAAGCCAAAGAGGGCUAAAACCACGGUGGUGAAUGUGCCCAUGUGCAUCCGCACCUCCCUAGGAAAGAGAAGUUGCUAUUGGGGCAAGCAGGCAAUCGGCAACCGGGUGAAUGAACUACAAGCUGUAGCUUGUGCUGUAUAACUUCCUGAAAGAUUCUUUGUGGUGUUUGGCUAAGUAUGCUGCAAGUCCUGCUUAUCACUGUAUCAAAACCAAUAAAUUUCUCCUCUUGAUGACACAAUACACACUUAUACUGCACAUACAUGGGGAAAAAGAUUCUUCUAAAUGCAACGAAAAGGAACAAAAAAUGAGAUUGUGCCUAUGCAUCCAAUAGAAUUAGCUUAAACUAGUAAGGUUGGGGUAGCAUCAUCUUAAGAGCGUCCAGCUCUCAAUCAACAGGAACAACUAUGCCACAACAUCCUACAAAACAUCACUGCCAAGCUAAGCAUUGCUACUUCCAGAAUUCGAUACAGGCACAGGCGCACAGCUCAUAAUAAUUUCCAGAAUCCUGACACAGGCACAGCUCAGAAUCAUUUCCAGAAUCUGGCUCAUGGAGCAUCCAGAGCAUUCCCACACCCAUCUUCACUCUGUACCGAUCAACAUUUCUAUCCACUUUCUUAUCAAGGGGGGAAAAAUCAGCUAAACCCUAGCGGCCCCAAAUGUUUGGCACAGGCACGGCGGAGCCACAGAUCCCCAAUCAGCUCCGAGCCCUAGUCACUGGCCAACAAUCAAUCGCACAAGCAGUAGUACCCAAUCCGACCGGCUAAUUAGCCUGAUGCCUCCUCGGGAGGAGAGCGACAACGAUUCAGGGAGCAAGAGGUAGGGAGGGGGAGGGUACAAGGAACGUACGAGGCCCAUGAGCUUCUUGAGGGUCUUGGAGUCGGUGGCGACGAGGUAGGUGAGCGCGACGGGCACGGAGACGUAGACGCCGAACUUGGCGAUCUCCAGGAUCCCCUUGGACGUCCCCAGCGACGACAUGCUCCGCCGGCGACGGCGAACCCCCUUCGUCCUCCUCACUCCACUCCCCGGCACUCCGUUAGCCUCACACUAAAUCCGAAUCACCCUCUCUCUCUCUCUCUCUCUCUCUCCUCUUCCCCCUCGACGGCGUCGGCGGCGUCGGCGUCGGCCUGCGGGGCUGAACCGACCCCGUCGGCUUUAGAUUUGGGUUCGAGCUCGAAUGCGGGGGCGGAGCCCGGCCACGUACACCCAAAAGUGGCAGGCUGGCAGCGAUGUUCACCUGGGCUGGGCCUCUUUUCUAUGGAGAACCACGGCCCAUUCAUGAUGCCGCUACCCAUGUAAGAGCAUCUCCAAGAGAGGGCAAAAAAAAAAAAAACAAGUCCUAAAACAUCUGUAUUGGGAGCUACUCCACAUCCGUCGGACCCAAAUUUCACCGCAUUCUCCAAGAGUUGUCCUAAAAAUUGGAUCCCAAAACAUUUGAAUUGGGCCACGUCGUUCAGAUGGGCCAUGUUGGGCUUCUACAUGAUUUUUGUGCGUGGCCUUUUUUUUUUCCACAGGUUGCACGUUGCUUUAAUUAUAGAAAAACAAAGUGGAGCGUCCAUAGUCCAUGAACAGCGAGAAACUAAUUUGAAUCGUGAUAAUUGGCUCUCCUAUCAUGCACAUGCUGCAACAGAUUGGAUUGCACAUAACCAUGCAGAGAUUGCUUCAAAAGAUGAAUGUACGACCUCAAUUAGCAAGAUACUGAUACAGAUUCCUCUGAAAACUGAAGGUCCGUUGGCAGAGAUGCUGACCUACCUUGUUCCUCGGCUGCAUGAUCAGCGACAGCAACAGGAUAGUAGCAGGCCGGCUAUCGGAGAUGGCGAUUAGCACGCCCGGGAAUAUGCUACCGUGGUGAUUGAAGAUCACGCCGGCGUCGAACUGAUGUGGAGCAACAGCGGCGGCGCUUUUGACGGGGCGGUACAGGCGGCGCAGGGUGGACGGCGGCGGUGACGGGAUACGUGCGCGGGAACUUCGGAUUGGGAGUGCGGAGGAGCGUCCUUUUCCUGGCUCGAUUUGCGGUAGGUUUUGGGAAAGCGCGAAUAAUUCGAAAUCUCUUUGGGCGUUUGUUGGAGAGUAUUUUUCCUCAUUGGUUCCUAAAAUUUAAUUUUAGGAUUGGUUUUAGACAUCUCUUGGAGAUGCUCUAACGUUCAAAAAAUGCGGCUACCCAAAUGAAACCAAUUUUGUUUUUCCAAAAAAAAUGAAACCAAUUUUCUUGGCACGUGGAAUAGUGAUUUUUUUUUGUGAAAAAUGGAAUAUGUAUUUAGAGAUAUUCAACUUACUGCUCAUCAUACAGAAAUAACAGAAUCCACCCCUUUCUCUGUCUCGAUGUGCUCCAACCGAUCCUCUAAGCUUUUGCUAUCUGACACAACGAGAAGCGGAAACGGAAGAGAGCACCUCAUCCUGCGCUGCGCCGCCGUACCUUCCCUCGCCGGCAAGGCCGCGCCGCCGCCGCCUUUGUUCGCCAGGUCGCGCCGCCGCCGCCUUCCCUUCCCUUCCCUCGCCAGCAAGGCCGUGCCGCCGCCGCCGCCGCCGUCAUUCGCCAAGCCGCGCCGCCGCCGUUGCGCCUUCCCUCGGCGGCGAGGCUGCGGCGCCGCCACCACCCUACCGUCGCCGCUUGCAUCUGAGUGGUAGAGAGGAGAGGGAGGGGAUAAGGCUCGAGCGGCCCACGCAUGCGAGGAGACUGCGAGGACCACAGGGCGCGCUUUUUCCCGCGCUCUCUGCCUCUUCUGCGCGCGCCCGCUCUCCCCGCGCUCUCUGCCUGCUCUCUCCCGCGCUCUCUGCUCGGCACGCGUCCCGUGAGUCGCGGAGGUAGGAGCAAGACGGGGUAGUCUUCAACUACUGGUCCUAACAGCGUGCAGCAUACACAUGCAUUCAAGCGAAUUGGAGGAAGGCGACUCUCAAGUCCUCCGCGACAUAUAAAAGGUUUGGUGUAGAUUCAAGCUCAAUCGAUGAUGGAUUUUGCUGGAAACAUUAGAUCGCCUUAGUAAAGCUAAUAUGUGUGUUUUUUUUUAAAUUCUUUCCCGGUUCAAGCUAUGUUUGAACGAUCUACAGUAAAUCUUGAACAAAGAUGGACAGAAUGACACUAUUCUUAAGACCUUCGUGACUAGGAGCAAUCAGAAUGUAUACUCUUCAUUUCAAUCACUUGAAUGUCGAAGGAGGCAACCCUGUGCCUUAUUUAGAAGGUGUACUGUUACCAACUUAUUCCAUUGUUGAUGAGCUCAUCCAAAAUUAUUCAGAAGGUGUUAUGCAUAAAACGCACGAGUCCACACCACGACGACGACACAACAUUGUUCAGCUUACUUCAGGUAUUCCCAAUAGAGGUAGUAAUGCCUAAUGCACACCCAUGUCAGUGGACUCAACCAGCACAUCCGACGGCGGCGCAGGUUCCGGCGGUGGUGCAACCCCAGAGGAGGCCGUCGGCAUGGCACCCAGCCUCUUGUGGAGAAGCUCGACGGCCACCGCGUGAUGCGCAGCGAUCCGGUUUAUCAUGGCGCUGUUCGUGCUGGCCGCCGCCGGCUUCUCAGCUUGUUGUGAGAACGACGGGGUCGUCGCCGUUCUCGGCUCAAAAUUGUUGUCAGUCGUGGCAUCUGUUGAGUUCAUCAGGUAGUCAAUGAUGUUGUCAAGGAUAGGGCCUGAAGCGUCAGCAUUGGCUGGCACCGGAGGAGAAGGCCUGGAGGGCUGUGAUGAACUCAUCGUCCCUGUAACCCUCUUCAGUGCGUCCUCAGCCAUCUUCACCUGCAAUUAGAUCACACGGUGCAGUGUGUGUGAACCAUCCACAUACUUUGAUUCAUUGUGUAUUACAAGCAUUAGGCAAUGGAUUAGACACUGGUAUUAUAUAUGCUGAAAAAGGGAAUACUGAGUAAUGGCACCUGAUUCUUGCUCUAACUGUCUAGUUGUUGCAUGUUGCUGUGGUAGAUGCCACAACAAAAUUUUGUCCUAUGAAUAAAUGAAAACAUAUGCUUGCCAUUUCCGAGUACUAAAUUAUUAUUGUCCUUCUAGGAACCAUGCAUCAACAAGAGAAUUUGGUAUGUUGAUAUGUUACAUGCGUCCUUAUAUUUGACAUAAACACGACAAUAAUACAAAAAAAAACCUAUUCUCCCAACACUUUGAUAGAUAAAUCUUCACCAUAUGCACCAAGUGAUUUGCAAGAAGGUACUUGAGGAUUAAAUGCAUUGGACGUGUCAUAGAAAACAUCAUACCUUAGCUCUUAGGGUCUCCAUGUUUGCUUUCAGCACCCUAUUGUCAACGGUAGCAUCAGUAUACUUCUGGUUCAGAGUAGCCAGGCGCCUCAGCAAAGAAGAGUUUUCAACUUUUAACUGUGCAACCUGUAAUGAUGUGGCACCAUUCAUACGCAUUGCUCUCACAUUCCUAAAUUUUUUUUUAGUAUGCAAAUUCAUGAAGCAAUUUUAAUUUGCGACACCGCACCUGGUCCUCCAUCUCCUUCAAGUGAGCUGCCUUUCUAUAUCUUGAGCGCCUGGCUGAUUCUCGGUUGGAUUCCUUUCUAAAAGUUUGAUAGCAAAGUAAGUUCAGAAAUCUGGAGUAUUUUGCAGUUCUUCAUCAUUCAGCUGCUCUUCAGAAGGAUGUGGGUAAAACACAUACUAUGUUGCAAAUAGAUGUUACCUUUUCCUCACUUUCUCUUCAGUAGGCAGCUUAAAUCCCAGUAUUUCUACUUCUCCAUCCAUAUCGUCAUCAUCUGAGGGUGAAGGAUCCCUUGAGGAAGAGGAAGUAGCAAGCCUUGCACGAAUAUAUGCAUUUCGAGCGCGAUUUAUUGGACCUUCACUAAUGGACCGCAUGUUCUGCACGAAAUUUAUGUUACCUGGAAUAAUGAUCCCAAAGAGGGUCCAUAAAAAAAAAUGAUCCCAAAGAGGAGACAAGUAUGUGUUAAAAAUAACCAACUUUGGUUUUAAUGUUAUUGAAUCAUGCUAUGGCCCCUAUAAUAGUGACCAUAUGUAACAGGGACAAAAUAUAGUACCUCCAAUGUAAUUGUUUGAGCCUUGUGAAUGUUCUGGAUGCACAACACUGGAAGCCUGUGAAUGGACAUGCCGCUAUUUGAAGUUAAAGAACAAAAAUGGAUUUAACAACUGAAGAGUGGAAACAUCUAAAAAGAACUAUAUAAAAAAAACAAACACAUGCACUUGCAGAGUCAACUAUUUCUACUGUAAUGAUUAUUUUUACAUACCAAUGGAUUUUUGCCAUGAUUUCAUCUCUUAAAUUCCUCAUGGGACUUUAUCUAAUUUGGUUUACCACGUCCUAAUCUGAUCACAACCGACCUUAUUUCUGAUAAGCCUAAUACUUUUUUUUCCCUAUGUUAACAUUGUGCGCAUAAUUUGUAGGUAGUACCUAAACAAGGUGCAAAAUAAGAAAGAAUGGAGUGUCCCAAAAUUAUUAAUUAACUCCUGUGCCAUUAGCACCAUACAAAGUUUUAAACAAACGCAGCGACCUAUGAUGAACUAAUUGUGUGUUAGUUUGUGUAGCCAUAACAUAACUCCAACAGAUCAUAGAUCUCAACGAAUUGCAAUACUAUCUCUACAUCACGAACUAUCUAUCCACAUUGCUUUUAAAGGCGUUCAGAUGCCCCAGAUGUGAUGCAUAUACUUAGUACUACUUCACCGUAGCACAACCAUGUAAGUAUAUUUUUAAUCACUAACAAAGCUUUAAUUUCUUCCAAUUGCACCCUAGCUAAGCACACUACAAAUCAUAAUCUACAGAGCACAGAAGAAAGAUAAGCAAAAGUGGCGUACCCUCCACAUGGCGACGGUGGCGAGGUCCUCAUCCAACUUCCUCUUCAGGAUGGUGUUGUACUCCAUGGGAUCGCCUACCGUGCUCACGGCCGCAGGCGCCAUCGUUGCAUGGUCCACCUCCUCAACCACUGUGUCAGCAUGAGUAGCUGAGCCACUGAAGUUCUCCAAUGGUGCUGCGUCAGUCAGAAGCUCCUCUUCUAGCAACCUCUCAAAGCUCCACUCCGAGGGGCUCUGGUUCUGGUCCAUUGCGUUGGUACCCUCCCCACCUCCAUCAGUAGCAACUCCAUCUAUGAGACCAUCACUAGUCACCAGAGGCGGCUCCGGUGGUGGUGGCAGAUCCUCCCAAAACGGGUCAGGGAUGAUCUCCUCCAUUGAGAUGGCAUGAUCAUCCAUGUCGAUGGAAUGCUACAAAAUUGAAAGAGGAAACAAAUACUACAUCUAAUUGGCUUUGGAGAGGGUAAACAAUAGUUGCAAGGCUAGGGAUGGACCUUAGUGGCCUGGGUUUGCCUGUUGCUAUGCAGCCAUGAGUUAUGUUCAGGUGUGUAGGUUAGAAGGGUGCCCGUUUAUCUAGUGCAGGGUUGUGUCCAUGGAAAUUUCUCGAGAGGCAAAAGUGCAUGGCCCUUACACUCAAUGUGAACCAAGAAGCCCACGUUUGAUGUGACCAAGGCAAUGCGGACAAGUAAUUUUGUUUGGGAAGGGAAUGAAAAGGCUAACAGAAAGCAGAGUUAGGUGAUGCAAAGUUAUGGGUUUUAUCGUGACGCUAUGUGCAUGCAUGCUUUGCUUCCUUUAAACACUUUUAACAAGUGUUGGUAAUAAGCCAAGAACAAAUCAAACUAACUGUGUCCGUGUGCUCCUAACUUUAAAUCAUUAUUAGAGAACAAGCCUCACUGACUUUGGUCUAGAUACCAUGGCUACCAACAUGCAUUUGCACUUUCUGUUCAACCUAGGUAGACCUUUGAGGUUGAUGUGGAGAAACUAGGAGAAACACAAAAGGAUGUAUGUAACAAGUUAAUAACCUUCACUUUAAUUUCAAUGUGGUGAACCUAUCCAAAUGAAAGAAAAUGUAAACAUAAAUCCCAGCUACAUCCUAUAUGGGGAUAUGGGAUACCGUGUUUCCUUCUUCUUCUUCUUCUUUUUAUUUUUGUUUUUUUGUGUCAUUUGCUACAUGUGUAGUAAUCCUUGACUAAUUAGCUAACAAACUAUGCUUAUCCAUUUAUAACUUUUUUUUUUCAUCAGUGAAGCUUUACUUGUCCACAACAGCUUUCUUUUUCUUUGAAAAGUUCAUAAGGAAACAUAAACUUGCACGCUUUGCACUGGAUUGUAGCUUACCAACAUGUAUAUGUGUUCUUAGUGCUAAUAUAUGCUCACAAUUCCUGUUUUGUCAGCAAUGUCUCACUGACACAUGGACCCCCACCCGUAUAAUUGAUAUUGGACCGGAGGCACGCGUUCAAGGUGGGGUUGGGAGCACUACUCGCACUGGAAGCAAAGGAAUUUAUCCCUUAAAAAUAUGUCAUUCCUGGUGAUAUUAUUAUUAUUAUAAAAUAAUUUUGUAUGAAUGUUUUCACACAUGUGCAUAAAUAAGGCACGCUCAUAGAUCCAACCACAUUUUUAUGUUUAAUAAGUACAUAAUAAAAUAUGACUUAACCACUGACUUUUAUGAUGCUAGAUAUUGUGGUUUGUCAAUGCUUGUCAUUUUACUCGCUUUCCUUCUAGUAUUUGUUCAUAUCUUCAAUCCUGAUUAUAUUAUGGAAAACCUACAAGAAAUAUAAACACGACACACCCAAAUAUAAACCUACAAGGUGUGAACCCUAACAAACAUAUAGUCAAUGCGUUGGUAUGGAGGAUCAUAUGCGUUGCAAGGGUCCGUUACAGCGCACAUCUAUGCGUUGGUACGAUGUGCAAAAGUGCGUUGUAAGCUAGCGACAGAUACAUCUUGGAUCCAACAACGCUUGUACGCGUUGCUGUGCAGAACAAACCAUGCGGAUUUAGGUUCCGUUCUUGCUACCCCUCGGAAGUAAUGCACAUACUCCAUUCAUCAACACCAGAGAGAACCGGCAAGCACAUUUCUAGAGAACAGGACAUCAUUUAUUUAAUUGAAUGAAGGAUUGUGCACAAUGGGAAGAAAAAGGAGCAAUUUGAUUGUAUGCUGUGAACUAACUUGAUGUUCCAUCAAAGCAGAAUGUAAAAUAAAUCUGGUCUUCUUGUGCUUCAUCAUUUGAUCAACCUGAACCUUCGGAGUCACUUCUGCUGAUGGAAAAUAGAGUUAUGUUUCAUCGUUUGAUCAACUAAACUCGCUUUUUCUUGUGAAAAUGAAAAAUACUUGUACUUAGGAUUUGCGCGUAUCUUCUACAUGGUCUUCUUGUUAAUAAUAUGGAAAAUACAUUUUCAAUCAACUUUAAUAUUGUGUCAUUAUGUACUCCAUUGUUACUAGCUACCAUCCUCUCAUGGAUGUUCUCGUUGGCAACUGCACAAACGUACAAUAAAUCCAACGAUUCAACAAAAAGUUCAGUUUUCAAGUCGACACAUCGGUGUUCUUCCUCGUUUGAGAGUCAAACAUCAAAGUUGGAUUUGCUUCCUUGAAUGAUGUUUAAGGUACCUUUCUCCCAUUAAAAAUCUUAGCAUCGGAUGCCUGGAUGAAGAUAAAAUGGAAGCUGUCCUUCUGAACAAGUAUUUGGCAUCCAUCUAUAGAAACAGAACAAAGAAGUCUAUUAGCACAUUGACCAAUUUAUUUGAUUGGCCGGCGUACAAUACAAGCAAGCAUUAACGGUUCACUUCAAUCUUGACACGAGCUCACUGCUUCCCAUACAUGCCAUACAUUUUACCUACCUUAUUGAGCUGUCGACUUGUUCAAAUAUCAGGUUAGGGAAAGAAUGGACAGAAGUAACACCUUCGACAAUCGUGCCACCUCAUCCAUAAACACAAUGGAGGCACAUCUUGUUCAAAUGGUAGGAUUCAUUGAGAAACAGCUAUUCAUGAUUCUGACCUUAUUCAUAUUCCCUAGGUGCUAUGCAUAUGAACAAUGUCUUCUGCACUUCUAACACAUAUGGCCUUGAUUUAUUCAUUUGAGCAUUCAACAUAAGGACAUAAUUAUUUUCGCUACAAAACAACAGCCCCGCAAUCCUAAACUGGGAAAAAAUAUUCGGUGUUUUUUCUCAAGAAAAUGGUUGGUUCAUGCCAGUGCAGCCCUCAGGUUCUUGGCUAACUCUUCGAGCUUCUUCAAUCCUUCUUCAGGAGAAGCAGCUUCCCCCAAUAGCCUAACCAUCGCACUACCGACGAUAACACCAUCUGCACCCCAUCCUGCGAUCUGAAUUAUACAACAAUGGAUCGACCAGGGUGUCAGACCAGCAACGAGUAGUAUUAAUCCCAGAUACUGUACUUAGCAGGAAUAGUGCAAAUUAUGAUUUACCUGCUUCACAUGCUCAGGAGUCGACACACCAAAGCCAACUGCCACGGGUUUCUCUGUGACCUAUGAAAAGCAACACAUGGUAUUAGCAUUGUGACCUUUGGACACUACUUAGGUACUAAUACUACUUCUCCAAGUAGCAUUAAAAGAUGCAAUUGCAAACCUUCUUGAUAUCCUGAAGAAGAGAUUCCACCUUGCUGCUUACAUUCGCACGUGUACCAGUAACUCCAACAGUGCUUACCUGAAUAGCAUAGAGGUUAGAACCGAAACAUCAUGCAUCCAAUUGUCUAUUAUCAAACAUAUUAAAAGAGUUCCAGUAAUGGUAAAGUUCAAAGUACAGGGUGAAUCCCAAUUAGCUAUCAUGCAAAAUCCGCAUAGUAAAGUAAAGGAAAAGCAGUCAGGUGCAUGUCUUUUCAAACUAUAGCUUCUUUUGCCAUUACAUAUCUCAGUUGGUCACUCGGUCUGAGCAUGUUAGCACAGCUACCACCAGGAAGUCUUCUUGGUGACAGAGGCUAAAUAUCCAAAUGUUUCACAUUGGUUUGUAAGCUCUGGUUUUCAAACAGUACUAAGUAAAACCUUCUUUCAGGAAAGUUUGGCAGAGCAGCUACAUGUGUUUUCUAGGUUUAUGCGGUCAACUUGAAAUGGCAUAGGCUGUUCAUUGCAGACUCUGUGUGUAAUAGGUCUAUUGUACACAGUACACAGUUGUUCUUCUUAAACCUUUAUCUACUAAUUUAACUAGCCUAAGGUGCAAAUUAUUGAUUAGGGAUCAGAGGAAUGCAGAAUGAGAAAAGAUAUUUUAACAGCUACAGAGUUUGAGACACUCACAAGAUAAAUAAAUCCUUCUGAAACCUCUGCAAUUUUCUCCAUUCUUUCAUUUGGUGUGGUUGGUGUUGUCAGUAGAACCUGAAAAACACUCAUAAAAAGUAGAUCCUAUCAAACAGCUGGCAUUACAAACAAUGUUACCUCAAACUGCAUAGAUGCAUAUUUUGUUUACCAAUGAGCUCAUCUGUUACUGUUCUAAGAAAACUAUCACUACUGAGUAGAUAUAGCUUCUCAUUUACUUGCAGUUGCAGCAAAACAAUAGUUAUAUGUUAUAAUUUUGUACCAGGAGUUAAAUAACUAUCUAAUAAGACCUCUUAAAAAAAACAGAGUUCAGCAGGAACUCUUGAUCCUCUUUGCCCCAAAAAAUGUCCAGGACAACAGGUGUAAAAAUGUAACAUGUUAAAGUGUACAUCAUAUUAUGAGAAGGGUCCUACCAGCUCUAGGUUGUUCUUGGCAGCCUCACUCCUCAAAACAUCUGUCUCUUCCAGAGGAACAUCAGGGACCACAAGGCCUGCACAGUAGUAAUACAUAAGUAACUUGAUUAUCACACUGGAAAAAGAAUUUCUGUGAAGCUAAUCCAAAUCCUAUACAAUAUCAGCUGUGAAGAUUUAACUGUGCUGUUACAUAAAAAACAUUACCAUGUACACCAGCUUCCUUAACAAUAGCCAUGAAGUUUGGGAUUCCGCGCUUCAGAAUUGGGUUAUAAUAUGUGAAAAGUGCCAGGGGGCAGGACAGCUCAGGUAUCACCUCCUUAACCAUGGAGAUGACAUCCUCAAAAGUGGUGCCUUUUGCUAGCGCACGUGUUGCAGAGGCCUAAAAUGGUGCAACCAAAAGUCAAUAACUCAUAAGCAGAGGCAUACGAGCACAACAGGAAAUAAGAGCACAUAUAGCAGGGGCACUCUGUGACUUACCUGAAUAACUGGGCCAUCAGCCAAUGGAUCAGAGUAAGGCACACCCAAUUCAAUCACGUCUGAACCACACGCAUCAAGGAUCUUGAGCGCCUUUGCUGUGGUGGCCAAGUCAGGGUCACCAGCAGUGAUGAAGGGAACAAGGGCAGUCUGGAGAUUUUCAGAUAUUAGUGAACUUAAACUAGACAAUAUAGAUGAAAGAAAUUGAAGUUUGGAACUCAAAUGCUGAUCUUCAAUGAUACAUCUCACCUAAUCUCAGCAACUUGAGUAUAGUUGUGCUCUGAAAUGUAAAUCUUACGACGCAAACAUAUGGAUUUUGUCUCUAGCGGCAAAAUGUGUGACUGUCAUGCGGCGCCCCACACGUCAUCGGCGCAUUCAGGGGAUCCCCGGAAAAAUGCAAUUGCAUACUAGGAAUUUACCCAACCAAACCUAACACUGAUCACUUGGAGGAACUGAAUCUUAUAUGCAUCCUACACACCAGCAAUAUUUUACUCCCCACAAUCCGCAUCAUUAUGCGCCAGAAUACAAGACUACCAUGGCCAAGGCAGAAAUGGACAGGCCUGGUUCAUCCACGGCUCACAUCACCCGAACCAUGACCGAUCUGGACGACCUCGACACGAAUUCACCUCCCAAAUAAAAAAUGUGAGUAAAAACAGUACGACGCAGUCGUAACCACAGUCAGUCAACGCCUAGAAUCCGCGACGCAUCCUAUGCCAACCAACCGGAUCGUACUCGUGCUACCUGCCCGCAAGAUCAGACGCACCCAGAGCCACCCAAUGGACCCAGAGCAACAAAUCGCACGUCUUUUUUUCUAAGAAAAAAAAAAGAAGAGAGAAGGAUUUGUCGUGUAGGGUGAUGAUUCGGGCGCUCUCACCUUCCCCUGCUCCUUGAGGCCGGCGAAGGUGCCGGAGAUGCUGCGCUUGUCCUCCGCCACGGCGGCCGCCGCAGGCGCGGCCGCCGCCGCCGUCCUUACGGCGACCACGGGCGCGGCGCCCCGGAACGAGACCCUCCCCGGAGCCGCCGCGGCGCCCCUCCUGGGCCCCGCGGCGGCGAACGACGCCGACCCGGCGGUGGAGGCGGCGGCCUUGAGCGCGAACGCCAUGGCUGAGUGAGGAGGAUGCGGGGUUGGUGGUGGCGGCGGUGGUGGCUCCGCUCUGCCUAGCUGGCUGCCUCACGUGCACCACGCGCCCACGCCGAGCUCGUGGGGGAUAGGGGUGGGGGAGGGAGAGAGCGUGAGGUGGUGACCUGGUGGCGUUGCCCAUUUAACGACGGGGAAGGCCCGGCGGGGGGGGGGGGUUGGUGGGCCGAGAUGGACGCGACGAACGGGCGCCUGUGGGCCCACGCAUGUGUCAGUGGCAGUGAGGAGGCGUCUGACUCUCCACGGCGUUUUCCGCUUAGAUUUUCGUAUUUUAAAUAAACAUAUGGGAUCGCGAAUCUCCAUGCCCAGCACGUGCGCGGCGUAAUUGUGAGCGUCGGACUCUCAUGCAUGUGAGGAUAUCCGAAAUUGAAUCGACGGAUCUUGAGGUGGAUAAAAGAUAAAAGUCACUGCAGACAUUUAACGUGCCAUUAAAAAAAAAACAGUGCUACUCCCUCACUUAAAAAACAAAUUAGUCAAUAAUAUUCAACUUGGCAUAUACCCGUGUGCAUGCAGCAGCCAAUUAACGUUAAUAAAUAUAAACAAUAAAUGUUAUUAUACCUCUUGUUAAUGUAUCGUAAAAUUUACUUGCUUUUGGGACGGAGGAAGUACAUCCAUUUAGAGUUUAGGAUUUGAAAUCGAAUCGAUAAAUUUUAACCUACAAUAAGUUUGCAUGGUGAUCGAACUUUACCAUUUCAGACCACGCCAAGUUUACGUGUGAUGCCUCUACACAUUUCAUAUAUAAAAAACUAUAUCUGCUAGUAAUUCUCUUCUCUUUACUCGAUAAAAAAUGUAUUAUGUAUGUUGAUUCUCUGUCAUCAAGAAACACCAACGCUACUGGCCACCUACCAAAAACGUCUACCAGGUUGCAAGCUAGGAGUGGUACACAUUUUUUGUUGUGAAGUAAAAGACUAAAAGCUCGUUUAGCGUGCGCUAAAUCAGCGUUGGAAAAAGAAAAACACAAAAGCUGUUGGGUUGGGUAGUUCGAUUUGAAGAACGGCACCGGGACCAGCACGCGCGGCGACGCCGGUCCUUGCCCUCCGCCGAGGAGAGGAAACAGCAGGGAAGGACGGGCACCCGAACGCCGUCCGCCCGUCGACCGGGCCGGGCACCAUUCAAAGCCCAACAACGAUCAAACGUUUUAUAAAAAAAAAGGAAAACAAAAACAAUCGAACGUAGUAAUUCCUACGUCGAUUUUAACUUUUUUUAAUAUAUAAAUAUUAUUAUGCAUCUAGAUAUUGAUAUAUCUAAGUGUAUAAUAAGAUUUAUGAAUCUAAUAAAACUAAAACGAUCUAUAAUUUGGAAUGGAGGGGUAGCAGCGAGCCAGUGGUCGAGAGGAAAACGACAUAUUCUUUUUUUUAGAAAAAAAAAAGGAAAAACGACCGUGACAAGUGCCCAAAACGUAGGACACGCGAGGCGUCAGCCUGGAAAAUGACGGGCAGCGCCAGGACGUCCGGGCGGUCGGAUCAGCACGCUGUACGCAGGCUGUUUCAUUCGCGCUCUCCGCAGCUCUGCCUCUGUUUGCUUUUGGACGGGAGAGGAGAAAGGAAGGAGGCUUUCUUUCUUCGCUAACCCGGUCGGUCAUCACAGGAUUCUUUCUUUACUUUUCUCUCCUUUUUGAAUUUUUUUUCUCUAUUGAAGCGGUCAUCACUAAUCGGCUUUCGACGCCUGGUGAUGGUCAGCUAGCAACGCAGGCAAGUCCCUCUCCGAGACUCCGAGUGGAUAUCCUGUGCUCCGGCUGGCGCGACGGUUGGAUCCGCCCGUUCCUGGCGUGAACGGCGGCGAUGCUCCGCUGCAGCCAAGCACGCAAAUCGCAGUCGCAUGAGACAGUUGGCGGUGUACAAAAUUCAUGGAGCGAAUAUGUAUUGAGAUUUGUGUUUGGUAUGCCAUGGAUGAAAUGAAACUGAGAAUGCCAGUGACUUUUCCUUCCACCGCCCUUGAUUUGAUUUUAGUACGAGAGAAAUCUAAGGCCCUGUUUGAAGAUAGGGAUAAAAGUUUAGUUCCUAUCGUAUCGAAUAUCGAAUAUCGAAUGUUUAGAUACUAAUUAGAACUAUUAAAUAUAUAGAUUAAUUAUAAAAAUUAAUUCCAUAAAUGAAGGCUAAUGCGCGAGACAAAUAAGCCUAAUUAGUCCAUAAUUUGACCAUGUGUUACUAUAGUAAAUAUAUGCUUAUCAUGGAUUAAUUAGGCUUAAUAGAUUCGUCUCGUGAAUUAGCCACGGCUUAUGCAAUUAGUUUUAUAAUUAGUUCACAUUUAGCCAUUCUAAUUGGUAUACAAACAUCCGAUGUGACCCAAACUAAAAAUUAGUUCAUGGAUCCAAACACCCUCUAAGACCAUUCUCAGUGGAGAGUUUCACUACGCUAUUUCCAAGAGUGCCACAUCAUCUCUAAAGAUUUAUAUUGAUGAAUGAAACAACCCCUCACAACGAACAAGUUCAUUUCCGAUUUCAUAGGUUAGGCAUAACAUUUAAUUGUUGCACGAUGUUGAGAUCAAAUAUGCCAUAUGAAUAUGUAACCACUUGUAAUUAUACCUAAAUUAAGUACUAGCACACUAAUCAUAUGGGAUCGACAAAAUUUAUGGAGAUGAAACAAAUUGUUCUUAAUGGAGGUUUCAUUCUAGUUUCUCAGUCUAGGUACUUGUGUACACAAGAUUUCAUCCUCAUGAAACCCAACUCCUCUCUCCCCUUAUAAAUUUCAUGCCAUGUUAUUGUUUUUACCUACGUGUCAUCUCAUUUGAUGAGAUUGAAACUCUCGUGAAACUUGCAAUAAGAAUAAGAAUGGUCUAAGUAACUUGGCUAUUUUUUUUGCAAAACUCGCAGCCUCUUUAGUGAAUUGUCUUGACAUCUCUUUUUUUUUAAAAAAAAAAUGCUCAGCUUGACUUAUGUAUAAGGAAGGGAAAAUUGUAGAUACCACCCCGUACGUCACUCUUGUUUCGAGAUUCUAAGUUUCUACUCCCCCAUAAAUAUAUAAAAUUUAGAAAAAGCUAAUUAGUUUAUUUUUAAACUAACUUAUCUUAAAUCUUAAAUAUCAUAUAUUUAUAGACAGAGGUAGUAACUUGUAAGGCAACUUUCUUAGACCUACUCUCAUAUCUUUCUAUGCAAAAAACCACCUACCAUACAUAUGUUAAGUCAAUUCAUACUUUUUUGCCAAUAAGGAGCUGUUAAUAUAGUCUUUAUCAAAGUUUUAUAAAAAAGUACAAACCAACAUUUUUAGAGCUUCUACCAAAAGAAUCACGGAUGAAAAUCUUAAGUUUUUUGCGCUUCUAUCUAAAAAAUUGUCUCCACGCCAACACGAUGAAUAACCAUAAUCCAAGACCAGUACAAACUUGAAUCAGCUAAUCUCAACUUGUAGUGCCUCCUCGCACCUAAGCAUCAUCAAGUUCGUGUGUGUGUGUGUAGGAAGAUGGAUUUUCACAAUGGAGUGGAUCAAGCGGUGCUCAUUUGCAAAGACAUUUUAUAGCGUGGUAUCUCAAAAUUUAGAUAUAUAUGGGUUGGUUUUUGCAAAAAAAAAAUUCUGUAGGGAUGGAGUCCACAAUAAGUUUUUGUUUUUUUAAGGAAUGAAGCCCAGCCGCAUAUUCUGUCUGCAUCCCGAGCAGCUGGGCCCUACCAACGGCCCACGGCCCAUAACCCCUCGCCUUCUCCCCUCUACUAAAGAAACGCCAAACCUCCCCUCCCCUCCUCCCUACGCCUUCAGUCCUUCACACUUCCCCAGCAAAGGAGAGCCGACCGCAUUCCCCCCUUGUCUCUCUUGUCGCGAGCCACCGGAAGCUUCGGCCCCUGACGCGUGGGGCCCCUCCCUCCCUCCCCCCUCCCCGUCGCCGGCCAUGGCGGGCCAGCCGCCGCCUCCUCCGCCGCCGGGGGGCGCCGAGGACGACUUCCUCGAGCACUUCUUUGCCUUCCCCUCCGCGGCCCCCGCCGGCGCCGGCGGGGGGCACGGGCACGCGGGCGCUGCAGCCGGCCUCCACGGUGGGGACCACCCCUUCCCCCUCGCCCUCAGCCUCGACGCCGCCGCCGAGGCCUCAGCAGGCGCCGCCAAGCAGGUGAGCUCCUCCCCCCCCACGCCGCGCGAGUGGCCCCCCUUCGGCUGGCCCCUGUUGUUUCACUAGUCGAAGUGCACUGACCGACUGACUCCUGAGUCCUGACCGAGGGUGCGCGUGCUCUUUGCAGGACCGGGACCCCGUGCAGCUCGCCGGCCUCUUCCCGCCGGUGUUCGGCGGCGGCGGCGUGCAGCAGCCGCACCUCCGCGGCCCGCCGCCUCCCCAGGUAGCACCCGCACGCCCAAUUUUGCGUCCCAUCUGAAUGCUAUGUUCCGUUUCCUUUACUUUGGGGAGUUUUGGAGGCUGCUGCUGAUUCUUGUCAGUUACUUGCAGAUGUUCCACGCGCAGCCGAAGCCGGGUGAGGGAGCCAUGGCGCCGCAGCCACCGGCACCGCGGCCCAAGGUGCGGGCACGGCGGGGGCAGGCGACCGAUCCCCACAGCAUCGCUGAGAGGGUAAUAGCUGUUAAAUUAUCCAGCUAAACUAAAAACCGUUGCAAUUUAGGCUGCUAUGUCAUCAUCUUGGUGCAAACGUUAGCGAAAUUUGUGGCUGAUCUGGCCAGUAGUGACCACGAGAUUUCGGGCGCCGUUUUCUGUUAUAAAGAAGGUCACUUGCUCACAAGAUUGCCUUGGGUUAAAGCUAGAUUAUAGCGGAUGUUGCGGUGCAAGUAAUUGGAUGUGUUUAAGGAAAAGGUUGCUUUCAUAUCUAAGCUGUUGGGUGGCUGUUGUGGUGGCGGCAUAUGGCGUGCUGUUUAAGCAUCAUGAGCUACUUGCCGCGUAACCAUGAUGUUGCAUUGUGUUGGAAGUCACCACCUUUUGGACAGUUCAUACAUCAAACGGGAAACUUGUUUUGUAGUGAGGGUGCUAUGAUUACCAGAGAGGUAUCUAAUGAUUGUGUUUCAAGGUGUAAACCACAUGGUACUGAGGUCAUGCAUUACAAUAGCCAUUAAGAAUGGAAUGGCUGGCUGGUUGCCCACAUCUUUUUUUAUCCUUCCUUUCUAUUUAUACUAUUUUUUUCCUGAAUUCUCAUAGGGUUCUUAGCAGUUCUUUCUUUAACCUCCAUCUGCUUUGGUGCAGCUAAGGAGAGAGAGAAUAGCAGAAAGGAUGAGGGCAUUGCAGGAAUUGGUCCCCAACACAAACAAGGUAAUAAUUCAUGCCAUAUUUCCGGAUCUCAUUAUAAGCAUGCCAGGACUUGCGUGUUUGACAUGCCUAGCAUGGAAUUUUCAGCAAGUGGUCCAGGCUUAUGAUGACCUGACAGCAGGGUUUCUCAUAGUGCGUCUAGUUCUUUUUGUCUUAUGAACAUGAUUAUUUGCAGAGGUGAUAAUUAUUGUUCCCUCAUAAGUACAUAAUUGUGUUCACCAACAGUAUUUUGCAUGUCGCUUGAAAUAACAUGAAUCCACGCUUGGUUCAGUUGAAUAGUUAUGUGAAUUUUAUGAACGAGAAACGUUACCGUAUCAACUGGAUAUUGAGCUUCGAGCUGUAACUCCAAAAAGUUGAACAGUAAGCUUGAUGUAUUGCUUCAAACUCUGCAGACAGAUAGGGCAGCCAUGCUAGAUGAGAUCCUUGAUUAUGUGAAGUUUCUUAGGCUUCAAGUAAAGGUAUGCUUUUUUUAAAUGUAGUGUUGUCUUUAACAUCAUAAACAACAUUAAACAUCCAAUGUCUUUUAUCUAUCUAAUAUGGGAAACUGUUCUAAAUUUGCAGGUUUUGAGUAUGAGCAGACUGGGUGGUGCUGGUGCAGUUGCGCAGCUGGUUGCUGAUAUUCCACUCUCAGUUAAGGUAACACUCGGAAAAAUAUAGGGUUUUAUGCUAGUAGCUCAUUAUGAAAUUAUUUUGAUUAAAAUGGUUGCUAAUUUUCACAAAUUAUUCAACCCCUUUUGCAUAUAUAGAACAGAACAGAGAUAUAACUGUUUGUAUUUAGGUUAGUUGCCACAGAUUAUUUGCAUGUAUGCAUUCUUGGCUUUUAUGAUUCAGCAACGACCACACCUAUUGCUGUUUGUUGGUAAAGAAUAUUCUAUGUUUACUACUGAGUUGACUGGUCAUGGUUAUAUUUUCUACAUCUAUCAAGGAAAUGCCAAUUUUGUUUUAUUGGUAGAGCUUAUGUGGCUAGGCCUGCUUUUACUGUGGGCUGACCUUUCUUCAGCAACCAAUCUUGAAAACAUAUGGUUUGUCAAUUUUGUACUUUCAUAGCAUGGCUGCACUGAUAAUGGUGAAUGAUAAUAUAACACAGCCAUGAUGCUUUCUUGAUUAACAGACUCAUGGUAGUUUUCUUUUGUGUCUUCGUUCAUGAGUUGCACCAUAUCUUUUACACUGUAAACUGAAUCUUGCUUGAACUACUAGGGUGAGGCAAGUGACAGUGGGAGCACACAGCACAUAUGGGAGAAGUGGUCAACUGAUGGCACAGAGAAGCAGGUAGCAAAGCUGAUGGAAGAAGACAUCGGGGCAGCGAUGCAGUUCCUCCAGUCCAAAGCGCUAUGCAUGAUGCCGAUUUCGCUUGCAAUGGCAAUCUACGACACUCAAAACCCCCAGGAUGGCCACUCGUUGAAGCCUGAACCCAAUACAUCUUCGUAGUAUAGUAACAUCAACUUUAGCGUGCAUUCACCCCUAAUACUAUUAGGCAUCGAUAUAUCCAAAGUGUAUGAUAUACCGAGCGUUUCAAUGUGCUAACCGUGAAGUAGGAAAGGACCUAAAAGAUCAUCCCCUCUCGAAUCAGUUAAAUUGGUAUAUGAUGUAGCCUCCCCUUUCCCUAUUUUGUUCAAAGCAGCUUUGAUUGCAAGGUAUGGUAAGCAAUAUUCUACUCAGGCUCAUACAUCUUUCAAUGUGCCUAUGAGUGCAAGUGAUGGGUAGAGCUACCAAAGAGUCUAGCCUGCUCUCAUGCUGUUUCCUUUUGGGUCUGUAGUGCACUAGCCAAACACUUUGUGGUAGGGCUGGUCACCCUUUUGGUAGUGGAUGUUUGGACUGAUGAAAAGGGGCUGCUGAUGUAUGUGCGUAAGUCUGAGCAAAUGGUUGACGAAAUUUGAAAGAAUGUUGAGAUGGAAGGUGACGUCGGUGUCAAAUGGUGGCGUGAUAUCCUGUCAAUUUUUCCAGUGUGUGGAUGGAGGUCUCGGUCAAUGGAGGCUGAGCGUGCGAUGAUCGGCUUGCUAGUGGGAGCGUGCUCCUCCUGGGCUUCACUUUUCUGUCUACAAGUCGCCGUCUUGAUAAGAACUGUCUGUUAAAGUUUUAGCCCCUUUUUGUGCUACUGGUUCAUACCUGAAGCUAUAUAUAUUCCUCUAGGCUGACUUAACAUGUGUUCAGGAUUCAUGCUGCCACCUUUUAUCUUAGGGUGUGGGUAACAGCUGUUGUCGCACUGUUCAUUGCCGUCGAUGGCAGGUUUUCCUUCCAAGUUUCCGUCAUGAGUCUGCUAAUCUGAUUGUCACCAGCCCUGGAUGUUUGACGCUUGUGUGAAGUUUACCUGUUGUUGACGUGCUGUUGACAGCAAGUAGUUGAAACUUGAAAGGUGGUGUUCAUAGCUGGUGCUCUGGUGCAGACUUGGAGUACUUUUGCCUGGAUGGAAUCCACUACUGGAAGGAUCAUAGGCAGGUGAUAAAGGGGCAUUUUUUUUAAACGAAAUCAAGAUAAAGUCAAGUCAAUUUUAUAUGCUGAAUCCUUUUUUGUGAAUACAUUGGCACUUGCUUUACAAAAAAGUGCUAAUUGUUUGGCACAAUUAUUUGUACUAGUUGGAUUACCAUUGUUACAUGUACUGACUGUCAUGAGAUAAUGUUUCCAUGGAAUGCAAAAAUGCUGGUGCUUUCUAUGUACCUUGCAAGAAUAUUAUCUGCAUCUGCCGUUGUAAACUUCUUUUGAAUCCUGUUUGAGAAAGAUAACACUGUUGCACUCAUCCGGUUCCAGCUAGUGCGGUUGGUGGUUGGUCGAAAUGUUCAAUUCAUCAUUGGCCUGGCUGUUGUUGUUAUUGUUUGUUAAUAGCAUCUCUUUAUGUUCCUUCUUAUUUGUGGCUUCUUUUGGCAAUUGGCAUGCAUGCUCAACAUUAUAACAAUGUGAAGACAUGUACAAAGGUUGCACAUCAGCCGUAUAAUAAAAUAGCCAAAUCAGUUAAAUUCUAGUUGGAGAGAACGAAAAGAGGUCACCUCUUGGCCAAAAUGUUCUUAUUCUUUGGUUACCUUGCCUUGCGUUUUUGCCUUACCUUGCCUUGCCUUGAUCACAGCAAACUUGCCUGUCUUUGAUGUAACUUAGUGUAGCACCAAACAUAUGUUUGGUUUUCAGCUUAAAAACUAAGCCUAUCUAAUAACAUCUUGCCACAACACAAAUAUAUGGCGCAUGCGACCUAGACUUCAUCACAAUUAGUUACAGGUGUUCAACAGUGACCAUAAUUCAGUCCAUAUAUUUUUGUGCAGCCUCUGCUGCCAGGGGUUCAAUUGCAUUUCGAAUCCUAGCAUAAUCUUGAGUGUCCAUAUGGCAGCAGAAGCCUUUGAAGAUCAAAGUCGUCUCCAUGAUAGGCACGAAGCCUUACAAAAAUGGCGGCGACUGGUCCGUAAGCAGACAUGCUUGCGGCUAUUUUGAUUGUUUCCCGCAUCUUAGGUAGAUGCUUGUUUACCUCUCCCAGGUUGUUAAUACGAGCCAACAGAUCUUCAUAAUGACCUAUAUAUCUUUAUCGUGUUCUCGGUGUCUUUGAGAAUGGAUAGACAAUCAGUUAGCAUCUCAGGGGUGGAUCCUUGGAUCUUGGCAAAAAGAUCAUUGUAGGUCUUCAACUCUAUCACCAGCUUGUUCUUCACAUUGAUGGCUUUUCUGAGCUGUUUAUUUAGCUUUCUGGAAUUCCAUUUUGCUGCUUUUAAUUAAUCUGACGACAGGGCCAAUCCGGUCCUCUACAACUAGAGUACAGAGGAAUACAAAAGGUACUGUAAAGAAAACAUUCACUUCGCUAAAAUAUGGGAACUUACGAGGCAAAGGUUUGAACUUUGAACUUUAUACCUGUAUUUCUCUGUUGGACGUCUAUAUAUGUUCUUUUUUCUCAGCCAUAGGGUUAUUAUGCCCAAACUGGUCAGGUCCCUAUCCUUCUCGGUCGUCUCAGAUUUCAGGACCCCAUGUUCUCGAAGCUGUUCUCUCUGAGAAGCCACAGUCUCUUGAGAUUGCUUGGUUUCACUCUGCGUCUCUCAGUCUGCUCUUUGAGCCUCUCUUCAAGAAUUCUGACCCUUUCGCAAGCUGCAGUUUUCUCUGAUGUCGUGUUGUCCAACUCUCUGUGGUUUAGAUUAAUAUUAAAGCAAGGUUAACAACAUUAAGCAAAUAAUUAGUAAGGGAACAAGAAUGCUUACUCUUUUAUUCUGGCAACAUCUUCAUAAACCUGACUUUGGCUUAUGUAAGCCUCAAUACGCUGCAAUAGACUUUUGUGAAUUCUGGUAGACAUGAAAGUUGUGUAAAUGAUUAGAAAAAACAGAUAUACUAUCGAAAUUGACAUAACUGAUGCAGGAUGGGCACAAAGCAGAGUCAUUGACAUUGAGACAUUGCUUCCUCAUGAUGUCUUCUCAGCCUCACUUGAUGUAGCUGGCUUUGCGGAUGGCGUUGCUGUCAUCUUUGUGCUGACAGAUGAGGGGCUUUUCACUAUUGAUCUCGAGUCCUACCGGAUCACAAAGGUGUGCAAAGACGGUUCAUGCUCUGGCAAUUUCCACACUCCAGGUAAAGAGACUCUCGCAUCCUGUCUCUCUUUCCUCUCUUUCCUUAACAUGUGCAGAUUUUGCUUAUUUGUGGUUUUUUUCUAAUAUUUUAGUUGGCAACAUGAAAUCUAGGAUUGUGGCAUGUGUACUCAAGCACAUUGAAUUCAUAUCACAGUUACAUUAUUGAAAACUAUGAUACUUUUAUGUGAGAAUUUUCCUAUGAGCUCCUCAUUAAAUUGAUGAACACACAUAGGAUUUUUUUUGUUAUUGUCACAUCCUGAAUUUUUUGGAUUUCAGGAUGUGAUUAAAAAGAAUAAUAAAAUAAUAAUUUUCUCAUAAUUUUAAAUUUUUUCCAACAUUUAUUUUUCUUGACAGGAAAUGUAGUAUCGGAAAAACAAUUGGUUAUUUUUCUAAAUUAAAUAGUGUUGUUCUGUGUGUGUUGCAUUCAUGUCAAUGCAUCUUGGUGUUUAUUGAGUGCAAAUGUUUUAAAAUGUAUUUAGACGACGACCAGGUUCUUCUGAGAAUUUUCUAGCUUUUUUUGGAUUCAUUCUCAAUUUUCUAGAGCUAAAUCUAUUUAUUAGAAGGCUUUAGAACCCUUUUCAUGAGCUUCAAGUGUUUUAUUUGGACUCCUCGUAUCCCAAACUAUCUCUAGGAUUCUUCUUGGUAUUUUUGGGAUUUUCUAGAUAUUUUUCGUGCUUUAAAAACGAUAUCUAGAAUUAUCUUGAUUUUGUUUUGCACUGGAAAUUUUAUUUCGUAAAAUGAUAAACCCUAAAUCCUUAUCGGGCCGGAUCCAAGCAAACCUGACCCAACCUGUCAGACCCUAACCCUACCCAGCUCUCCCUCUUUUCCUUCGUUGCAGGUGGACCCCACCUCUCCUUUGGGCCGAGCCUACAAGGCUCGGUUCAGGCCCAACUGAACCCAUCUGCCCUGCAGCUCUCUCCUGAGCUGCACAGGCAGGCAGCGCCACCGCCACGCCAGUUGCGGCCACCCGCGCCGUAUAAAGAGGGGCGCCCCGUGCGCCUGCGACCCCCUGUUGCAACCGUCUCGUCCCUAUGUAAUCACACCCCGGUAGUAUGAUAAGUGCCUACUUUUGCACAGCAUGGUUGGUCUAAAGUUCUUCUGAACUUUUACGUGACUUGUGCUAAAAGUGUACAACCUCUGUAGAUUGUAAAACUGAUAUAUCAGUUGUGCUCAUGGUCAAGAGCGGUUUGGACCCUCACAUAAUUAAUAAACUUGAAGAUGGACUUCAAUCGUUAUUCUGGUUAUUUCUUGUGGCCUUGCUAAGUACCAACCAUAAGUGUACUCACCCUUGCUAACUACUGCUCAGAAGAAGAUGUUGCUAUGAGGUUUGCUGAAGACGAUGCUGAGUGCUAGGUAUACGCGACCCUCAAUCGAUUGUGUGUGAAGUCUGGAGCCUUCGUUUCCAGGAUUAAGUUGUAUAUCUCUAAUAGACUCGUAAGUCAUUAUUUAUAUUCCUUUAUGUGAUACUGUUACCAUUAUUCACUGAUGAUAUCACUAUAUGUAUGAAACUUGAUCCUGACAUAUAUAUAGGUCGCACUUGGUUUUGUUUUAAAACCGGGUGUGACAAUUAUCUUACACAUCUAUCUUGAGAAGUUAUCUAGAUUCAUUGGUAGAAAACUUGGCAUUAGUCCCGGUUGGUAGGUCUCAAAUCUCUCUAAAAACCAUUCGGGUAAAUUUUCCGAGAUGGGGGGGUCUUUAGUCUCGAUUCGUAUUACCAAUUGGACUAAAAAGUUUCAAAAAAACAAAAAAAAUGCACUGUACCCGCCCGCUUGCCGGCCGGCCGGCCGCCCGCGCGCCGCCCCGACACCGCUCCGCUCUGGCUCGGCCCCGGUGGAGGGGCGUCGACCUCCGGUCCGCCCCAUGCCGGAGCUCCACCCCGGCCUCCGCUCCGCUCCGACCUUCGCCCCGACCCCCGGUCCCAGCCUUCGCUCCGCCGCUUUGCCUCGCGACGCUGCUUUGCUCCGCCGCGCCACCCUCGCCCGCCCGCCCGCGCACGCCGUGCCUACCCACCCUCCCUCUGCUCCCNNNNNNNNNNNNNNNNNNNNNNNNNNNNNNNNNNNNNNNNNNNNNNNNNNNNNNNNNNNNNNNNNNNNNNNNNNNNNNNNNNNNNNNNNNNNNNNNNNNNGGGGGGGGCGGGAGCACGCGUGGGGAGCGCCUUUCAUCCCGGUUGGAAAUUCCAACCGGGACAAAAGACCCCCCUUUUGUCCCGAUUGGUAGUCCCGGUUGGAAUUACCAACCGUGAUAAAAAGGAGGGUCUUUUGUCCCGGUUGGAAUUUCCAACCAGGACAAAAGCGGGGUGCGUCGCUGCCAGAUCUUUUUAACCGCGACUAAAGCCCCUCUCGUCGGUGUCCUUUCGGUACCUCAUGUUUUACCUGAGUCAUCUGGGAUAAAAAAGGUUAGAUGGAAGGUUAGUUCUCUAGUAGUGAUUAGCUUUUAUGUAUCCAUCAGAAAUAAAGAAGAAGAAGCCAUAACAACCUUCUGCACAUCCAUAUAUCAAAAUCCUACGUAUCCUUAACCCUCUGCAUUCUCUGGCUAUGAUCUACUGCUAUUGUCACUUAACACCAUACACAUAUCGAUGAAUGAUACUAUACUAAGAAAGGGAGGCCUUUUCCUCGACUUAUGAGUUAUGAAUCCAGAUGUUAAUGAUUAAUUUGCAGUUUGCACUGUUUAUAUGUUUGUUUUAUGUGAUUCUUUGUCUUUUUGGUUCGCCAGCAACCCGUUUCAUUUAGUGGCUGGUCAGUAGAAAGUGUUUACCGUGGAAAAAUCGCUAAGCUGAUGUAUUUUCAAAACCAUGCAUUUCUGCAACUUUGGCUGCAGCCUCUCCAGUUGAAUGACCAAGAACAGGCACCUCAAAUGCCUGAUAAACAUAAGCGCUUCUCAAUUGCAGGCUUCUCAGUCAAGGUUAAACUGUAUCAUGGUAGUGGUUAAUAACUUGAGUUAUGGUGUGACAACUCUUUAGCAGAGCGAGGUUAGUCAUUGUCUUAGUUUGUUGGCCUUCAGGGUUCUGCGUUUGCGCAAGGGAUCACAUCUCUUAGGGUUGUUUACUCGAUCACCUUGUAUUCUUCUACUCGGCUGGUGGAGGAAAGACCACCCCACGGUAUUUCACUAAGAAACGAAGCGUCAAGAAAGAACACGAAAGCUGGUGCCCCCUCAUGUAGGUCACUGAUCUUUUCAAUAUGAACCUCGGAUUCUAUGUCUACAUCGCAUUCUCUAGCUUUGUUGCGUGCCCACAAGGCAAAAGAAAAAGGAAAAGGAAAAAAGAAAGGCUAGUAAUCAAUUAUUUCUACAGGGAGAAGUGGAUCAAACGCAUAACAAAAAAUAAAUAUCCAUGUAGUUCACUGCUUAUUAGAGUACUGGCAUCAUGGGCCGAAGCAGACAUCAAAAUCUAGGUGGUGCACCACCCAAUGUACAUCACAAGGACCAUGUACAUUUCCCUCGUGACAUUUGGUAAAUUUUAAUUUUGACACACCUGGUGCCUGUGCACCAGGGUAACAUAAUGUGCCCUCGCCAUGGAUAGUUUUCAAUCUUUAAUCCCUUUACCUUUCAAAAA